rnacentral:lncRNA from 1 species
GUUUUCAAGUUUAACGGUGUAGAAGUAUUCAAAUCAGAUGAAAUUUUGAUAGAAAAUUCUUUAUACUAUCUACAACAAGAUCUAUAUUUCUGAUCGAAAAUUUUAGUGCUAUAUCACCACUUUUUAUAGGAUUUUUAUUUUCAGCCGUUAAAAAUUAUUGAUUUUGAAUCCUUUCGAUUGCUAGGUAAAUGAUAUCGAAAAAUCAUAAAAAUUAUUUUCUAGAAACUUUAAAUACGUUAGAUCAAGUUUAACGGAGCCGAUCGUCGAUUCGAAAACUCCAUCAUCGAAAACGGCUCAGGAGCACGGAGGCCUCCGUACUCCUGAGAGCACAGCAGCCCUGCUCUAUAUAUAUGUAUAUAUAUAUAGAGUGCGGCUAGUAUGCUUAUGGAAGCACGGAGGUCUCCGUGCUUCCAAUUUGUUUUCGAUUUUGGGACUUUCGAAUCGACGAUCGGCUCCGUUAGACUUGAUCUAGAGUAUUUGAAGUACCUAGAAAAUAAAUUUUAUGAUUUUUCGAUAUCAUUUUGCCUAGUGAUCGAAGGGGCUCAAAAUCAACGGCUGAAAAUAAAAAUAUCACAAAAUGUGAUGAUAUGACAUUAAAAAUUUAGAUCAAAGAUAUUGAUUUUAUUUUAUAUAGUACAAAAAAAUUUUUAUCAAAAUUUCACGUGAUUUGGAUAUCUCUACACCGUUAAACAUGCAACCAGCUCACCACGGCCGUUAAAAUUAUUGAUUUUGAGCCCCUUCGAUCACUAAGCAAAUGAUAUCGAAAAAUCACAAAAUUUAUUUUCUAGGUACUUCAAAUACUCUAAAUCAACUCUAACGGAGCCGAUCAUCGAUUUGAAAGUCCAAACAUCAAAAACGACUUGAAAGGGAGGCCUCCGAGCUUCCAUAUAUAAGCAUACCAGCGCAACUAUAUAUAUAUAUAUAUAUAGCUAGAUAAUGUUCAUUCUCAAUGUAAUACCUGAAUUUUUGCGGAGAAAAAAAGAGAUAUUCGAGUCAUAUAAUCAUGUUGCGUUAAAUUAACUAGCAACUAACCCGUGGAAUGCACGGAUUUUAAUUUUAUCUUUUAAAUUACAUCUUUUAUAUAAUAUAUAUAAUAUUAAUUUUUUCAUAUUAAGUUUUUUUAAUAUCUUUUUAUGACAACUUUUAUAUAAUAUAUAUUAAUUUUUUGCAUAUUAAGCUUUUAUUAGAAAAACUAUUGAAUCAAAUUAAAAUAAUACUAUCAUGAUAUACUAAUAGAAUGUAAGUAAAUAAUUUAAAAUAAAAAGAUUUUAAAAUGAAGAAGUAAAAAGGUUCAAAUCCAUUAGAAAUUUAACAUAAUUAUUAUUUAUAUAUUUUUUAAUACUCAAAAUUGAAAUGGUGAAGAAAAUUAAUUUUAUUCAANNNNNNNNNNNNNNNNNNNNNNNNNAUAUAUAUAUAUAUAUAUAUAUAUAUAUAUAUAUAUAUAUAUAUUUGUGAACUAAAAAAUAUAUUAUGAUUAGUUAAAAAAAUAUAUAUUAUGAUAAGUGCGCCACGUGGCACAUUAGAAUUUUUUAUGUAAGUGCGUCACGUGGCAUCUUAUGGUUCAAUUAGAACCAUACUUCUAAAAUUAGAUAUAUAUAUAUAUAUAUAUAUAUAUAUAUAUAUAUAAUUGACUAGUUACAGUGUUAAGGAUUAAUUUAUUCAUCUUUUGUUCCUCACACUCAUAUAUUCUACGGAGAUAAUAGUUGGAACCAAUUAAAAUAAUUUACUUAGAAUAUGAUUGAGGCCAUAAAUAUUAUACGAUAUAUAAAAAAAAGUAUAUAUAUAUAAAAAAGGCGUACAAAUCUUAUGUAAAUUAUAAAUUAUUUUGAUUUGAACAGUAAAACUAAAAUUUUAAAAAUUUGAAUAGCCGACACAAAAUAAUUUAUAUAUAGAUUAUCUGACCUCUUGUCACAUCAUAUGGCUGCCAAAAAUAAUAUAUCCAAUACAUCAGUUAAUGCCACCAUUUCUCGAACCGAGGAUUUCGCCUGACUAUUCCUCAAAAUAAUGAGACAUAUACUUGCCUCUGCACGAAUUAAAAUCCCAACUAACGAAAAUAUUGUAUAAAAAAAUCCCAAUUUAAUUUGGUCAUUCAAUGCCAUGCAUGUGCCAACCCUUUUAAGUAGGACAAAAAUUUCGUGGACAUCCGUGUCCGAGCUAUUUUUUUCUGCCGUUAGAAUUUGAUUAGAUUUAUAGUUAAAUCCUAUUUGGAUAAGAAUUAAUAUUUAAAUCUGUUUACGAUAAAUUAAGAUUUAAAUAUUAAUUAGAGUAUAAAUUUAAUUAGAUUAGAAUUAAUAUUUAAAUCUAUUAGAAAUUGAUUAAGAUAAAUUUAGAUAUUUCCCAACUAACGAAAAUAUUGUAUAAAAAAAUCCCAAUUUAAUUUGGUCAUUCAAUGCCAUGCAUGUGCCAACCCUUUAAGUAGGACAAAAAUUUUGUGGACAUCCGUGUCCGAACUAUUUUUUUCUGCCGUUAGAAUUUGAUUAGAUUUAUAGUUAAAUCCUAUUUGGAUAAGAAUUAAUAUUUAAAUCUGUUUGAGAUAAAUUAAGAUUUAAAUAUUAAUUAGAGGAUAAAUCUAACUAGAUUAGAAUUAAUAUUUAAAUCUAUUAGAGAUUGAUUAAGAUAGAUUUAGAUAUUAAUUAAAUUAUGAAUCCUAAAUAUAUUAGAAUUGGAGUACGUUUUAAGUUGACCGCUCUUUUUUUUGGAAGUAGUACGGCUGGAACCAUUGGGGUGUCGUACCAGAGAGAAAAAGAGAGAGAGAGUUAUUUUAGUGCACCUUAUGCACGGGUGCACGCGGAGAGGUCUUCUUUCUGGAUUUAUAGAAAACGAGACUUGAGAAGGGUAGAAGAGAUUCAAGAAAGAGGGCUCAAAUUAUAACUACUUUGUGCAGAAGAAGAGUCAGGUAUAAUAUUCUCUUAUUUAAUGAAUCUUAUUUUAUCUGCAUAUUUUUCGCUUUUGCUGAGGAAACGGGUUUAUGGUAAAAAAAUUCGAUUUGACAUUUCCGUUGUGGAAUUCCAACAAUUGAUAUCGGAUCCACAGCAGUCAGUAUCGAAGCGGGUUGCGGAUUCACGAGAUUCGGUACCGGGGCGAGUACCGGAUUCCCGACAUCGACAGGGAUGCGGAUGGGCGCCACGUGGUGUGCUCCGCUCAUCACCACCGCCCCUUCCCCUUUCUCUCUCUCUUUCUAAAAAACGGAGGCCCCCGAUAUUUUUUUUUUUGUUUUCGAGGGUCGCGAUGGGCGCCGCACACCACGCGGCGCCCAUCUGCAUCCGUGCCCAAAUAAAUAGUUUGGGCACGGAUGUCCACGAAAUUUUUUUCCCUUUUAAGUAAACCUCCCUUGGCGAAAUAUGGUUACAUUACUACAUAUUUCUGCAUAAACUUAGCCUAGAUAGCCAGUUCUAUAUCUUCUUCUCUUGCACUCUCUUCGAUCGAUAUUGGUUGAUCUUCUUCGAUGGCGAGAGACGGCGAAACACGUUCCAGGUUCCUCCGCGUGUACGAUUGCCUCAAGGAUGAGCUCCUCCGUGACCCGCUGUUCGACCACACGGAGGAGACGCGGCGACGGGUCGAGGAGGUGAGGAUCGAGAAUGAGUCAAGUUUUUGUUUGGGGAUAUCUAAAAGUUCUUUGAAAUGCUCGUUUGCUUGUUUGAAACUUGUUGCUUUCUUGAUGCAGGAUGUACAAAUUAGAAUGUGUACAACAAAUCAAUCAUUCGCUUGCCAUUGAAGUUCAUUUAAUGUUAAUAGAUAACACAAAAUUAAAGCGAAAACACGUAGAGACGUGUUUUUGCGUUUCCUUAAUAAACUAUAAGAAAUAUAGCAUGCUUGUCUCAUUACACAUACAAAUAAACAAAAUAUAUUUUAAUCAUAUUUUCUCAUUGUACAUAUAUAAUGCAAAUCUUCUAUUCCAAAGGAAGCGUAAGAAGGUGCUUUUUAGUUAAGUGCAAAACCAACGUUUUCUUUUUGUAAAAAAAAGAAACAUUCUUUUGUUUCGUUUAAAGGAUUUUGAAAGAAGUUCAUAAGAUACAUCUUGUUGCUAUACAUGAGAGUUCCUGUGUAAAACAAUCUUAUAUAGGGCUCGCUUGAUAGGAUAUAUACUGCAAGCAAAUAUUUAUAUUAAUCAUUCUCUCUAAUAUUAAUUGCAACAUUUAUUUUUCUUUUUCUUUUUUGGUACACGUACACAUGAUGCGAGUAUUGUUGGUACUUCACAUUUACAUCACAUCAUCAGUAACCCGCUAAUCACAUCAUUUUUUUCGAAAAAAUAGUAUAAUAAAAAUAUUUUUUUAACAUCUAUAGUAGGGUGGGUGAAUCCGAAAAAAAAUAUAAUUUGAUUAGUUGGGAACGCUGUAAUAGUAAUAUAUAAUUGAUUCAUUAUAAAUUUUUGUGAAACUUCAAAUGUCUCAUGGUUUCGUAUUUUCUCACUUUAGUACCUUGUGGUUUAAAGUGUAUCAAAUUAGUACCCUGUGGUUUUGUACUUUCUCACUUUAAUACCAUGUGGUUUAAAAUGUAUCAAGUUAAUACCCUAUGGUUUCGCACUUUUUCACUUUAGUAUUCUGUUGUUUAAUAUUUUUUUAAAUUAUAUAUAAAAAACUUCAGAUACCCUACCUAGGUUUAUCGAAUAUUCAUUUUAGUACCCUUUAUUUUUAACUUUAUCACUGAUUUAAUGAAAAAAAUAUUCCGAAAUAGAUAAUAAACAAAGAAAAAUGAAAUCACGGGGUACUAACUUGAUACAAAAAUGAAACCACAGAAUACUAAUUUGAUACACUUUAAACCAUAGGAUACUAAAGUAAGAAAGUACGAAACCACAUGGUACUAACUUGAUACACUUUAAACCACAUGGUACUAAAGUGAAAAAGUGCGAAACCAUAUGAUACUAAUUUGAUACAUCUUAAAUUAUAAAGUACUAAAGUGAAAAAAUGUAAAACUACAAGAGUUUUAUUUGAAGUUUUUUCUAAAUUUUUUCUGUCAGAAGGGAUCACUUGAGAUAGCUAGUAAAGAGAGCCAGUAAAAAAACACUUAUUUAUAAAAGGUCAAAAGCAAUUUAUGGUCGAACCAUGCAGCAAUAUGUUGCUUGGUUUGAUUAUCUACAUUUUUUUGCAAAUAUAAUAAAUAUUAGUAUUAUAGUAAGAUAUAAGAGUGAAAACAGACAUGAUAUUAUUCGAAAAUAUUUGUAUCCAUAUUCGAUAAUAUCUGAAUUCGGAUAGAAAAUAUUAUGAUCCGAUCGGAUACGGAUACGAAAAUGAUUUUAGGGCGUUAAAAUUUUUCAGAUAUCCUAAAGAAACGGAUAUGAAUGUAGAUAUCUGGACUUUUAGUAUUAUUAUUUUUAUAUUCUUUAUAUUUUUGGAUGUGUAUGGUCCAAUUUCGCCCGCUCGGCCUGCCCAAAUUCCUUUCCUCUGAUUCAUUACCAACGAAGGAUGAUUAAUACAUAUUAUAAAAAAAUAAGAUAUUUUUUCGGAGUUCCGCUAGAAUACUAUCAAUAGACCAAGCAUUCGGUGCUAUCAAAUUUUCCGCCGUUAAAUUUAAUAUUUUGAUUAUUUUCAUCUAUUUAGAUUAUACUAUUAAACCAAUAACUCACUCAACCAUAGGUAGGGAUGUCAAUGGGUAUGGAUACCCGAAAUUUUAUCCGAACCCGAACCCGAAUGAAAUGGAUAUAUCCGAUGGAUAUGGAUAUGGAUUCGGAUAUGGAUAUAAAAAAUAAAAACCCGGCGGAUAUGGUUUUGGAUAUGGAUUUUGAUUGUACCCGACCCGAACCCGAACCCGAACCCGAACCCGACCCGAACCCGAAUUUAUUUUGUAUUAUAUAUAAUAUAUAUAAAAAAAUUUGAUGUUAUAUUUGAAUUUGUAUUUUAAAAAUUUAGAUUUAAUAUAAUAUAUUUUAAAAUAUUGAAAAAAGAAAUAAUUGUUUCGGGUUCAAAUUUUCGAGUUCGGGUUCGGGUUCGGGUUUCGGAUUUUUGGUCGGGUUCGGAUUUGGAUAUGGAUUUUUAAAAUCCGUCGGGUUCGGGUUCGGGUUCGGGUCUCGGGUUUGGAGUCGGGUUCGGGUUCGGGUUUUUAAAAAUCCGCCCCGAAUCCGACCCGUUGACAUCUCUAACUCCUAAACCCUAGGGUCCACUCAUCUUAAUUGUACAUUUUUUCAUCUAAAGCCGAAAACAUAAUACAUCAAUAGUUGGUGCAUUGAUAUAUCCAGCCUAAAAUUUAUAUAUAUAUAUAUAUAUAUAUAUAUAGUCCGGCUACUAUACUUUUAUGAGUAUUAGCUUCCUUAUACUCAUAAAUUUUUUGUCUUUAGAUUUAUUCCAUUGAUCAUUUUCACCGGUUAGAUCAUACUAUUAAAACUAUCCACCCAACUUUAGAGGACAACUAUUAUUCUAAGUGGAGACCGCCAUCAUCCUAACCACAUAUCCCAUCAAUCAACGGUUAAACAUUUAUGAGUACAAGGGGGUCUAUACUCAUAAGGGUAUAAUGGCCCCAGCCUAUAUAUAUAUAUAUAUAUAUAUAUAUAUAUAUAUAUAGAGAGAGAGAGAGAGAGAGAGAGAGAGAGUGAGGCUACUAUGCUAUCGGAAGCACGGAGCCUUCCGUGCUUCCAGCUCGUUUUCGAUGUUGCGACUUUCGAAUCGUCGAUCGGCUCCGUUAAACUUGAUCUAGAGUAUUUGGAGUACCUAGAAAAUAAAUUUUAUUAUUUUUCGAUAUCAUUUGCCUAGUGAUCGAAUGAGCUUAAAAUCAACAAAUUUCAAUGGCCGUAGUGAGCCGUUUGCAAGUUUUACGGUAUAGAAAUAUUCAAAUCACGUGAAAUUUUGAUAGAAAAUUCUUUAUACUAUAUAAAACAAGAUCAAUAUCUUUGAUUUAAAAUUUUAAUAUCAUAUUAUUACAUUUUGUAAGAUUUUUAUUUUCAGCUGUUGAUUUUGAGCCCCUUCGUUUUCUAGGCAAAUGAUAUCGUAAAAUCAUAAAAUUUAUUUUCUAGCUACUUCAAAUACUCUAGAUCAAGUUUAACGGAGCCGAUCGACGAUUCGAAAGUCGCAACAUCGAAAACGAGCUGGAAGCACGAAAGGCUCCGUGCUUCCGAUAGCAUAGUAACCUCACUCUAUAUAUAUAUAUAUAAUCAGAAGCUUUUGCACUAUAGAGCAACAAUUUAUUUUGCACUGUAGAUCCGCUUCUGCUGGAGUUAGAAAUUGAGCCCAGCUUAUCAAUGUCAUAAAAUUAUGGGUUAAUUACACUAAUAGUCCCCAACCUUUCCACCAAUUUUCACUUAGGUCUCCAACCUUUUUUUUUUUUUGCAAUUGAGUCCCUAACCUCUUGAUUUCAUUUCAAUUAAGUCCCAGCUGUUAAAUAGAUGUUAAAAUUGACAGAAAAUACCACAUGUCUGCGCCACGGAGGCGCCAUGUCAACGCCACGGUGGCGUUGUGUCAGCGAAUUGUAAAAAAAAAAAAAUUGGGGACCAAAUUGAAUGAUGCUGACAUGGUGCCACCCUAGGGUCUCCAACCUUUUUUUUGCAAUCCGCCGACACAACGCCACUGUGGCGUUGACAUGGCGCUUUUGUGGCGCUGACAUUGUGCUGACAUGUAGUAUUUUCCGUCAAUUUUAACACAUAUUUAACGGCUGGGACUUAAUUGAAAUGAAAUCAAGCUAUUAGGAAUUUAAUUGUAAAAAAAAAAAAUUAGGAAUCCAAGUGAAAAUUGGUGGAAAGGUUGGGGACUACUGGUGCAAUUAACCCUAAAAUUAUGGUACUAUCUAUAUAUAAUUGUUGCAUUCUAAUGUAUAACGUUUGCUAAAACAAUUUUUUUUCUUUUUAAUUGUUCCUCGAUUAUCGUUUUGUUUUCUGGAUUGAAUAUGGAACUGUAGUGAUAUGUCGGUUUUACAUUUAUUCACCACUGUUUUAAGCAAAUAGCAAUUUGAAUAAAGAAGAGAGAGAGAGAGAGAGAGAGAGAGCAGUGCGGACUCGGACAAUCAUUAAGUUUUAAGCGAAGAACGGUAUGUACGGUCAUAUAAAAGAAAGUUUGAACAUGUGCAAGUUUAUUUUUUUUAAAAAAACAAUAUAUGUAAGAGAGAGAGAGAGCAUGAAAGUCUAAAUAAAAAUAUCAAAAUAUUCUAUAAUAUUACAUAACUCGAACCAAAUGCGCCCAAAAAGUAAUGCUAUCAAAGUUUUUGUCGGGUCAGGGUCAGGUUAGGUUCGGUAAGGAUGAGGUCUUGGUCAAAAGACUUAAUCUCGAGUUAAGUUGAGUUGAACCCCGUCAACUUUGGCUCGGUCGACUCGUGUGUGGUCGAGCUUGAUUUGAAUUCGGGCUUGACCUAGACGUAGGUCCGAGUACAAUUAAUUCGUCCAUAAAUCAGCCCAUUAUUCAGGCCCGUGAGUAGAGGCCCAUAAAGGCCAUCAAAAGGUAUAAAGGAUAAAAAUAAAUUAAAAUAUUUGUAAAGCAGUCCAAUACUUCCAACAUUCUCUAAACAUCAACGGUCGAAUUCGGGGACUCUUCCUCACUUUUCACUUUUGGGGAUCGAAACCCUAACCGGAUCCGGUCCAAGAAUCGGACGACACCAGCAAUGGGGAGGCGAUUAGGGUUCUAGCGACGUUCUUCUCCGAUCGUCCUCUCCCCCAUCCUUAUGGGCGAAGCGGAGGUUCGAUCAAGAACCAUUUUCGUGAUUUCUUUUUAGAAGAAGAUUGGUUUUGCUUGCGAGUAGAGUUUUUUUUUUCUUAUAUAUAGUUGAAUUAAGCGUUGGUUUUUUAGGCUAUCAAUGGAGGUUUCGUUCUCAACAUUUUUAGUUUGGGUACGUUUUUGACAUAUCUGGGAAGGGUUUCUUGGCAUCUCUUUGUGAACGAUCGAAAAACCUGUGGAUAAUAAUAACCGUAGCUUUGAUUCGCCAAAUAUAACAACAAGGUUGUGAGAAUUUAGAACUAGAUCUUGUUUAUGGAUCGGUAAUAUUUGUAGUUUUAAAAGUUUUGAACUAAAUUUUGUAUUCAUAAGCACUAUCUCAUAAUUUUUCUGGCAUUAGCUGAUAUUUUCUCUUUUUUGUUCUGUCCUUGUAACAGAUGCUGGACUACAAUGUACCUAGAGGUGAGGCAUUAUUUUGUUGUCAUGUUCUUAUUGCUUCUAUAUAACUAGAUCAUCUACUUUGUCUUUGACAGAACUAUUCUGUUCUGGAAACUGCAAAAAGUAUUAGUCAUAUAUGCAGAUUUUGACAGCAUAAGUUAUUUUUGUCAGGGAAACUGAACCGUGGAUUAGCUAUCGUUGAAACUUACAGGUUGUUGAAAGAGGGAGAUGAACUCAGUGAAGAAGAAAUUUUCCUUGCUUGCGUACUCGGUUGGUGCAAUGAGUGGGUAAACACUCAAUCUUUUGCAAAAUAUACUUCUUUAUGACUAAUUUUCUGACGUGAACACUAAUACCUGUAAUUCUCACAGCUUCAAGCAUGUUUACUCAUACUUGAUGAUAUCAUGGACAAUUCUCAUACAAGGCGAGGUCAGCUUUGCUGGUACAAGCUGCCUGAGGUUUGCAAAGCUUAUUCCUAUGAAACUUAACUUCAUUAUUUUACUCCUAACAGCAUCAAUAUUUAUAUGUGUGUAUUGAUUUCAAGGGUCAGCGUGCCGUUCCUCCAAGUAAUAUAACACUUCAAUGUUAUUACGGUUGGUAUUAAUUGUGUAAUUCGACAAUCGUAUGAGAAAAAUGGGGAUACUGGCAUCAAGAUUUUUCAUUUUGGAACCUGUACCAUGAAUUGCAAAUAUUUGCAUUACCCUAUAUUACAUGUUGAGACAUAACUUUUAAUAUCACUUCCAGACCUAUUAUGUUUGCCAUUUUGUGAAACUAUUAACUAAAGAUCAAACCAGUGUAGCUGCUUAAACCUAUUUGUUUUAAAACCACUAAGUUACAUUUUUUACUGAUACUAGGUUGGUCUUCAUGCUAUAAAUGACGGGGUUCUAAUAAAAUGCCACAUCCAUAGGAUAAUCAAAAGAUAUUUCAGAGGAAAGCCUUUCUAUGAGAAUCUCAUGGAAUUAUGUGAUGAGGUGAUCUUAACUGCACAUUGUCUUAGAAUAUUUGCACAUUGAGUUAACUGCAUAAAGGAAUAUUCCUUUGACAACUUGUGACAUAUUUUGACAGGUAGGGCUCCAGACUUCUUUGGGACAGAUGUUAGAUCUCAUUGUUACUCAUGAGGGAGAAAAGGAUCUCUCAAACUACACAAUGGCAGUGUAUGUGACAACAAAUGUGUUUUUUGUUAUAAUAAAGCUGUUAUUCAUGAUCAUGGGUUAGAUGGAAUCAGCACAAAAUAUUUGACAGGGUUCCCUGUUAGUUAUUUCCUGAUACUGCAUAUUUUCAAAUUUGAUUUUUGUUUAAUUGUAAAUUUGACCAAAACUUGUUUUUAGUCCUGAGCUCCUUUGGUCACUGUUUAUACAUUUAUGCCUAUAAUUAUAAGAGCAUAGAAAUAAAGGAUUUUAGUGCCAUGGGACAGGGUCGUGCCGAGCACUUGGUGAAACCGUAAAGCAUGGUGGGUGUUGUGUCGUGCCAAAGUGUGCCAUUCACAAAAAAAACUUGUGCCAACACACCGUCGCAUGAAAUAUUUAUUUUUUGGGGGGCCAAUAUAUUAUAAUUUCUUAUUAUAUAUUUUUAUCAAUUUUUUUGCACUUUAUUGAUGUAAUUAUUUAUUAAUUUCAAAGAAAAAAAGGUUUUGAGCUCUGUCAUUAGCACGAGAGUCGUAUGGUGCCGAUAUUUUAUUGGCACAGUAUAGCAUUAUGGACAUGGCUCGUGCCGAUGAACACUUAAAUCCUUAACAGGAAUGUUUGAUGAGAACAUAAAGGAGAAAACAUCAAAUAAAUGCGAUAUUUUCUAGAAGUUAAUUGGAUUUUUGUGACCACUGACAGCAUGGGUUUUAGGGUGUUAUCACUUGAACGGUUUAACACUGUUUUGGACAUUCAAAAUUUAUGCCUCGUAUCAUUCAAGUGCCAUAUUCCAUCAUGUUUAUGAUAAUCUUAUGUAUUAUGAAGAUAAAUUAUAUAAAUUUUAACCCUUAAGUUAGAAGGUUAUUCUAUAUCUAUGAAAUCAGUUACGCUUUGACUCCAAUAUCAAAAGCUGCAAAUCUGUAGUAUAAUAGUGAGCAAAUACUUAAACUUUUCAAUACUGAAACCAUGUCAAAGAAGCACCUUUGAUAUUGUUUCAGCAGAACUUCAUGAAGCUUUCUUGGCUUUGAAUUGAAAAUAGAUAUUGAUCUCACUGUGAAUAUGUGUACGUCAGAUCAAUGUGAAAUUUUCUCAAGAAUUUUAUGUGUUGUUCAUCAAGCACAAAUUGGUUUUGUUUGCUCAAAUCGUGCUUUUUUAUUUGCUUGCGCUAAAUAUUUUAAUUCUUUUGCAGAUAUCGCCGCAUUGUUCAAUACAAGACGUCCUAUUAUUCAUUUUACCUUCCUGUAAGUCAGAUUGAAUAUACACUUAUGGUUCACAUAUUUAUAGUAAUUUGUGUUUCUAAUUGAGGCCUUUGAUGGUAUGAGACAUGCUUGUUAUUCUUAGAGUUCAACAUUUAUGUUACACAGACUUUCUCUUGCACAUGAAGAAUACAUAUUAUGCAAGCAUGCAACCAUUAUUUUCUUUCUCUGUGCAUGGUGAAGCAUGAACUUCAAUAGAUACUAGCUAGGAUAAGCGGAAUGUAACCGUCAGUUUAGAAAUUUCGGCAGAGGUUGUUUUAUUCUGUUAAGGACUUCCUAAGAGGAGGACCUUUUUUUUUUAUUAUUCAAAGAUCAUAACUCUGACCAAAAGUUGUAAUGAAUUGUUUCCUGACGGUAUAGUGCUUGAAUCUGCAAGUUGAAUAUUUUUAUGUCCUACAGUUCUCAGUUAUUAAUGUUUAGGUUUGUAUCCUCAUCUCAUGAUGUUUCCUGAUGAGAAAAGUUGAGGCUACAAUAGUGAAAAUUUUGUCCUUGAUAAUUUGCUAUUUUGGCUAUAUUUUUAGUUGGAUAUUUGCUGCAUUUUUCUUGCACCUAAAGGCUGAAUGUUCAAAGUAUGUUUGUUGUUUAAGCGUCAGUAUUGUGAUCGUAUAUCUGAAGUACUAAUCUAGUCAGCCAUCCCAACGAGAAAUUAGCAUUCCUCUCAUUUAACGUGACAUUGCUGCUUAGGUGGCUUGUGCUUUGCUCUUGGCUGGUGAAAAUUUAGAUGAUUUCAUUGAUGUAAAAAACAUACUUGUUGAGAUGGGAAUAUACUUUCAAGUGCAGGUAUUUCUUUCUCAUAAUAAUAUAAUCCACUCCCAUUUUAUUAUUACUUGCUGAGCUUUUUCUCUUCUUCCUUCAGUACUGACUAAGGUUCCUUUUUAGGAUGAUUACCUAGAUUGUUUUGGUGAUCCUAAAGUGAUGGGAAAGGUAUUAAACCGACCGAGUUUGCUUACCCUUCAGUACAUUUAAAAAUUAGAAGUAUCAAAAUAUUGCUUUUCUCUUAUCUAGUUGAUAUGUCAAGCUUAAUUUGAUAAUCUUUUAGAUAUUGACAGAUAGGGACGGACAUUGAAGAUUACAAGUGCUCAUGGCUUGUUGUACAAGCCCUUGAACGUGCUAACGAUAAUCAAAGGAGAGUUUUAUAUGUAAGACUAGUAGCUCUCUCUCUCUUACUGUUGAUUUUUCUUUUGGAAAUUGACAAUAUAUCUACUCAUCUGUCUCAGGAGAACUAUGGGAAGUCAGAUUCUGUUUCUGUCGCAAAAGUAAAAAAUAUUUAUGAAGAGCUUAAUCUUCAGGUUUGACCAAUAUAUUCUCUCCCUGCUCUUCUGACGAUCUAGUCGAUAUAUCAAGCAUGCUUUUGUACAAUGUAUUUCGUUUCUUAGCAUGCUUCCCUUCCUAGAGAUGACAAAAUUUCACUACUGAGAACCAGUAGUGAUAUCACAAGCAUAUAAUUGAAUGGAAUGUCAAAUACUUCACACAAAAUAAUUUUGAGGCAACAUGACAUUUGCUAUUAUCACACCUAAAAUUCUAUAAGAAAUGUAAUGAGUUGCAUGCAAGUGUAAAUUUUAAUGUAAACCAAACUUCAGACAAAUGGUAUUUUAUUAUAUCCAUAUAUUUCACAUAAAGUUCUCAAGGCUUCUGUCAGAAUGAUGCCACAGUAAUGAGAAGGUCUAAGGAAUUAUGUGGUCAUGGGAAUCUUCACUUGGUUUAUCUGCAAUCAUUGCAAAAUCUAUUGUAUCUAAUUUAAAGCUAGACAUAACUUACUUUUAGCAGAGCCCUAUUUUUGUGUCUUCCGGUGCAACGCAAUAGAUUUUUUGAAGUGCAUGUUUUGAAAGUAAAUUUCUUUAAGAGAGAUUUACUUCCUGAUAAAACUCCACGAGUUCUGGUCAAUGCUAGCGAAUUUGUAUUUUAUAUGCUUCCCUUAUACAUGUGAACUUGUUGAGAUGUACUUUCUUCGGAAGUUCUACUCUUUGCGCUUGUAUAUCGCUUGUCUGCUUUUUCUCCUUUUUUUUCCUUUUUUUUUUUUUUUUUGUCUUUUACUGCAUUGUUUUAAACUACUGUUCAUGCGCAAUUGAUCGCUUGUUUUCUUAUGUGGUUUCUCGCUUUCAAGGAUGUAUUUUUCAAGUAUGGACUCGCAAGCUAUGAACAUCUCAUUUCCUCGAUCGAAGCUCAACCAAAUGCAGCAGUCCGGGAGGUCUUGGAAUGGUUCUUGAGGAAGAUUCACUGUAGGCAAAAGUGACCGUCCAAGAAUGUAAACAACGAAAAUAAACUUGUAAGUAUUCCUAUGCUUAGCUCAAGGCCCAUUAACCUUCGACAAUCGAUGGACAACUACAACAAUGCUAGCCUAUAUAUAAUGUAUGGUGGCAGUUUCCAUCCAAUUUGCAAUGUUUGUUUUUUCUCUAUUUCUGCGGCAAUGGCAGGAUAUAUAUGCAAGUCCUUAUUCUUCUAAAGCUCCGUUUUCGCAUUAACAAGAUGAUCGAGCGGAUACGGAGCCAUUUUAUUCCCAUCCAAUUACUCGAUAUUUGUAUUUUUGACGUCACAUAUAGUUUGUUACGUUGAACAAGUAUCCGAUUAAACAGAUAUAUGCAGUUAAUGAUAUAUUGUUCGAAAGUGUACCGCUUUUCUUUCCGCGUCCUCGGCAAUGUUUUGUGGUUUCUAACUUCCUAUCAAGAGAUCUUUCCAUUUCCUCUACGUAAUUGGAAGGAUAAUCACAUUUACACCUGUACUUGACCACUUUAAUUCCAAACCUUCACAUAUGUAAUAUAUUUUACCACUUUUUUUUUAUGAAGUAGCAAAGUCAUUUGAGUUCCAAAGCACGAUAUGCUAAAGUUUCAAAAUUUGGGAUAGUUCAGGGAUUAUCCAUGCAGAAAAAAAAAAAAAAAACAUUUGAUGGGCAAAAGAUCUCCUCCAUAAGCUACUAUUCACAAACAGAGGAACAACCAAAAAAAGGCAAAAAAGAAGCUCUACACGAAGUGCCCCAGCACUACGCUCCAUAUGCACAAUAAACACCCUAAAAAAAGGCAAAAGGGGAAAAAAAAAAAAAAACCCCGAUCUGAGUGGCAGUCGCUGUAAAUACGGCCUAGAACCAGGGCAAGAAGCGGGGGAGGGGGCUGGCGGCCGGCGUGGCGGGGGGAAGGAGGUGGGAGCGGCAAAGGGGCACGUGGCGUGUGGUAGUCGAGCCACGUCUCGAGGCAGGCCCUGUGGAAGGAGGUGGCCGCAGCUGAGCGGUCCACGACCGAGUCCGGCUCGAACCGGAGAGGCAGACGCGGCAGUCGACCGCGGCGCGCCGGCGCCGAACCGGACCGGCUUGAACCGGGCCCGAACCGGUCGGCGAGGUCGGGUCGGCGUGGCGGCGGACGCGUGGAGGCGGCGGCCGCGCCGGCCCGUCGUCGUCGUGUGUGGCGCCGGCGGGAACGGGGCCCGGAUUCGGAGGAAGGAGAGGAGGGAGCGGAGGAUCUCCUUGAGGAUGGACACGGAGACGCAAUCGUGUCACCACGAGGAGCGGCAGAGACCCCUCCGAUGGCGCCGGAAGGCUCGCGAUUCCCCAUCGACUCUCUUCCCCCCCCCCACGCCCCACCCCGCCCCACGCCCCUCCCGCCACUCUCCCCUCGCCCCUCUUCGAUCUACCUCGAUCGCACGCUCCCAUGCGGUCUUCUCGAUUCUGCGAACGCGAAAGGCACAGUGUGAGUUACUCACUCGAUUCGACGCCCAUUAAUUCCCGCAAAAUCUUCGAAACUUAGAAAUUGAAGGUUACGAUCUCGAAAAACAACAUCAUGUUACACACUUCGAUCGUGUUCGAUUCUUCCCCCAUCAAAAAGAGGAUAAACAACAAGGAUUAUCAACAGAGAUAAUCGAAACAAACCAAACAAAAAAAAAAAAAGAAUAUUAUCUACCUCAAAAAAGAUGAUAAUUUUAGCUCGAAAAAAAACAAAAAAAAAAGAUUUGCAAAGUUUUAAAAAGGAAAAAAGUGGAGAUUAAUUACUCGAAGAGCUCCGAUUUUGCUUUUUUUUUUUUUUCCUUCUGUGGAAAGUGUAGAUUGGGAGGGGAGCGAGAACGAGGAGGAUAUGGUGAGAGUCACGUGACCGAGCGCGUGAUAUGCAAUGGUCGAGUGUGAGCAAUGAGCUUACUCCCAGCGGGGGCCUUUAUAUAGCCGUUACUCUCCUACUCAUUAUUCUAUUUCUCGGACGCGACGCUAACGAACUUAACCGUAGUUAAUCCCAACCAUCACGUCCGGUUAAGUUGCCACCAACUCUAUAUGCGUACUAUAUAUGGUAGGUUCGAUCCUCAUCUGGGAACCAAUUAUUCGAUCCCCAUUUGAUGUAGGGGAUUAUAUUAUAAUAAUUAGAUCUGAGGAUCAAACUUUAAUUAAUUAAUAAUAUUUAUUAUUAAUAACUAAUACUAAUAAUUACCACUCCUAAAUAAAAACAAGAGAGCAUGUCACCAUCUCCCUAGCGCAUGGGUGCACUAACCGUUUGCUUAUUGCACCAAAAUUACUCCGGGUCCAAUAAUAAUAUUAUUAAUUAGGUAUAUUAAAUCUGAUCAAGUUAAUUUUCUAAAUUAGAUUAGAUCUAAUGUACUGUGCUAACUCGAAAAUUAUUUCUGCUUUGUUAGUGGAAAAUUAUAUAUAUAUAUGUACGUGUAAAUCUACAUCUCACUUAUUUUAGAAUUUCACAAAUUUUUAAAAACCUUUAGUAAUAAUUAAAAAAAGUUGAACAGUAAAUUUUGAAUAAGUAGGAUUUAAGAUUUACCUCAAAGUCUGUAAGUAUGAAAGAAUAGGGAAAAAAAAAAUCUAGUUUACUGCGGCGUCAUCUAUGACAUUGACAACCCUACACAUGUACGCUAAAAUGAUCAGAUUUUAAUUGCUAUGGGAACAAAACCAAAUGCAGAAUACACGAAAUGCCACAAAUGUAUAUAUCAUCACUACAUCAUUAUUAGGGAAUUGUUAUCGUGGCACUUUGUUUUUGGCUAGAUGAUGUUCCACUUAGUCGAAGAUUAUGGAUUCAGCCGAGAUAAAGAUAAAACGGAAAGAGACACGUUGGACAGGUACAUGUUGUCACAUUGGGGAGAUACUUCGUUAUUGUUGAUCAUAUAUAUAUAUAUAUAUAUAUAUAGAGAGAGAGAGAGAGAGAGAGAGAGAGAGCAGGACUGCUGUGCUCUCAGGAGCACGGAGGCCUCUGUGCUCCUGAGCCGUUUUUUAUAAUGGAAUUUUCGAAUCGACGAGCGGCUCCGUUAGACUUGAUCUAGCGCAUUUGAAGUUUCUAGAAAAUAAUUUUUGCGAUUUUUUUUAUAUAUCAUUUAUCUAGUGACCGAAAGGAUUCAAAAUUCAUAAUUUUUAAUAGUUGAUAUCUGCCGUUUUCAAGUUUAACAGUGUAGAAGUAUUCAAAUCAGAUGAAAUUUUGAUACAAAAUUCUUUAUAUUAUCUACAACAAAAUCAAUAUUUCUGAUCGAAAAUUUUAGUGUUAUAUCACCACUUUUUAUUAAAUUUUUAUUUUCAGCCGUUAAAAAUUAUUGAUUUUGAAUCCUUUCGAUUGCUAGGUAAAUGAUAUCGAAAUAUCGCAAAAAUUAUUUUCUAGAAACUUCAAAUACGCUAGAUCAAGUUUAACGGAACCGAUCGUCGAUUCGGAAACUCCAUCAUCGAAAACGGCUCAGGAGCACGGAGGCCUCCGUGCUCCUGAGAGCACAGGGCGUAUAUAUAUAUAAUAUAUAUAUUUUUAUAAUAUUAUAUAUAUAUAUAGUGGCGCUGGUAUGCUUUAUGGAGCCACGGAGAUUCGUGCUUACCACUUUGGUUUUCUCAGAUGUUCGGACUUUUCGAAUCGACGAUCGCGCUCGUUAGAGUUGAUCUGAGUUUGACACCUAGAAAAAUAAAUUUUGCAAUUUUCGAUAUCUUUGUCUAUAUGAUCGAGGCCAUGGUGAGCGGUUGCAGUUUUUUUCUAACGUGGUAUAGAAAUAUCCAAAUCACGAUAAAAUUUUGAUACAAUAAUUUCUUUUAUACAGUAUAAACAAGAUAAUAACUUUGAUUAACAAUUUUAAUUGUCAUAUUAUCUAUCAUAUUUUGGUAAGAUUUUUAAUUUUCGAGCGUGAAUUUUAAGCACUUCGAUCACUGGGCAAAUGAUAUUGAAAAAUCUCAAAUUUAUUUUCUAGAUACUUUCAAGACUUCUAGAUCAAGUUGCCUAACGGAGCCGAUCGUCAAUAUCGAAAGUUCGAACAUCGAAAAACAAUAGUGAAGCACGGAGCCCUCCUGCUUCAUAAGCAUCCUAGUCGACUAUAUAGUAAUAUAUAAUAUAUAUAUAUAUAUAAUAUAUAUAUAGGAUAUGAGUGGGCUGUAUGCUUCUUGAAGCACGAAGCCCAUCCGUGCCCUUCAAGUUGUUUUCGCAUGGUUCGGACUUUCGAAUCACGGUCGGCUCGAGGCCUUUUCCCUCCUGACGUUGGCUGAAGUUGAUCUAGAGUAUUUGAUAAAAAGUUACCUAAAUAAAUUUUAUGAUUUUUCAAUGCAUCAUUUGGCCUAGUUGGAUGAUCGAAGGGGCUCAAAUAUUAAUAAUUUUAAAGGCCGUGGUGAGCCGGUUGCAAGUUUAACGGUGUAAAAAUAUCCAAAUCACAUGAAAUUUUGAUAGAAACUUCUUUAUACCAUAUAAAACAAGAUCAAUAACUUUGAUCUAAAAUUUUAAUGUCAUAUCAUCAUAUUUUGUAAGAUUUUUAUUUUCAGCCGUUGAUUUUGAGCUACUUCGAUCACUAGGCAAAUGAUAUUGAAAAAUCGCAAAAUUUAUUUUCUAGGUACUUCAAAUACUCUAGAUCAAGUCUAACGGAGCCGAUCGUCGAUUCGAAAGUCCGAAGAUCGAAAACAACUUGAAAGCACGGAACGCUCCGUGCUUCCAGAAGCAUACCAGACGCUAUAUAUAUAUAUAUAUAUAUAUAUAUAUAUAGUCCGGCUGGGGUAUUAUCGAUAGCACUAAGAAUUUGGUGCUAUCGAGUUUUCCACCGUUAGAUUUAAUCCUUUAAUUAUUUUUAUCCGUUAGAUUAUACUAUUCAACCUACCACUUAUUCAACUCUAGGGGCCCCACAUCAUCCUAACCAUUCAUUUAUCAAUCCAAAGGCUAAAAAAUCAAUAGCACCAAUAGCUUUGUGCUAUUGAUAGUAUUCCAUUCUAGUUCAUAUAUAUAUAUAUAUAUAUAUAUAAAAUUGAGCUUCUAUGUUUUUAAAAGUACCAAGUUAUUGGUGCUUGUAGAUUUUUAGCCAUUGGAUUAAGUGAUAUACGGCUAGGAUGAUGUGGGCCCCUACAGUUGAGUGGGUGGUUGGUUGAAUAGUAUAAUCUAAUGGUUGAAAAUGAUCCGAGGAAUAGAUCUAAGGGUAAAAAACUUACAAGCACCAUAGCUGGACUCUAUAUAUAUAUAUAUAUAUAUAAUUGAGCUAGAAUACUUUUAGAAGUAUCACCCUCUUAGUGCUAUUAGAUUUUUAGUCCUUGGAUCUAUUCCUUGAUUAUUAAUAGCUAUUGGAUCACUAUUCCACCUACCAUCAUCAUCCCAACCUUAUAUUUUUCCAUCCAAGGGUUAAAAACUCAAAAGCAUCAAUCUCUUGGUGCUUUUGAUAGUAUUCUAGCUCAACUCUAUAUAUAUAUAUCAAAUACGGGUAAGGGUAACGCAGCAUUUAGGAGUCAUUUGAUUUAAUGCAGUUAUAAAUACAGUAUAUUUGAAGAUACAUGCAAAUAGAAACACAACGGUUAUAACUUUAUUAUAUUCUAUUUGGUUCGAUAUAGUAAAAAGCACUGCAAUUUAUAACUAUAAAAAAUUUGUUUGGUUACAUACAGUUGAAAAAUAAUUUUUAAAAUUUUAUAAUUAUAUAUAUAAUGGUAAGAUUACUUUCAAUAUAAAAAAAUAUUUUUUUAAAAAAAUAAUUAAGAAGGUAAGUAUAUUUUUUGUUUAAAGUUACCCUCUUCAUCUGCUGUAGUUGGAACUGCGACCAAUUUAGGCGUAGUUCCAACUACUAGAAUUGGGCCUCCUUUUACAGUUCUUACUGCAGCAGUUGAAGUUAAAUACGUCAAACUAAAUAUCGAAUUUGUAUUUAUAUAUAGUUACAAUUGCUUGGAUGCAACCAAACAGUUCUUUUAGUAUAGUUAGGGUAUGUUUGUUUCACUAAAAUUGGACUUUCGGUUGAAGUGGAUUUUAGGUUGAAGUGGAGUUCGGUGAAAACUACUUUUUUCCCACUGUUUGUUUUAUGGAAGUAAAGUUUUAUUAAUUCUACUGUUUGUUUUGAUAGAAAGUGUAUGAUAUAAAAUUAUAAUUUAUAUAUAAAUAAUAAAUAUUUUAAUAAAUAAAAAUAAUAUAAUUAUAUUUUUAUAUCAUUAAAAUUUAAUUUAAAACAACUAAAUUAUUUUUGUAUACUUAAAUUAUAGUAAUACAACAAUUAAAUUAUAAAGUCAAAACAAUAUUAAUACUUAAUCAAUCAAUUUUUAUCAUAUUUUAAAUGUACAAACUAAAUAAAGAAAAUAUUAAAACUUAACUAAUCAAUUUUUAUCAUAUUUUAGAUAUAUUAAUUGAAUAAAAAAAUAAUUAAUAAUAUAAUUAAAUAUAUUUAAAUAUAACUAUUUUUAUCUAUAAUAUUAUUUUAUUAUUUUUUCUUCAUCUCUCUUCAUCAUAAUUGGCUUCGGUCCACGAUGGGACGAAGUUAAUUACGUCGUUUGAGAUUAACUCGAAUUUCGACCGUAACCUUUUUACGAUGAACCAAACAACAAAAAUAAUCGUUUAUGACGAAAACGACUUUCCUUCUGCCCAUUUCUGCCCCAUUUCUAUCCAAAUAAACACGACCUUAGUGCGAUGCGUCGUUGUCGUUUUUUUACCAAGUUCAUCGAGAAACUUGCGCUGUACGAUAUUAAUACAUUAUUAAUGGGCUCCUCUUCAGUUGAUGUGAUUAUUUUUCGAGAGGAAAAGAUUUUUGUUUUUUCCUUUUGAUGAAAACGUUUUGGAUCGCGAAACUCUGGGCGUGGAUUGAGUUAGGUUGGAAUCAAUUAGGAAUUUUUGAAGUAUCAGAUUCGAAUUUGAAACCCGAAGAGUGUAACGUGUGAUAGAAACACCAGUAUUUUUCCAACCCCGCAUAUUAAAAAAGUAGGGGCAAUUUUUAUAUAACUUUUAAAAAAUUUCGAUUUUUUUAUUUACCUAUCUUAGAAAGUUAAUAUUGAAAAUAUUUUUUUUACGUUCCAAUAUAUUUCUAAUAUACCGCUAAAGUUAAAAUCUGUUAAUGAACUUUAUUAUUUCUUUAAAAUUACUAUUUUGUCCUUUCAAAUAUACCCUUCUACUAUCACCGACUUUUUUUGUGGGGUAAUUUCAUAGAUACCCCUCCCAAAGUUUAAAAUAUCAUCUAUAUCCCUAUAAAGUUUAAAAUAUCACAUAUGCCCUUGUAAAUACUGAAAAUUAUCACCAUUAUCUCUACCGUCAGUUGUGUUAGUUUUACACUAGUUAUUAAAAGGUUAAAAAUGGGUUAACUUUUAAAAUAACCUAUUUGCCCUCAACUAUGCUAAGUAAAAAAAGGUAUGGAGACCCUCUCAACUAUAUGCCAUUUUGAAACUGCUCCCUCAACUUUUAUUCUUCUAGUUGACAACCCAUUAACUUUUAGUUUUUUAAAAAAUUAACUAAUUUUAGUGUAUGAAAAAUGAGAAUUUUAUCAAGUUUUUUGAUGAUUUUAUCAAAUCUAGUAGCUCUAUUUAAAUUUUGGCAAAUAAAUAACUAUAUAUAAAAAUUUAAAUAAAAAUAAAAGUUGAGGAUUUUUCCUAUCUUUUUUUAAUAUUGGAAGCUUAAAAAUUUUUUAAGCCAAAAUUAUUCUCAAUAAUUUUCUCCAUUAAAUACAUUAAAAAACUAAAAUAUAAUAUAUUUUAGCCUACGAACAAAACUCUCUUUUUUCUUUUUUCAGUCGACAAAAAAAUGCAUGCAUAUUGUUAUUUGAUUUAUUUUUUAUUAAAUAGGAAAAAAAAUUAAAUCUAUCUUUUAUUUCAAAAUUACUAUUACUGAUUAGGAAUGUGAAUUGAUAUAGGUACACAAUUUUAUCUGAACUCGAUUUUGAAUGGGGUGAGCUUAAUCGAUGCUAAGUACGAAUAGUUUCAAUUAAAGUUACAAAAAAAAUAAAAUCGCAUUAUAUUCAAACUCAAUUAUGGUUUUGGUUUAUAUCCAAACCAAACCUGAACCGAAAUCCGAAGCCGAAAACAAAACCAAAAUCAUAUAAAAACAUACUAUAUAUAAAAUACAAUUUUUAUAUAUUUUUUAAUAAUUAAUAUAUAUUAAUAAUUUAAUUUAAUAUUUAGUAUAUUAAAUAAUCAAAUUUAGGUUUACAGAAAUUGUCUUGAAAUAUCUAUUAGUAUUUCUACUACUGUUGGUGAGAGAUAAAGGGUAAAAAUAGCAUUUUAAAAAUAUAACUCCAUUUUAAAAGGACUUUGACGAACUUAAAUAGUGAAGGGCAUUUAUGAUAAUAUAGUUUUUGAUAUAUCGGAGGGCAUUCAUGAUAUUAUCAAUUUUAGAAGGGCAUUGAGGAAAUUAAUAGUCCCCGAAAAGGUAUCUAUGAAAUUAUCCCUUUUUUUAUUUGCCCUUAAGUUAGAAAAGUAUUUUACUUUUUAGUCUUUUCAAAUAUAUCAUUCUAACAUUACCAACAUUUCUUAUUUGCCCUUAAGUUAAGGGUAAAAGUAGCAUUUUAAUUUUUUUUAACCUUGGUAGAUAUUUAACUCACGUUUAACCCAAGUUAAUUUAAUGAUUGGUAACUGCAGAAAUAUCUUGGAAUAACGGAGAAACAUAUGAGAAGUAUAUUAGAAAGAAAAAAAAAAUUAAGAGUAAAUAAGAUAUUUUCGAAGUUUUCAGGAGUAUAUAGACAAUUAUUCUAAAAAAAGUAUAUAAUUAACGUGGNAAAAAUAGAUGAAGAUACAACAAAAGAAUCACUUAAUAAAAAGAAGAGUUACAGAACCUAACCAGCAAAGAUUUUAAAAAAAUAAAAUAGCUAAGAACCAUGAUCCCAACACCUAAAUAAAAUAAAGAAAGAAAGAAAUGUUAACCAAUACCCAAAAUCUAAUUAAUUAUCAAUCAAGAUGAUGAACACUAAGCUCAUAAUAUAUAUAAAAAAAAAUAGAAAAUACGGUAAACAAAAGUAAUCAUCCAAACUUUAUAUACUUGGGGUUCAGUUUUCAUCCCUCAACGCACAGCAGAACAUCCUGAUCUCGAAAUUUGCCAUGCUCCAGUACGAAGGAUAUACAUAAAAUUGACGAUGUCUUAUAGAUAAAAGAGAACUUCUAAAUAGUAAGAAAAAAGAUAGUAACAGAGAAAACGAUGAAAAAAAAAAUACAAUGCACAAACUCGGAGCGAAGAGGAAGUCCAUAGAGAGGUUUCAAAAAGAGAAGGGGAAGAGUCUAGACAAUGCUCAUACUUUUCAAUACAAACUUUUGUGUUCGUUACGAUUUUUAUUUUUAAUUAUAAUGUAGAAUUCUUUUUUAUUUGUUUUCCUAACGACAGUCAUAAUUUAUUAAAAUAAUAAUAACCCACAUUUUUAUCUUAAAAGAAGAUUUAUGUUAUUAUGUAUGUAAGUACUGAAAGAUUGAAUCCGUACAUCCGGGCAUCUAAUAAUGCACCUCAGUACCAUUCAACUAUACAUAGCUGCUUCAUAAGUAUACAAAGUUAGGUUUUCAUGCACUGAAAUUAAUGCACUCCAUCACUAGCUAUUAUAUAAAAAAAUAGAUAUCACUGACUGUUGUAGCGCCCUAGUUAGUUAAUUCGCGAAUUAUUAAAAAUUCGAAUUAAAUGAUCCGUUUACGAAUUAAAAAAAAAAAUUAUUCGUGAAUUUUUGGGCCAGUCAAAUUAUUCGCAAAUUAUUUCCAAAUUAUUGAAAAUAUAAAUAAAAAUCUUAUAAUUUUUAUUUUUAAAUAUAAAUUAUCUUAUAUUUUAUAUCUUAUAUUUUAUAUUUUAUACCGAAUUCGUUUUUUAAGCCAAAAUUUUCAAUGAAUUUAAAAAUUAGAAAGCGAAUUUUAUGCGUAUUAUAUCCGUACUGAAUUUUUGCCGAAUCCGAAUUAACUAACUAUAUGUAGCGCAAGUAGUAAGAGCCCCGAGAAUUGGUACCAAGGUUCUAAGUUCAAAGUUCAGACUGAAUUUAUUUCUAAACGAAGCGGAUUGCAUGCUAAAUAGAAAGAUAAAUUUUAGUUUACUCUACUGUUAUUUAACUCCUUUUCGCUUUAUCAUCUUAUAGUUCAAAAGGCUGUACUUUAGUAUAAUAUGAUUUUAUAUUUAUUUUUAUCUAAAAAAAUGAUCUAUCAAAUAGGAUAGUAAGAUAAUUUUUUUUAUGACUACAAAGUAGUUAAUUAUAAUAUUUUUGAACGAAAAAAUGGUAAAAUAAAAACGCGAUAAACAGGAAAAAAAAAGACUUACAAAACUUACGUAAUUAUAAAUAUUUUGAAUUGGUUGCUUUAAUGUUUCAAAACUUUUAUUUUAAUAUUCAACCUUUCAACUUAUUUGAUUUGAGUCAGAAAAAAAAUACUAUAAUUUUAAAAUUUAUAGUAGUUAUUUAUUUUAAUAAAAUUAUAAUUACGAUAAUUGAAUAAAAUAUACUAACUGAAUAUGUAAAAAAUAAACCGCGCAUUCAAAUUUUAAAGCCAAAAUACCGUUAACUGAUUCAACUCAAACAAAUUAAAAAGUUAUUUUUUAAAAAUAAUAAAUAAUCAAAUUAAAAUAAUUCAUGAUUUAGAUAAAUUUAAUAUAUUUUUAAAAUAAAAAUAAAAAGGUGUCACGAAAGAGUAGCAGAAUCUUGGUACCGCGGCAAGUGCUGUCCUUACCACCUGCAAUUAAUUGGAAACGUUACAUUGCUUGAGAAUCGGACAAAAAUUUUAUGGAAACCGUUCCCAAACUAGUGUGGAUGGCGCCACGUGACCGAUCUGACGGAUGUUUUCUCUGCUGCUCUCUCUCUCUCUCUUUAAAUACAGGAAAACUUCCCAAACUAAUUAGAAUUAGUUUGGGACCAUCUCUAUAAAAUUUUUGUCCUUGGGAAUAAGAUGUUUAGGUGCAUUGCAUUGCAUUUAUUCACAGGUGUUACCAUAACGUGCCCAUCGGGAACACAAACGAAGGUGGCGCAUGUGACAAUGUUACGUACCAUCACACUCGCUGCACACACAAGUGUCGCCCUCUUUCCUCCACCACGUACUCACUACUCACCUCGUUAUCUUCCACACCUAAACAAAGAUAAAAUUUCAUUUCUAACGACCUAUUUUAAAAAUUUUUUUACUGCACGCAUAUAAAUAUUAAUUUUUUAAAAAAAUGCAAUAUUUGAAUAGAGAUAAAAUUAAGGAUUAAUUUUAUAUAUAUAGAUUCAUGCAAAUACAAUAAAUGCUAAAUGUAUUUAUAUAAGAUUUAACUUUUAUAUAUUAUUCUUGUAAAAAUUUCGAUAUUUUCAAAUAUGUCCUUACUGUUAGAAUAUGUUAGAAAAAUUUUGUUAAUUAUAAAUUAAAUACUUAAUUCUCAUCAUAUUUGUGAUGACAAAAUUAAAUAUAUAAAUAGUUUUUUAACGGUAACAAAUUAGGGUGAUGUAUUUAAAAAUAUUAAAAUUUUUAUAAAAAUAACAUAUAAAAAUUAAAUUUUAUAAAAAUAUAUUUAUUAUUUACUAUAUUUAAAAGGCGCUGUAUAAAAUUAAUCCUAAAGUUAAUGCCUGAUGGCGAAUCUAGGCUCUUCACUUUGAAAUAUUCCCCAUGUACGAACCACAGUCCACGUGGCAUCUUCUUAGAAACGAUUCGAAACAAUCCCCCACUACACGUGGAAGUGGUGAUUCCAUCGCAUCAGUGUGCGGUCCCAUUAAUUCUCUUUCUUUCUUUCUUUUUUCUUUUUUUUUUUUCUUUUUUUUGCGUGUUUGUUCCACAAUGUGUGAAAAAGGAAGAAGAUAAUGUUUUCUUAUUGUCCUUGUCCCACUUCAUGUAUGUAGCUUGUCAUAAAAGGCAAAAAAAAAAAAAAAAAAAAGUAUCAUUUGAGUAGCCAUAUUGGGAUGACACAUCACACAUGGAGGGUGUUCUUUUCACAUCCGGAGCCAGCACAAGUGGCUGGGGGAUCAUCCAUCGUUUUUUUAGCAAUGCUCACUCUAUAUAUGCACAUUUAACAAAAAAAUAAUAAUAAUAACCGAUCGUACCUAAAAUAAGUGGUAAAAAACUUGGUAGUUGGUAUCCGAGACCCAAGUUCGAAUUCUAGUUGAUUCACAUUUCCAGCUAAGUUUAUUUCUAAAUGAAAUAAGCGAAGCGGAUAGCAUGCUAUCUAUCUAUCAAAAAAUAAAAAUAAUAGAAAUAAUAAUAACUUUUUUGUAUCAUAUCUAGCACAAUUAAAUAAAAAUUUAAUAACGGGUAUUUAAAUGUAUAGUUAUUUAUAUAUAUAUAUAUAUAUAUAUAUNAUAUAUACAUAUAUAUAUUUAAAAAAAAAACAAUUUGAAAUUUGCCCUUCCAAAACUUCAAAAUGUUAUAAAUUGUUUAAACAAUUAAAAGAUCAUCAAAAUCUUUUUUUAUCAUUCAAAAUUACUACUAAGAUAAAAUAUUUAGAUAGAGAGAUGUCAGAUAAAAAAACCCGAUUUUUGAAUGUAUAUGUAGCAUAUAUCUCUUCUUCUUUUUUUUUUUAAUGUUUAUGAUCUCCUCAAUAAUCCCUCUAUUACUGUUGGAUUCUUUUGUCCAUACAUGAAGAAUAAUUUCUCUCCCUAAGCUUGAUGUUCUUUUUUGACUUUUAGAUGUUGACUUCAAGUCCUCAUGCUCUCUUUAUCUAUUUAUUUAUUUUUUCCCAGCUCAGCUAGUUCUUAGAUGUACGUAUUAUAAUUCUCAUAUUAGUGUAUUAAUAACAUAAUAUAUCAAGUUUUAAUAAAUCUAUCUAAGAAAAUUUUCUCUAGAAAAACGUGCGAGAAUAAAUGAAGACAUAGGAUUUCCACAAAGUGCGACCUUAAUCGUUAUUCAUGCCAAUCAUGCACAAUGCUAAUUUUUUUUUAAAAAAAUGUGAGCACUUCACCCUAACUAAUUUUAACCACAACCGAUUCCGCAUGUUGCAUAUUUUUCUCAAACCAAUUUUACUUACAAAUUUGUGGAAUAAUGUUGAAUAUAAAUAUUAAAAAUUUUGAUAUUGCAUCGCAUAAUAUAACGUACAAGUGGUUGGAUUCGAAUAUCCAAAUCCUGCUUCAUUUGAAAGCUAGUAAAAUCCUGAUUUUUUUUUUUUCCGAAUACUUAUUAAAAGAAAAAUCGGAAUUAUGCAAUAAAUUUUAUGAUUGUGCCACACAUACGUAGUGGUGCACGCAAAACGUGCAGUCACGUGACGACAAUGAAGGCAUGAUAGCAACACUUACUUGGUCCAAAUGGCACGGUUACUUUCCGUCCCCGUGAUUCCCUCGUUUCGUUUCCCCAUUAUUAUAGCCAAAAAUAAAAAAAACUAUAAAAGAAAUUUAUGUACUUUCUUUUCCAGAGUAAAAAAAGAUAAUAUUCAGAAAAACAAACGGAGCGGAUUUGGAGGCAAAAGUCUCGUCUUCUGCCUCCCAUCUCGACUACUAAAAUUUCAUCUCACCUCUUGCUCCGAAUUUACGAUAAAUUAAAAAUUAGGAAUAAUUACUUUUAUAUAUAUACUUCUGAAAAUUUUUUGAUUUUUUAAUUUACUCUUCUUAGAAGGCUAAUAUUGAAAAUAGCUCUUUUACGUUAUAACCUAUUUUAAAUAUACUUCUAGAGUUAAAUUCUGUUAAUAAACUAUUAGCAAUAAAUGCUAUCUCUAUGAAAUUACUAUUUUGUCAUUUUAAAUAUACUCUUUCACCAUCACCGAUUUUUUUUAUUUGCUCUUAGGCUUCGUUUGGGAUUUGCGAGGAGAUUGCGUUACAUGCUGUGAAAAAUGACAAUGCGUACGUAAUAUUAUGUUCCGCAUAUUACGGUUAGUCGGUUACGAUAUAUUUUCUGCGGUUCCAUUGAAAAACGCAGAAAUAUAUCGCUAUAUACUUUUUUUCAACUUCAUUCUAUCUANUACGUGCGGUGAGAAACAAUGAUAGAAAAAUAUUGCGUUCCGCAUAUUGCGGUUAGUCGGUUACACUAUAUUUUCUGCGGUCCCAUUGGAGAACGCAGAAGCAUAUCCCUAUAUUCUUUUUCUCAACUUCAUUCUAUCUAGGCUUAGUUUGAUAUUGAGUUCUAUCUAACGCUACUAGAUAGAAUGGAGUUGAAAAAAGAAUAUAGGGAUAUACUUCUGCGUUUUCCGAUGGUACCGCGAAAAAUAUAUCGUAACUGACUAACCGUAAUAUGCGGAACAUAAUAUUACGUACGCAUUGUCAUUUUUCACAGCAUGUAAUGCAAUCUCCUCGCAAAUCCGAAAGAGUAUAUUUUCCCAUCGUCGUUUCUCACGACACGUAAUACAAUCUCCCCGCAAUCCCAAACCCAUCGUCGUUUUCUCACAGCACGUAAUACAAUCUCCCCGCAAUCCCAAAAAUGAAGCCUAAGUUAGGGACAAAAAAAUAUUUUGAUUUUUAAUUUUUUCAGAUAUACCCUUCUAUCAUUACCAACAUUUAUUAUUUAUCUUUUAAGUUAAAGAGCAAAAAAGGUAUUUUGAUUUUUUUUAACUUUAAUAAAUAUUUAACUCACGUUUAACUCGAGUUAACUUAACGGGUAAUAACUGCAUGAGUAUUUUGGAAUAACGGAAGAACUUAUUAGGGUAUAUUGGAAAGAAAAAAAAAAAGGAGAAAUAAAAUAUUUUUAAAAUUUUGAGGAAUAUAUAUAGAUAAUUAUUCCUAAAAAUUAUAUUUCAUAAUCCAUCCUGCUUCACAGCCUACCUCUCGGUGGUGCUCCGAAUCUGCCCCACUAACUAUUACUUUUUUUUUAUAAAUUAUAAUAUUAUUAAUAUUCUAUAAAAUAUAAAUUAAUAAUAUUUUAACAAUAAAUGAAUAAUAUUAUCAAGUUAUAUAAUUAACAAUACAAAUUAUAAAAAAAUAUAUCAAUCAUAAUUCGAAAUAAAAUUUAAAAAUUUAAAAAUUUCAAAUACAUAAGAAAUGAGAGCACUAACUUAUUUGUAUUUUAAACUGUUGUGUGAAUAUUUUUUUUUAGAGAUAAUUUUAAAAAGAUAAAUCAUUUUUGGGAUGGAUUCAGAGCGGGGCAAAAUUUUUUUCGUUUUCUGCCCUAAAUCCAUCUCGGACCAUAAAAAUAAUCUCAUUUCUUCUCCUGAAUCCAUUUAUUUUUUUCCGUUUGCUAUCCCAUUCAGCACGGGAGCUCCACCAAUCUAGAUCCGUUUAUAUCCAUAAUUUGUUUCAAUUAAUUUUUUAAAUUAAAUUUAAAUAAAAAUAUAAAAUAAUUAGAUUUUAAAUUUAUAGUCUUAAAUACUAAUCAUCAAAUCUUUUAAUAUUUAUGCUAAAAAUAGUGUAAUGUGGAAGUUGUUGAUGUACUGAAUAUUAUUAUUUGUGUGUAAAAUAACGGUGAUAUAAAAUAUGCUCUCGGUAAAUUCCGUGGUACACAUUCGGACCGAGGAAAAAUUCUAGAAUGCACCGGGUAUAUUGGUAACGUGGUUCAAAUAUCUCCUUUCACAAAUAUAUGUCCCAUCAUGAUUAUAAAAAAAUAUUUUUAUUGUAUUUUUGUUUGAAAAGAAGAAGUAUGAUUGGCUUGUUAUUGAUGAUGUAGUGUAAGUGUGACAGUGUAGAAUUCUUCCAGACUGAGCGGCCACGCAAUUCCUAACUGGCGGUGGGUCCCACUUUUAAAUGCUAGUGUUAAACUUUGCUUUUAUUAAUUUAAAACAAAAUUUAAAUAAUUUUUUUAAAUAUAAAAUUAGCUGAGAUUUAAAUAGCUUACAUUAUUUUACAAAAAAAAAGAAAUGUUUGGAAAAUAAUAUCGGACCAUAUUGGGCUAACGAGAAAGAUCUAAACAUGCCGUGCCAUGCCGGCUGCGUGUGAACCUGAUGGGGGGCACGAUAGAGCCGACGCUUGUCAUGGGGCUCUGUCUUGCCCGGGCCAUCAAUCUGGCACGGCACGGCACGGUACGGUACGGUCCACUUUACAUCCCUGUGCUCGAGCACGGGAUGUCGGCAUAACAAUCAUUCAGUGAAUGGAUUAUUUACGGGCCGACUUUGGCACGAUGUUAUUCGGCAAACGGAUCCUUUAUGGGCCAAAACAAAACUAUUUGGGCCUCUUAGAUAUUGAAAACCAAAAUCCUUAAUAACACAAAUAGAGAACAAAUCAUUAGCACUAAUAAUCUCCCAGAUAUUAGGUUUAGAAUGAUUGUUUGUUAGUGGAUUUUGCGUGUUGCUGCAUCAUCAUCAAUAUGACUUCGUUGUUCCUUAUCCAAUUUCCACCAAUGGAGGAUCGCGUCGAGUUUGAAAGCUUUUCCACAGUCAGUGUCAAUGACGAAUCAUCCACAAGCUUCCAGAGUAAAAUGAUGGAUAAAUAAAUAAUGCACGAAAAACUGCGCAUGGAUCUAAUUAAAUUCUGUUGCUACUCUAGAGAAUGAUUACAGGUAAAGAUCAGUCGAUGAAACAUCAUUACAUGAAUUAUUAUUAUUAUUAUUUUUUUAAAGAUAAAGAUAGCAUAUUUCCUCUCUCAUUCAUUUGGAAAAUAAAUUUUGCUACUAAUGUUGAGAUAACGGGAGUUCGAGUGAGUCAAACAAUUGCAAAAGAAAAAAAAAAAAUUCACAUUGUCAUCCAUCAAUACAACAUAUCACUUAGGAUUGCAAAAUCCAGCUCAUUCUUUUGUUAUUUCACAAAUUUAUCUAAUAACCACUAAGAUGUCGAAAGAUUGAUUUGUAAAAAUUAUAUUUUUUUUUUUUUCAUCAUAACAUCUACCAAUAAACCGCCACACUUGCCGGAUACUUCUCUUUUGCCAAAUUAUUUUUAUUCGGUCUUUAAAUAGGUGAAAUAUUUUUUUUGAAUUAAUAUUUAUUCGGCAUUAUAAUUUUCAAUAUAUUAAUAAUAAUUCAUAAAAAUAUUAUGAUUUAAAAUUCAAAAAAUAAAAAUAUUUAAAUAAAUAACAAAUAGGAGUGGAAAGAGCGGUUUGUUGAACAAAUAUUAAUUAUCUACAACUAAAAGAAAAACAAAUUAAUAUAUAAAUAUAAAUGAGAAAAUAUAGAAAAAUAAAAUAUUAUUAUUAGCUUCGUGAGGGUACAAUGAUAAUGAUAAAUAAUAUAUAAACAAUGAAAUCUCUUUGCCUCUCUCCGAGCCGCGAGAGCGUCUUUGAGGAAGGGCCAAAUCACGGGGGGAAGGAGGAAAAAUAAAAAAUAAAAAUGUAUGCGAAUACGCUCCCCCCUCUCUCCUCCUCCCCUUCCCAUGGAUCCCUCUUCUCUAAAAGGUUCCUCUCUCUCUCUCUCUCUCUCUCUCUCUCUCUCUCUUGUGUAGAAUCUUUGGAUUCUUCAUAGGGUUCGGCGGGAACGAUGCGUUGUUUCGCGAGUCGGAGAUAGUGGAAUUGGGAAUUUUGAAACGUAGUGAUGAUCCAUGCGAAAUCAUUGCAUCGACGCUACUUGUCCCGUAUAUUUGUUUUCUUGAUCUGUUUUGGCUCGGAAAAGCUUUGAUCUUGUGUUAGAUUUUUGAACAAAAAUUGUAUCUUGAUCGCUUCGUCCAUAAGAUUUUAGGGUUUGCGUCAACGCGCUGCUGCUCUCUAGGGUUUUAUCGCUGUAUGGUAUCGUGGUUUAGAUUAACCAAUCCCUCUGGAGUUAUUUCUGAUGAAGAAGAGGGAGCAGAAGAAGCCUAAGCUACUUUUUAGAUGUGUUUGGGCAGAGUUUUAUUUUGUUCAUCUUGUUACUAUCGUGGGGAAAAUUUUGUUAACAAUGGUGGUUGAAGCAAAAAUUAGAAGUUUUGUUUAUUGCCAAGGUGGUCUGUUCCUUUUCCUUUCCGGGUCUAUUUCUAUCUUGUCGAAUGAUCUGUUUUUGAUAUUGAUGUAUCGCUGCGUCAUAACAUUUAUGAGCAUUUCAUCUUGCGGUUUAGAGGAUUAUUCCUUGGAAAUUUUGCAGACAACGCAAUCUUGCAAUUGCUAUUCCUGUAUGUAAGGAUUGCUAAAACUAGCAUAUGUUCUUGUUUUUAUUCUCAGAUAAGAAGAAACUUGUCAUUACAGAUUAGUGCUUAUCAAAUUUUGUGAUGCAAUAAUCAAGUGCUUAUCUUGCUAAAAGUUGCCCUCAAGAUCAAUUUGGACAUUGGGAUUGCUCAAAAUAAUGUAACAACAUUUAGAGUGUGAAGGAUUUGCUUCUUUUUUUCCCCCCCUUCAAAAUUCAAGCAGUAAUAGAGAGUUGCGACCUUCAGUUAGGUCGAAAGUCGAUGUAUAACUCAUAUUUGCUUCAGAGGGGUUGGACAAGUUGUAGAGGCUUGUAGCUAAACUAAGGUCUUACACUUUCAUGUGAAGACCUUUGAUUUCUGUCUUGCUAGUUCACUACAUGAAUUUCUAAUGGGUUCUCUCCCUGUUUGUUCUAUCGGAUACACCUACUUGCUUCCAAAUGAAUAUAAUAUAAAGCAAUCAUCCAUUAUGUAGAAAGUCUUGCCAUUUUAUGUCAAUAAAUGUUGUUCAAUUUCAGAAAUUCCUUGUGUUUAGGUCUUAGAAGAGGCAAGUUAUUCUCCAAAUCGAACUACAAUGGUUGGUUCUUCUUCUCUAAUUGCAGGUAUGGAUUGUCUUCAUGAUUGGAGAAUAUCAUGUUGCAGUGCCUAGAGGGGAUCAGGCAACUAGCUGCUGUCCUCCUGAAGUGCUGUGAUCUUGACCUGUGCAAGCAACCUAAGGGUCUUGAAGAUCCUGAACUUUUGGCAAGGGAAACAGUUUGUACGUCUCUUGUCACUUCCGUAGUUGCUAUUGGAAUUUACCAUGAUGGGGUGUAUCACUUGUUUGUGUUUAUAACGUCUAUGUUCUUGAGUUACUUUUAGGCUUUUCUGACCCCUGUAUUCUUAAAUGCUUAGAGCACAUCAGCACACUCACCUUACCUUUCAGCUAAUUACUUUGUAUAUCAAAUUGGUAAUGUAGUAAAAAUUAGACCACCUUGGGCUGAAACUUUAUUUUCUUUAUCUGCAGUUAGUGUAAGUGAAAUCGAAGCUUUGUAUGAGCUAUUCAAAAAGAUCAGCAGUGCUGUUAUAGAUGAUGGCUUGAUUAACAAGGUUGGGACUUCAUUUAAAGCAUUUUAGACUAUUACUUUUUUAUGUUGGCGCUUUCAGUGAUGUUAAGCGAACUAAGUGGUAUGCAAUAUUUGUUUUAUUUCCAGCAGACCUAUGCUAUUGCCAUCUUGACAUUUUCACUCUCUUGCUGCAGGAGGAGUUCCAACUUGCACUCUUCAAGACGAAUAAAAAAGAAAGCCUAUUUGCUGAUCGCGUAUGUCACAUAUGAAACAUAUUGGUUUAAGAGACUCCAAUACUACACUUUAUUUUAAUUAUCUGUAAAGCCACAUGUUUCUUUCUCAGUUUUGUUAUGAAUAUACCAACUGAUUUUUCUUGCUUUACUUCUUUGAACUUUCUGUACACGGGCAUAGCGAGAGAACAACAUGCUAGUUUUGUGCUUCUUAUCCCUUAGGUAUUGUUCGCAGUUCUUUAAUUCUCAACAUUUGCAGGUAUUUGACUUAUUCGAUACAAAACAUAAUGGAAUUCUUGGGUUUGAGGAAUUUGCACGAGCUCUAUCUGUAUUUCACCCUAAUGCUCCAAUUGAUGAUAAAAUCGAGUGUAAGUUGUAUCAUCUUCCAGCUAAAUUUAUGACAUCCUUGAAUAUUAUAUCACCCGACUAUUUUGUUUCAGAAUGUUGUUUUACUACGUUUUGCUACUUUCUUCAAAAUCACAACUGUUCCAACUUUUCCAUAAUAUUGGGGUCUUUGAUUGAUAGCCUUCGUGGUAUAAGAUGCUGUGGGUCAUGUACCCAGAAACAACUAGCUACUAUUGUUUUUCAGUAGAUUCAUCCUUUUCUUCUUAAUGCUUAUCAAACUUUUUUAUGUUGUCAACUGAAAUUUGCACAAUAUUCUUUUCAGUUUCUUUCCAACUAUAUGAUCUCAAGCAACAAGGUUUCAUAGAACGACAAGAGGUACUUUCAUAUUCUUUGAUCAAUCUAAUUUACUUAAGUGUGAUGUACAAAUAAGGAAGUUCUAUAAAAGCUUAUUCUUUUGCCACUUGUCCUUAAUCACUUAGGUGCUGAUUUUUAAUUCAAACAUUUGUUUCUUUAUGCUUCUGAAAGGUUAGGAUGCAUUAGUGACUUCACUGUAAGAGUUAUAAUUUUCGCUCUCUGUGAAUUUUUCCUGCUAGCAUCAGUCAGUGGGAAAAUGGCCAUGUAUUUGAGACCUAAGUCUUACAUUGCUAUUUAUCAUGAGUAAAUAUGAAACUGAAUAUUGAUAACUGCUUGUGCUUAAAACGAUUGUUAGUUCUUUGUUUUCCAACAAAAUUCCAUUUGAUGGGCUCUACUGUUAUUGCAAACACUAUACUGUCAGAAAUUCCAAGCUGUAUGUGCAUGACUGUAUUUGUCCAAUCUGACUUGAUUACUAAUUGCUUCUUAUGCUGUUCAUAAUAUUCACGGACUUGAUAAUUUAUCUUCUUUCCUUAUUAUGAGUUUUACCAAGCAAUUCAUACGUUGUUUGUUUAGCUUUUCGAGAGAUAACUACAUAACUAUUCAUUUAUUCCAUCCUACCUGAUUCCGUAUGUAAUUAGUAUCCGAGUUCUUACUGGCUAAGAGGCAUCUUACUGGUGCUAGAACUCUUUCUUCAUGUCCUAAGAUCUUUUCCACUUUCCUGAUAUUCAGGUUAAGCAAAUGGUAGUGGCUACACUUGCUGAGUCAGGCAUGAACCUUUCAGAUGAAGUCAUAGAAAGUAUCAUAGAUAAGGUGCAUUCUCGAUUAUUGUUAUUUGCCUUUUUCUUCAUAUGUUUCUUUGAUAGACAGGCACACUAAUUUUUCUUCCCACUAAUCUUUCUCUCCUGAGUUAUACUCUGUUUCAGUAUUCUUGUCUUUUGCUAGUUCACCAGGUGACAAUAUAGCAAACCAAGGUUCAAAGUCAUAAUAUUCAGGAUUUUUUCACCCUUCUACUAGAAAGAUAUCCAAAGAUGAGACGAAGUGGCUUCAAAUGCUUCCAUUUGUUUCAACAAUUUUUAAUUAUUUACUCAUCUCAACCUUGUUUUUCCUGGUUAACUUUCAUAUCAUUCAUCGUAUAAGUGUAAAGACAGGCAUUGAUGCUGACAGUGUCUAUUGAUGUGUAGAAGCAUUGUGUUAGCUGUAUUGAAAACUAAAACCUUGGCAAGCUGGUCGAUCCUGAAAAAAGAAAAAAGUUUAUCAGGCUUUAGCAUUAAAUAAAUCUUGUGUAACAAAACUGGCUACAAAUGGUACUUCGGUAAUUAACCAAGAAAACCUCUUACUCAAUAAAGUACAUUUUAACUUAUGGAUCUAGGUUGCCUAAAUGCCUAUACUUGAACCCUAAAUACAUUUGGAAAUUUCUCCCUUCUCUCAUAUCUCAGAAAAGUUGAGCAGCCCGGUUCAUUGUGAUUCCUCACUCUCGUUCUUUUGCUGUACGGUGUUUACCCUUACGAAUUUGGAACAGCGCUUUAGUAGCUCAGUUCAUUGUGCUCCAUGAAAACACGCAUCUUUGUACCAUAUUUAAUAGCCUGACAAUUGCAUACUAUUAACCAUGCAUUCACAUGAACACUCAACACUGCUUAUGGGUGUAUUGUUCACCUGAUGGUCAUUCGCAACAUAAUUGAUAUGAUAAAAAUUUCUAUGUUACUGGCAAUUAGCAUAAUCUAGUUGUUGAUUAGUGCUGGUUCAACCUGAAAAUCUGCUAAACAAUUAGGUCUUUUUUUUAAUUGUUGCCAAUAAACAUACUUCUGCUUGGCUGCAAGACAUUUGAGGAAGCAGACACAAAGCAUGAUGGGAAAAUUGACAGGGAAGAGUGGCGAAAUCUUGUUAUGAGACAUCCAUCUUUGCUAAAGAAUAUGACUCUUCCGUAUCUCAAGUAAGAUUUAUUUACUCCUAGCGUAUUGAAUUACUGAAAUUUCUAGUAUGAUUUCAGCACGCAUGAAGAUACUGGAUGCCUUAUACCGAGCUCAAUUACCUUUUUUCUGCUACACGGCAUUUCCUAGCACUUUUGUUGAACUCUCCAUGUUGCUUUUAUAAAGAUGAACUGAGUGCAAGUAUAUCAAUGCAUCUACCAUUCCAUGAAUGAUUUUCUCAGAUUAAAAAAGAAAAAAUUAUCAUUCCUGAAUCCUGAUUGAGUUACACGUGUUCAGGAAGCUCUUGGGCGUGUAAACUGAAUUUCAGAUUCCUUACUUUCCCGUGUAGUCUUGAAUUCUUGAUCAAAUGUGUACUUUUGUCUGCUGCCGAGGAAAUUUGUUAUAAUUUUCUACAUCACAUUUGAUGGCUACUGAUUUUUUAAAAUGCACUAUUUUCCACUUCUGUAAUCUUAAUAGCAUUUAUCUAUUCCGAAUAUACCAAUCACAGCAACUGUUUAUUUUUGUGAACAGAGACAUUACUACGACAUUCCCAAGCUUUGUGUUCCACUCUCAAGUCAACGAUACCUGAGGUUUCGUUCUAUGCAUCUUCAAAACCAGCAGAUAUGUUCAUAAAUCAUUUGUUAAGCUAGUUUGGUUUUGACAUCGCCAGAACAUCACAGUGCACAGAGGAAUAUUCUCUUCUUUAUUUUAUAUUUCAGUGACCUUACUGUAUUUAUUUUCAUCUGAGGGGGAUAUUUAAUUCCGCGACAUUCGGCAUGAUGUUUAGUUAUUAUUGUCAUUUAUCUUUUUUCAGCUUGGAAGUUCUGAAUUGUGUAUAAAUUUGAAAUACUUUGGUGGUUCGGUAUCGGUAUCAUUAAGCAAAGCAAGAGUACGGGGUUGGUCUUCUAUCUGUUCUGUAAAACUUCCUAAGCAAAACUUAAGCCUGAUCUGUCCAAAUUUUCCUUUCUUUGAUUGAUUCAACCGGUUCGAUCAAUUUGGACUGAACUUGGGUCUGAAAAUUAUUUACACUUUUCCGGUCCGGGCUUUGUGGAAGAUUCAUCACUGUAUUUAUGCUCCAGUGUUGUUGCUGCUUAAGUAAAUGUUGUUUCUUGCUUCUUCUCUACCAGAUACAUAGCAUUGUAUUAUUAUUUUUUAUUUAUUUAUUAUGUAAAAGCCCAUCAAAUUUUGUUAAAAAUAACUAUUUCUGCUAAUAAAGUUGUGCUGUGAAAUAGAGCGCCUAAAUGAUUCCAAGAAAACAAAAUAAAAAUAAAAUACCAGUGAUUGAUUUUGAUCUUUAAUUUUUCUUGAGAGCUCCACCACCUAACACCAUAUUGUAGAAAUACAAAUCAAAUUCUGAAAAAACUUAGAACAAUUAUCAAAAAUUUAUUUUGGGGACCAACUUCAUAGGGACAUUUACUUUGGAGGGGUCUCUAGUCAUUUAUUCACCUACUAAAGAGUAAUAAAAAGACCCUGAACGAAUCCUUCUCUCCCCCUUCCCCUUCCCCUUCCUCCUCCCGCAGAUCGUCAUUAAAGGAGGAGAGAGAGAGAGAGAGAGAGAGAGAGAGCUCCGCAGUUACCUCUCCCAGGCCAUCUCCAUCUCCUUAUCCUCUUCUCCCCCUCCGAUCGCCAUUAAGCGAUGCAGAAGACGGCGCAAGCGUGGUUCGUGGGGGGCCCGAGCGGCGGCGAGCUACCGAAGUCGUCGUCGUCGUCCUCCUCCUCCUCCCUCCUCGCCGAUUGGAACUCGUACGCCGCGUCCAAAUCCGCCGAGGAGGCCGCCUCGUCCUCCGCUCUAGGGUUCGACAUCGAGGCCGCCGUGCGCACCGCCAACGACAAGGUCUCCGGGACGUUCAACGUGUAAGAACAAUCUCUUUAGGUUUUAAUCUCGUUGUUUCCCAUUGCGAUUUGCGAUCUUCAUUGUUGCUCUUUGUCGGAUCUGAAGUGCUCGGAAACUUUUUGGACUAGAUCGGCACUGUGCGGAUGCUGGAAUGGCCGUGCGGAGGGGUAUUAUUUGAGAAGAUAAACUUAAUUAGGGUAUUUGUGGGAAUUAUUAUACCAACUAGUGUAGCAUUAGGUUAAUUUUUUGGGAUGGGAUACGUGUUGUUUUUUGUCUAGAAAUGCUACUGGAUGAUUGGAAACAAGGAUUUAUCAACAGAUCCCUUCGCGGCUAAAAGAUAAGCAAUUAACUUUGUGCUAUCGCAGAUGUAACUUUGUACACACUAAUGAAGGAUAGAGGAGACUACGUAGUCUAUGUUCCUGAGUUGCACCCCAUUGCUUGAGGCCACAGGAGUUGAAUUUAGAGUUAAAAAUACCGCCUUUUACUGGUUUGGCAAGAAUCAUCAGAUUUCAGUGAUCUUGGGAGUGCAGUAUAAUCGUUAUUUUGUUUAACUGUGAUUUCUGUAAUGGAAAGAGUGCAAAGAGAAGGGUUAUAAUGUACAGAAAGAAAGAAAGAAAGAAAGAAAGAAGAAUAUAGAGAAGAGAAACGAAUCAAAGCUAGAGGAAGGAGAUUGGACAAUUUAUUUUAACCUUCUUUCAGCAGACAAUUUGCAUUCAUUGGCAUCAAUUGACCAUUUGUAUAAACUUUUAUCAAGACUAAGUAUUAAGUCCAUUUACAGCUUUCCUAUAUUAACUUUGGUUGCUCAAUACGUCAGAGAACACGUCUUAUUUGUGCAUCGUACUUCCAUAAGUCAGUUUGAAUUACUUUGCUGUUAUGAAAACAUGUAUUUAUUUUUAUGAAAGUAUCAUAGUAUACUUGAAAACGAAGAUGUUAGACCUUUGUUUGGGGGAUUACUUUGCUUAUAGGAAAGCUUCUUUUUUUUUUCUUUGUAAAACUACUAGCAUUUAUGUUGUCUUUCUUUAUCCGCACAACGUUAGUAGUGGUGUGGACUUUCAUGGCAAGUACAUGGCUCUUCAUUUUUCAUUCUUUAGUAUUUGAAAUUUAUUGAUUAAACUGCUUUUCAGAAACAGAAAAAAAAACUAUAUAGUUCCUGUACUAUUAUUAAACUUUUGUACUGUCGGAACAUUACCAGGGUAUCUAAGGGUGUGAGGGAAUUGCCAGGGAGCUUUCAGACUGCCACUAGCAGUGUGCCUUCCGGAAAGGCGCUCAUGUACUUUGGUCUUCUCCUUGCCAGCGGCGUAUUCUUUAUUUUUGUGGCAUUCUUCAUGUUUCUUCCAGUCAUGGUGCUAAUGCCUCAGAAAUUUGCAAUAUGCUUCACUCUUGGUUGUGCCUUUAUUAUUGGAUCAUUCUUUGCUCUAAAAGGCCCUAAGAAUCAACUGGCUCACAUGUCCUCCAAAGAGGUAUGGCUCCAAAUUAUGUAUCUUCUUUAUUCAUUUAGUUUUCAUUCUUACGGAAGCUGCAACAAUUUUAUAUUUUCUCUAUUUAUAUCCGAACAGUGGACUUCACAGAGCCGGCAUAAAUGGCGUGGAUAAGUUUUGUUCAAUCUAGUUUCUUAUUUGACGUGAAAAAUAUUAUGGCUUUGCCAUGUAAUAAAUCUGCUGAGUUGUCUUUCUCUAUUUGUACUUUUCUCAAAGUCGUUUUCAUCUAUAUAACACCUAGUGAGAUAUAUCACAUGUUGUGAGCUUAACUUCUUAAAUCUGCUAAAAUUCACGUCCUUUUUUAAUAUCAGGAAUGGGUAUUUCAUUGCUGAAAAAAUAAGAACAUAUUUAUUAUUAUCCAGUGAAACCUCCUGCCCUAGGAUUCUACUAAAGCUGUUAUUCUCAUGUAUUUGCUGCUAUUAAUAUUAUUUGAAAAUGUUUUCAUCAAACUGCUGAAUUUGUGACCUUUUACAUCUGGCACUUAGCACUCGCGUAUGAUCUAGUCUGGCAUAGGUUCUUCAAAUCAUCCCAAAAGUUAAUAUACUUCACAAAGUGCAAAUUAGUUUCCUUUCAAGUUGACCUGAACUUCUACACCGACUGGAAUGAAAAUUAAAUACAAUUACCAUCCUUCUGGAUUUGCCUAUGGGAGUUCUCAAAGAAGAUCGUCUUUUUUGUGAAUAUUAGAAUUGCAUUAAAUAAAAAUUGGCUUGUCGUUCCUGCUUUACUCAGAUGGUCAAGUUGCUUUCUCUUUGUUCACCUUCACGUGUUCUUCAGAUGACCUUAUGAAAUAACUGUUAAAUUUUAUUUUGCCUGUCUAAACUAUUUUUUUACAUUGCACAGUUGAUAUGUAUCAUGUUACUUACUAACAUAUCCAUUUCUACUGCAGAGACUCCCUUUUACAUUGGGCUUCAUUGGCAGUAUGGUCGGUACUAUCUAUGUUUCAAUGGUGCUUCAUAGUUACAUUCUCUCCGUGCUCUUCUCUGCUGUCCAGGUAUCAAAAUCCUUGCAUCACAUGUUUACCAUUUUCCUCCCCUUUUAUCCUUGAAUUUCUUAGAAUUUCUUAGAUACUCCAUCACAAAAUGUACCAUGGUGCAUACGUGCACUAUAUUCAGGUUUAUAAAAUGAGCAAUAUGGUGCUGGAAAUUAUUAGAGAAGGAAUAAUCUGGCUAUUGAAAAUGACUUAAUAAAGUUGAAAAUUUGUUGCUGAUCUUAUGUGAACCCUGUAAAUACUAAAUAGUGUUAUUAUAUUCUUGGCCAAAGUAUAUUUAGUUAGUAUAUUCAGAUAGAAGAGGGACUAGCUUAAUUAGGAUAUAUUAGUGGUUUCAGUUCAAACUUAAAACUUGACAAGAUUAAUCCUUCCUUUGGAUAAAAGGUUAGGUUGGAUGUGACUGAGGGCUUUGUUGUUGUAAUCGUUGUGUUGUGGGAGGUUAAGCAAUAUUUAGUGGAUUGGAUUGAAUCUAUGGCCAAAUGCUAGUUGUCCUAUUCUCCAAUCGGCUUAUGAAGUAAAAUUUAUGUAGUCGAAGGCCUCCAUUGUAAUUAUGAGCCAACAUGGGCCAUCAAACUUGAGGUUGUCUCUAGGAUCAUAAUAAAAAUAUCUAGAACACUUGCCCUUUUUUGUAGUAGCAUUUUUUGUUUCUUGUUUAGUAUAAAGUAAGAGGAUUUGUUUUCUGUUUUAAAGCUACAGUGCAACCCUGAGAUAGUUUGAUGCUCUUGUUUCUUCGUUGAUUUGUAUCCUAGGUUCUAAAUCCAGCAACCCACUCAUGUGACUGGCAAAUUUUUAACUGCAACAGUUGAUAUAUAUGCAGUAUUAUUUAAAUUAGUUAUUUUUCCCCCUCCCCCUUUUAGGUUCUUGCACUCACCUAUUAUGCCAUCUCAUAUUUCCCUGGAGGAUCCACUGGACUGAAGUUUCUCUUGUCGACCCUCACAUCUUCUCUACUAAAAUGUUUUGGCAGGUGAUACCAGUGUUCAUUGAUUUACAGCGUCAAAUGCUUGUAACCUAGCUUUUAAACCUGUUUCUGGACACAAUCAUAUAAUAGAAUAUUUCUGUGUAAUAGUGUUUGUUUUUCUUUUUCAGUGCUAAAAAUAUUGACUUUUGUUUCAAGAAUAGCCUGCUUGUUCACGGUCAUUAAAUGAUGAUUCUUGUUGGCAUAACGAGUUCAGGUUGUUCAGUUAUAUCAAGGAUACUGGGGCAGGAUAAUGAAGUUGAUUUCAUUAUUUUAAAAUGUUGAUACCCAAAGGUCACCUUUGCGGCAGCAUUGAUAUAUCGAGGAUAUCGGGGUAUGAAUUGCAACCUUGUCCACCUAAAGUCCUGAUAGGCCCGUCACGUAUUUUGUGUUUCUUUGCGCUGUAGGAUAGGAUAAAGGUAUGGGAACUGAACAUGUCUCUCACAGCCCACAACGCAUUGAGUUCACAGAUAGGUGCAUAGUCAAGAGAGAGAUUGUGCGAUUGCUGGUUGAAUACAUGGGUUGAGUUAGGUACAGUGAAAUAUAUGGUUAAAACAUGUGUGAUAUACUCAAGGAGUUUGACAUGACGAAGUCAAAAAAGAAAAAUGUGAGAUAUCAAUAAUCAUCUAAUUUCAGUAAGAAUAAAACCUUGAGGCAAUCAGGAAGGAAGGAAGGUUUCCUAUAGAUUUGAAGUUGGGCAUAUUAUCCCAUAUAGCUAAAGUUUGAUGACUUAGUAUGUAUAGAAUCAUGGGUAUAAAUUCUAUUCUUAUAAAUUCACAAUGAAGUUCAAUACAAUGGUUUUUUAGGACCAUUGUUAAAAGCAGUUGUUUGGGAUCCUUAUUGUUACCAAUAAGACUUAUGUUUGAAUCCUAACUGUAUGUGUAGUGACCUAAGGGCAUAUUAGAAAAGUGUUUAUUAAAUCAGAUUAAAUUUUUUGUGAAACACGAUUGGCAAUGGUUGAGAUGCCUAGCUUCUAAAGCUCCUUCUCUAAUCUGAGCAACAACAGUGUCAUGUAGCUAGCAAAAUUAAAAAACACCAAGAAAUGGUGUUUUGGGUGCAAGAUCAGAACAUUACAUUUAAAACUGCUGCUGCAUAGAAAAUCUGUUUGAAAUGUUUGAAUGAUAAUGUUUUAAUGCAUAUUCACAUAACUAUGGUCAAAUCAAGUAUUACUCCUACGGAAGCUAUAGCUAGGCCUAAGAGGCUCUUAGAUGAGCAGCUUAUAAUUAGUAUUCUUCUUUCGUUCGGAGUUCUUUUAGCACUUUAUAUCAUAAUUCUAUAAUUACUGAAUUCAAAUUCUUGAUGGGCCUUUUCCAAAGAUGACACUCUUAAAACAAUUAAGAACCGAGCUUAAUCAGUGAACCUGUUUAAGCAAGCUUGUUAUAAAAUUUUUUUUUAAUGCCUUUUCUAUGCUAACUAACUGCCCUAGGAGUCAACCACAGGAUAAUUUAAGUUAGCAAAAUUAGAUCCACGCUUUCAUCUACUUCAAGGUUCCAUGGGUUCCGAGUGUGAGUAAAACCUCUUACCAGAAUAACCAUUCAAAAUGUUUCUCAUCCUCAACUUCGCUUCACAAAAGCACAAUUUAGCUAGAAACUUGACUUCAAUAUUUUUUCCAGCAGAGAUUAGAGCAACUGAUACCCUAUUUGCCUAAUGAAUAUAAUCCAAGUGGCCUGCCGACACUUGGCUAAAUCUGGCACCAACUCUAUUCUUAAUUGCUUCGAUUGCUCUUUGCAUCUUUGACUAGGAAAAUUCCAAUACAUGUACAUGAUAUAUAAAAAUGCUGAACUCAUCGACGAAACAUUACUGUUGUUAAUACUACAUUAGAGCCAAAACUUCGCCCUCACACGGCCGGUCUUUAGUCAAACUCACAGUACUUUAUUUAGAUCAAGAACCUCUUAUAUUGAUUCAAUCAUAUAGUUGGUAGCCUAACUCUUCUCUUGGUAUCUUUUAUUCUUUUUAUAUUGAUGUAUUUACGUGCUUAUGUAUGUUCUUAAUGUAUUAUUGUUGAAAGCAAUAACUUACUAUUAGCAAGUGGACGUUCCAAAUUAGAUUAAUGCAAAGUGUAGCUCAUAUUGUGUAGAAUAGAACUUAAAAUACAGUAAUGAGUUUUUAGUAACCCUACUCUCCAUCCACCCACUAUUCAUAAAGCCUAAAGACAUAAAGAUACAGAUGGUGGGGGGGGGGAUUAAGACAACAAAAUCCUGAAAUCAGGGAGAUUAUGAUCUUAAUCCUCUAGGCUUGCUGAUAAGGAGACAAUGAAUUGACUUGAAUGGGGUAACCCCGGCAACUUCAUACUAAUUUAAUACUUAAUAAAACAUCACUGAGGAAAAGAGAGAUAUGGCCAUAAAUGGAGUAUAAAAAUGUGACCAUAAAAGGGAAGUGACAUGGAUGGGUCCUCAGCAUAUAAUCUGAAGUGGUAGACAAAUUAGCUUUUAACAAAAGUUUGUAGGAAAAAUCGGAGAGUAGUGCCCAGAAAGAGGCCAAAAAAUUUAACCUUUUUAUGUGUUAUCGUGAAAUUUACCGUCAUCGAUUUGAUGUUGUUGAAAAUUGCAGUGUCCAUGUUGAACAUGUUUUUAUUUGUUAAUAAAGCAUUUCCUCGUCAUUGAUUUGUGUUAGCAGUACCAGAGUCAUCAAAUGCAAAUUUGCAGAUUAUAUUUCUACUGAUGUUUCAUAGGGUGUAUUUUUAAUAUUCUUGUUAUAUUUUUUUGUUUUUGUUUUUAAGAAUCAUUACAAGAAAACCUUCAUAUNGGGGGGGGGGGGGUGGACCCCGCGUGCCUCAAUUUUCCUAGACGACCCACUAUGAUAACAUGCUAUAGGAUUAAAGUAACGCACUACUAACUAAGUAGGCUCACAUGUCGUAUCCACGGGGCAUGCGUAGAGAUUUGUGGAAUUUUUGACAUCACAUUAUCAUGUAGAGACCAUUAUGGAUAUUAUAGAUUGGAUUAAACAUUGCUAAGAGUUUUUCAGAACCAUAAGCUUAUUUCUUUCUGCUCUCCUCUGAUGGGUCUUGCAUUUUCUGAUCUCCAGUAUUCUAGCUUUCAAAGGUUUUUUCUUUUCUUUUCUUUUCUUUCUUUCUUUCUCUUUCGAGUAUCGCCAACUUGGCUACCUCUAUUCUGGACCUGCAGCGUCGUCUUUGCUUUACUAGUAGACUCAAUAGUGGUACAAACAUCUACCUUCUUAAGUAUAGUUAGAAAAUCUGGGUCGAACAGAUGCACAGUUUCAUGAACUCUGACCUCGUACCCUUCAAGCAUAAAUUCUAGUUUUGUGAUCUCGCGAGUUCUCUCGCAUUUUGCUGCAGAAUUUUCCUCUCUCGCUCGAUCCACCGUGCGCGUUCGGGGUGAAACAAACACUGCUUCAGAGUCAUCCACAUAGCCGGUAGGUUACAUAAUUUCACCAUCCCCUGCUUGCAGUUUCUGAGCUCAGAAGAUUCAGUAAGGAGUACUGCCACUGCUGUAAUUCUUAGGAAGAAGUUGAUCAUAGACUAGUAUAAUAUUGGACGGCCCUGAUCUUAGGAGAUAACAAAUGUUAGACCGUGUGAUAUAGAUCUCACUUUCCUUUUUGAUUCCCUCUCUCUUCAGCUCCCUCCGGUGUAUGGCACGUGAAGAACAAAACGGACAACAAGAAAAAUGCUCGUUCCUUUCCACUUCCAUGUGCCCAUCAACGGUCCUUGUUUCUCACUUGUCCUCUCUAAUUAAAUUUUCUCUGCUUUGUUCAGUAAUAAUAGUCGAGAAAUAAAUUUUUUUUAAAAAAUAAAAUAAAACUCUUUGCUUUCAAUCUUUCAAAGAAAAACUAUUCGUAGAUCAACUUGAUGUUAUAAAAGAAAUUAAGCAACUUAAAUUUUCGAAUCAUCGUAAACGCAACUGUAAUGUAAUUAUUUGUGCGAGUUGUCCUAAAAUGCUUUUUAUUGUCAGAGAACUAAGGAUGGAGAAUAAGAUGUAGAAGAACAUGCAUUACACCUUGACUAAGUACAAAACUAAUUAAUCUUUUAUUAAACCCACAAUAACUUCCCCUUCUCAAGCAUUUUUUCUUUUCUUUUUUUUUUGUUUUCUCAACUCUACUCUAGCUGCUUCAUGUGGCCCAUGUUGUUCUCACACUCUUCACUCUCCCCACUCCUCUCCUCUCCUCUCGAUGGGAUCCAAAUCCUCUUUAUUCCCAUGAUGUUUCCAUCCCCAUUACAUUAACCAAUUAACCAUGUGUGCCACCUAAUGUGUCUCCAAAAUUUUCCAUCAUCACCAUGUGAAAGCAUUUUGGCUCUAAUCUCAUGUUUUUUUAAGCUCAAUAAGUUAGAGAUUACGGUUGCUUCAUGUUACAUUAUUUGUUAUUUGGUUGACAUGAUUGAUUAUCUCACCUGCAUUUCUCAGUUAAAUAUUUAAGUCCAACAUUACUUGUUCCUACAGCUAAUUAUUAAUAUAUAUAUAUAUAUAUAUAUGUAAAUUUGAUAUAUGUAAGAUAUCAAAUUUGAACUUCAGGGAUGGAGUGACUGGUUUAUCUAUUAGAAUUUGAAUUAAAGAAUCACCUACUAUGAUACCAUGUAAAUUAUAAUAUGUUAUAAAAUGUAAACUGUUACUUUUAUUAUACCUCAAAACUCAUCGAACAAUCGACUCAAUGGAAAUUAUUCCUUAACAAUAAUAUGUAUGUGAUUUUACAUUCAGUAGUUAAUCAUCAAGAUCAAAUUGAUUACUCACAAUAAUGACACUUAAUUGAGCAAUCGCAUCAAAAACAUUACAUUAUAAAAAUUUACCGAAAAUUAUACAUCAUCAGGUUUCUUUCAAAAACCCAUAAAAGUUAGCUUACAAAGAAAGGCUAUAUAUGUUCUAGCACAUCAAAUCUCCUAAACUUAAAUUAGAAUAAAAAAAAAAAAAGUAAAAAUCACACAAAAGUGCCUCACUUCUUUUUAAGCGGGACUUGAGCAAGCAUUCCUUAGUUUGUGUAAUGGGGAGAGAACCCCACGAGGGCCUACCUGUCUAAGAAGAACUUUUUGGAGGGGGGGUUUUUCAAAAAAAAAUUAACAAAGGAGGGGUCUUGACAAUGUGAAAGGAUUUUAAAAAAAGAUAAAAGUUUAAAAAUUAACAAAGGAGGCUCCAUGUUAUCCUUGUUGUCCCUUCCACUCAAAGACAUGUACAUGUUCUAAGUUAUACUUUUGUAUUAUUAUUACUUUCCAGCAAUUUAUCCCCCUCUAAACCACAUGAUCAAGAUGAUUAUUAUUAUUAUUAUUAUUAUUAUUAUUAUUAUUAUUACUACUAUUAUUAUUUAAGGAUUAUCACUAACCUUUCCGUCCUUUAUUAGCAUGUGCGCUUCACUGAUUCCUCAACUAUUUAUUCAUUUUCACUCGAUCCUUUGUGUUAAUUUACUUACUUGCAAGUACUUAGUCUAUGUUAAAUGCCAGUAUUAAUUCUUUUUGGUUCAUAUAUUCCACAAAUACUGUUAUUUACUACGUACUCUCUUUAGAAGUCAAAAGAAAUGUAAUUAAGGAGAUUCAGUUCCUUCGUACUUAAUUCUUUUGCCCUAACUAUAUAUUAAAAAUUUUGAGAGAACAGUUCACCAGGAAAAAAAAAAAAAAAAAAUUACUAUACAAGAUAGCAGAAAGGAAUAUCAACAGAGUUGAUUUUAUAAUAAAUCAGGAACAUCACUAAAGAGCACAAUUUAUAAUGAACAAGAAAAGGCCAGGGGAGAGAAAGAGAGAGAGAGAGGGAUUUCACUUCCAAUGGCCCAAAAAAAAAAAAAAAUCCAUGAAAACACCAUGUAUUAGCAUUUAGCAAGUUACUCAACCAAGUAUUAGGUGCUUAACCAAAUUGCUUUUGUUAAUUUAUAUGCAACAGGUAAAGAAGAUUCACAUAUAAUAACAGCAAGUAGCAACCAUAACAAUUAACAACCUUGGUAAUAAAUAAAUAUUAAGUUAAGAGAAAUGAUAAAACCCCACCUUCCUCUCAGUUUCUCUUGCAGGUUUAAAUUAUCCAAAUCCCACCAAAAUUUCCCCUCCCCACCACUUCACCUUUCCACCACUCCAUACAAAACUCCAAAACCCAAUUUCACUAAACAAAAAACCUAUUAUUAAAACCAAUACCCAUAACCCAUCUAAAUCCAUCCCAUAAUCAGAAACACCACCAACUAUAUCAAAAUUUAAAACAAUUAAUAUGGAUCCAGAUCUCUACCUUUUCUCCUAUAAACAAAACAUGGGGUUUCCCCCCUCUUCUUCAGUCCCAACACAAACACACACACACACAUACUAACACACACACCAUCUCCAAUGCCUACGUUACUACUCAACACUCUCUUCCUCAACUCCAAUUCUAUCAGCUCUCUAAUUCUCUUGUUAAUCACAAUUAGCUCCACCUCUUUCUUCUUGUGUACAGCCAUUGAUGAGCAAGGCCAAGCUCUCCUCUCAUGGAAGCAAACACUCAACGCCUCCUCCGCGGCCACCGUGCUCAGCUCGUGGCGGCCGUCAGACCCGAGCCCGUGCCGGUGGUUCGGCGUGUCGUGCGACGCAAAUGACGCGGUCGUCGGGGUGAGCAUAAACUCGACGGACUUGCAGGGCCCGCUGCCGACGACAUUUGCCGCGCUCCCGUCGCUGCAGACGCUCGUGCUCUCCGACGCUAACAUCUCCGGCCCGAUCCCGAAAGAGUUCGCCACGUACCGCCAGCUCCGUUUCCUCGACCUCAGCAAGAACCAGAUCUCAGGUCCGAUCCCAGCGGAGCUCUGCCGGCUCCACAGGCUCGAGACGCUCAUCCUCAACUCGAAUUCUCUGCAGGGGCCGAUCCCUGACGACAUCGGGAGCCUCGCGAACUUGACGUAUCUCACUCUCUACGAUAACGACUUGGCGGGGGAGAUUCCGGCGAGCGUCGGGCUGCUGCAGAGGCUGCAAGUGUUCCGGGCCGGCGGGAACCAGAACCUGAAGGGCCCGCUGCCGCCGGAGAUCGGGAAUUGUAGUGAUUUGCUCAUGCUUGGCCUCGCGGAGACUGGAAUCUCCGGAAGCCUCCCGCCGACGAUCGGAUUAUUGAAAAAAAUCCAAACCAUCGCGAUCUACACCGCGCUACUCUCCGGUCCGAUCCCGGAGGAGAUCGGAAAUUGCACCGAGCUGACAAGCUUGUAUUUGUACCAGAAUUCGCUCUCCGGUCCGAUUCCGGCACAGCUGGGGGAGCUGAAGAAGCUGCAGACUCUUCUGCUGUGGCAGAACAGCCUUGUGGGGCCCAUCCCGCCGGAGAUCGGGCGGUGCCGGGAGCUCGUGCUCCUCGACCUCUCCUUAAAUUUGCUCUCCGGAAGCAUACCGUCGAGCAUCGGCGACCUUGCGAACCUGCAGCAGCUGCAGCUGAGCACGAACCAGCUCACCGGGCCGAUCCCGCCGGAGAUCUCGAAUUGUACGUCGCUCACCGAUCUCGAGGUCGACAACAACGGGCUCUCCGGCGAGAUACGGAUCAACUUCCGGAAGCUGCGGAACCUCACUCUGUUCUACGCGUGGCAGAACCGGCUGACGGGGAGCAUUCCGGCGGAUUUAGCCCAAUGCCAGAACCUCCAGUCCGUUGACCUCUCGUACAACAACCUCACCGGCGCGAUCCCGAGGGAGGUUUUCGGCCUCCAGAAUCUCACCAAGUUGCUGCUCCUAUCCAACGAGCUCUCCGGAUUCGUCCCGCCGGAUAUCGGGAACUGCACGAAUCUUUUCCGGCUCCGGCUGAGUGGGAAUCGGCUCUCUGGGCCGAUCCCCGCGGAGAUGGGAAAUUUGAAGAACCUCAACUUCCUCGACAUGAGCGGCAAUCGGCUCGUUGGUGUGAUCCCGCCGGCGAUAUCGGGGUGCUACAGCCUCGAGUUCCUCGACCUCCACUCCAACGGCCUGACCGGGUCGCUUCCGGAAUCGCUCCCGAAGAGCCUCCAAUUCGUCGAUGUCUCCGAUAACAGGCUGUCGGGAUCCCUCGUCCCGGGGAUCGGGUCGCUGCCGGAGCUGACGAAGCUGAACGUCGGGAGGAACCGGAUCUCGGGGCCGAUACCGCCGGAGCUCGGAUCCUGCAACAAACUGCAGCUCUUGGAUCUCGGGGACAACGAAUUCUCCGGCGAGAUACCGGCACAGCUGGGGCAGCUGCCAGCGCUGGAGAUCUCCCUGAACCUGAGCUGCAACCAGCUGUCGGGGGCAAUCCCCGCGGAAUUCUCCGCCCUGGGGAAGCUCAGCUGCCUCGACGUCUCCCACAACGCGUUGGAUGGCGGCCUCUACGCCCUGGCCGCGCUGCAGAACCUCGUCUCCCUGAACAUCUCCUUCAACGCCUUCUCCGGCGAGCUCCCCAACACCCCCUUCUUCCGCAGGCUGCCCCUCGCCGACCUCACCGGCAACCGCGGCCUCAUCGUCUCCGGCGGAAAUGGCCCCGGCUCCGAUGACGACCGGUCCGGCCGGGCAGCCGUAUCGGUGCUCAAGCUGGCAAUGUCGGUCCUGGUCAGCGUCAGCGCUCUGCUUCUGAUAGCGGCUUUAUACGUGCUACUCCGCACGAACAGGCGCCCGCGCGGCGGCGGGGGCGGCGGGGGCAGGGAGGGGGUGUGGGAGGUGACGCUGUACCAGAAGCUGGACGUGUCGAUGGAGGACAUUGUGCGGGGGCUGACGUCGGCGAACGUGAUCGGGACGGGGAGCUCCGGGGUGGUGUACCGGGUGGCGAUUCCGGCGGGGCCGACGCUGGCGGUGAAGAAGAUGUGGUCGGGGACGGAGAGGGAGGAGGAAUCCUUUUCCGGGUCCGGGGCGUUCCGGAACGAGAUCGCGGCGCUGGGAUCGAUACGGCACAGGAACAUCGUGCGGCUGCUGGGGUGGGGGGCGAACCGCGCGACGAAGCUGCUGUUCUACAACUACCUGCCGAACGGGAGCCUGAGCGGGUACCUGCACCGGGGGGGAGGGGGAGGGAAGCAGCAGCAGCAGCAGCAGCAGGGUGGGGAAGGGGAGUGGGAGAGGCGGUACGAGAUGGCGGUUGGGGUGGCGCACGCGGUGGCGUACUUGCACCACGACUGCGUGCCCGCCAUCCUGCAUGGGGACGUCAAGCCCCUGAACGUCCUGCUGGGCCCCGACUUCGAGCCCUACCUCGCCGACUUCGGCCUCGCCAGGCUGCUCGGCGCCACCAAUUCCAAUUCCAAUUCCAAUUCCGAUUCCAAUCUCGGCCUGCAGCCUCCCAAUUUCGCGCCGCCCUUUGCUGGGUCCUACGGCUACAUCGCCCCAGGUCCGUAAACAGUACUAUAUACGUCUCUCUGUCUAAUUAAUAUUCUAGCUUAAUAAUUAUAAUAAUUAUGAUCAUUAUUAUCAGAAUUAAUUUGGACUAAAGACACUUCAAAAUGUUUGAAUUAUUAAUAAUUCAAAUAUAAAAAAUAAUACCUUUUAGCCACUCUUUAUAUUUUUAGCUUUUGGUUAAAAAAAAGAAAUCACCUAUCGCCUGCUUGUUUCUUUAUUUAUGUACGCAGAACACAUGAACAAGAUCCAAGAAUUAUCUAACAAAGAUUUUUUUAAAAAAGAAAAAAAAAUUAUAUUUAUGCACUCACAAAAUAGAUACAUGAGCUGUUUAGGCCCCCACGCGCAUUCAAUCCAUCAUAUUAAUAUAUGAUAAAAAUAAUUUCCAUUUAUUAAAUAUGAAACUUAUGUUGGGCAUUUUUCAUGCAAACAGAGUAUGCAUCAAUGCAAAGGAUCACAGCGAAGAGCGACGUGUACAGCUACGGAGUAGUCCUGCUCGAAAUCCUAACCGGGCGGCACCCGCUCGACCCGACCCUCCCCGGAGGGACCCAUCUGGUCCAGUGGGUCCGCGAUCACUUGCAACGUAAGCUCGACCCGAUCGACCUCUUAGACCCCCGGCUCCGAGGCCGGCCGGACUCUCAGAUACAGGAAAUGCUGCAGGCCCUCGCCAUUUCGGUGCUAUGCAUUUGCCCGCGGGCCGACGACCGGCCCACUAUGAAGGACAUCGCCGCCCUGCUCAGGGAAAUCCGACGGCCCGCGGUCGAUGAGCCGCAAAAAGAGCCGACCGGAGCCCCCGCCCCGGCCGCCGCCUUUCCGGCCCCAAGCACACCUUUGAAGGGGUCUUCAAAUUGUUCUUUUGCUAUGUCAGAUUACUCCAGCUGAAGCAAAUAGAGAAAGAGAGGUAAAACAAAAUUAAUAAUAAUGAUAACAGUAACUUAAUAGGGGCAAGAGUUUUGGGAAUGUACGUACUUAGUUAAGGUUGUAGUUGCCCUUGUAAAUUGCAAGCCUAAGCUAUUGAAAGUACAUAAAUGUGAUGUACUUAAUGUUAGUAAUUUAGUAAAAUCUCCCCUUCUUUCUUUUUCUUUCUUUUUUUUUUAUACUUACUAGGUUAUUUUCUCAAGAUGCAUUGGGAGAUGAGGCAGGGGUGUGUACAAAUGAGUGUAGAAGCUGGUGCCAUGAUUGGUAGAUGCGUUGGGGUUAAUAAACUUUGUAUAUAUAAUUUUCAAAUUAAAUAAUGAGAGAGAGAGAGAGAGAGAGAAGGAUGUGGGGUAGGUAUCCAGCAAGGAUCUCACAUGGCCUCAUGUUGUUCUGAAGGGACUGCCCCCACAUGGGGAUGAGACAGAGACGUCUCGGCAAAGAAUGUGUGGAAUCCCCUGCAAUUGGAAUAACCCAGGUCCUCUUUUUUAUGUCAUGACUUUUUAUCGUCCUCGUACAUUUAAAAUUUCCCCUUGCUUUUGAUCACAUCUAGUUCAGUUUACGUGCUUGUUGUUUAUGGUACAGUUACUAACACUAUUAAUCUUAAAACUAUUUCGAGGUUAAAAUCUCUUUUAUUUUCUCCUCUUAUCUGUAUACAGGCGAGGUAACUAGUAAGCUAUUUCUAGAUAAUACAAAUAUUUAUUGGCAAAUGACAAGAGCUAUCUUCAUAUUUUGCGUCGAUGUUGUAAGGGAACUCUUACAACAGUAAAGUGAAAACUAAAAACAGCAAGAAGACAAAGAGCAAAAGAGAUUUAUCGAUCUAUCAGGAUGAUAAAGAACCUGGACAGUAUGGUCAGUGUCAAUGAAAGAUCCAAACCGUGCUCUCCAAACCGUGCUCUCGCCAAUCCUGCAAGAUAAAAAUGAAAAAAAGGAAGAACCUAGAAAAAAAAAAAGAACUCUCUUUAUAGUGUGACCGUCUUAUCCGCCGUUUAUGCACAUCGCGUGCAGCAUUCAAAGGGUCCCAUAUAAUUUCCGUUCAUAUUCUGUGAUAUAUUGUCGGCAUAUUGUUGGCCGCUGCGCUAAGUGCGGAAUCUGUCUUGUAUUUUCCCGAAAACUGCAGGUUCUUCGGAGAGCAAUGUUUUAGGCCUCUGUGUUUGUAUCCGAGCAUUUGACAGCUUCCACAAUGAUUGAAGAGCGAAGAUUAGUACGGAGUGAGAUUUCGCGUCCCUUUCUGACAGAUAAGGGAAACAGUACAAAUAAAUCAUUAACCAAUUUCCAUUUUUGUCCAAAUUAACAAUUUUGGAUUCAACAUAAUUGUGUAUUGAUUUUCGAUUAACAUACUAAUAAUUCUAGUCUUAACCCAUUCCCAAGGAUAAGGAUCCAAUAAGCUUUUCAUCUUGAGCAAUGCUCCUAUACACUAAAUAAAUCUUAGCCCUUAAAUUUUUUAAAAUGGACGGUAGUGAUGCAUCUUUUAUAAAAGUUUUUAGCCCUUAAAUUUUUUAAAAUGGACUGUAGUGAUGCAUCUUUUAUAAAAGGGCGACCCGCUGCUUUUGUUGUGAUCGGUACCGGUCAACCCCCCUAUCGAAUACAAAAGCUUCCUCAUUACAUGGAGUUGCACUGAGGGUAUUUUUGUAAAUUCUCAUCCUCAUAACAUACCAUAUUUGUAAAUACAGAAUAUUUUAUCUUUCUCCUUCAAUAUUCCAUCUUUGCAUAAUUACCUUUCCUAAAUUAGAUUUUCUUUACUAAUGAAUCAUAUUCAAAUUCAAAAUAUAAAAUGAUGCAUUAUUGAAAGGAUUUAGCUUAUCCGUUGUUCUUGAGCCUGACUUGAACAAGAGCUUGAAAGUUUAGCCAGUUUUAAAUUUAUUUGUACAAUUUGAGUAUUAAAUAAAAAUUUAAACCUGUCGCAAAUUUAAAUUUUUGUUGCAUCCAAAAUAAUAUUCAAAUAUAAAAUAUUCCAAAUAACAAGUUAUAUUAUGCAAUCUCUUAGUAAUAAAAUAUGAAAUAUNACAGAAUAUUUUAUCUUUCUCCUUCAAUAUUCCAUCUUUGCAUAAUUACCUUUCCUAAAUUAGAUUUUCUUUACUAAUGAAUCAUAUUCAAAUUCAAAAUAUAAAAUGAUGCAUUAUUGAAAGGAUUUAGCUUAUCCGUUGUUCUUGAGCCUGACUUGAACAAGAGCUUGAAAGUUUAGCCAAAAUAAUAUUCAAAUAUAAAAUAUUCCAAAUAACAAGUUAUAUUAUGCAAUCUCUUAGUAAUAAAAUAUGAAAUAUACCAUCCAAAAUAAUUAAUUUUCUUUGCAAUGAGAGCAUUUUGGUAAAUUUCCAUCCUCAUAACAAACCAUCUUUGUAAAAUAUCUCAUUCACUCCGAUGGUUUCACCCACAAUCAUCUUCUUCGAAGCUAUUUUUUCUUUUUCUUUUUUUUGUGUUGAGAGAGAAAUUCUUGUCGAUUGCUUAAUAGCUAAUUUACACUUAAAAUUUUUAAGUCAUAGAUCAUUUUUUCCAUCUUCCUCUUCCAUCUUUUAAAUUUUCCAUCGACAGCAUCUCAUCUUCCUCCAAACCCCAUCUUUCAACUUUAAUGUUGUUUUUACUAUCAAAUGAACAAUUUGUAUUUAAUUUUAAAAAUAGAAGCCUUUAAUUUAAAUAAAUAAUAAAAGUUAUGUUUAUAAAUACAACAUAAUUUACAAUUUAAAAUAAGUUAAUAGCGUUGAAAUUUCGUGUCAUUUUAAUAUCAAAUUAAUAAUUUGAAUUGAAAUAUACUAUUCAUUUAAACAUAAAUUUUUUCGUUCUAAAAAUUAAAAUUAAAAUUAAAUUUGAAUUUAAUGUACACAAUUAUAAAGUUUAAGCUCAAAUUGAUUUUUAAAUUCAAUUUUAUAAAAAUUUAUUACUUAUCAAAUUAGCACUAUCUAAUUUGGUAAGUAACAAAAUUAAACAAGGAAACAAAUAUUUGUGUUGGGUUGAUCAAAUUUGGUAAUUGGCUUGUAUUUCUUUUCCCAUAUUAUCCUUACGAAUGAUAACCUGUUGAGCAGGUAACUACUAAGCAAAAGACAAUCUCGCCCUCAAAUUUUGAACGGCUAGAUUUAAUUUACUUGGUGUAUUGAAGCAUUCCUCAUAUAUAUAUAUUCUNAAAAUUAAAAUUAAAAUUAAAAUUAAAAUUAAAAUUAAAAUUGAAUUUAAUGCACACAAUUAUAAAGUUUAAGCUCAAAUUGAUUUUUAAAUUCAAUUUUAUAAAAAUUUAUUACUUAUCAAAUUAGCACUAUCUAAUUUGGUAAGUAACAAAAUUAAACAAGGAAAUAAAUAUUUGUGUAGGGUUGAUCAAAUUUGGUAAUUAUUGUAUUUGUUUUCCUAUAUUAUCCUUACGAAUGGUAACCUGUUGAGCAGGUAAUCACUAUGCAAAAGUCAAUCUCGCCCUUAAAAUAUGAACGGUUAGAUUUAUUUUACCUGGUGUAUUGAAACAUUCCUCUUUUAUCUUUUGGUAAUUGAGGGAUCUAACAACAAGAAGGCAACUGCAUAUGAUACUCAAUAGCUAUCUCUUGGUUUGCUCUACACAGGGCAUACUUCAGAAACAGUACAUCUAAAUGUGCCCAUAUCCGACACUUUCGGUAUCAGAGAUGCUCGAUCUACUUCCUAAGAGAUUAGUUUAAUAUCCUAAAAGUAAUAACCUACAAGAGAUACUAAUAGAACGACAAAAAUUCGGUAGCCUAAGUGCACUAGAUAAGUGGUUCAGGCCAAGCAUUACAGGGAAGCUUUAGAGAAACAAAUUGUAUGCUUAGCUUUAGAUCAGUAGGGACCUAUAGUACUUUUAAGCUUACACAGCAUAUCAUAGUGAGAUUUUUAUCUAUAAGCUUACAUCUAAUUUAUAAAUAAAUUUCGACAAGUACAAGAGAUCCCUAUAAAUAUACCAGCUUCAAGGAAAUGAAAUCCUCGAGUUUCUUAUAACUAAAGAAGCCUAAAAUUUUCACGAUGGUAUGAGUUUUCCACGAGACAAAGAUCGACUUCGCCUGCCUUCGGGUUCACAAGUGUUGGUUUUUUCAGCAUUUGGGGGCUUAUUUUCAUGCUUUUCAUCCGACAGUUGCUCCAUUUCCCGCCGUAUGGUCCUGUAGAAAUAAAAUUCUUCUAAGCAAGCUGAAAAAGAAAGAGGUUUCUGCAACAAUAAUUCAUCUUCUUUUUUUUAUUUUGAUUUUUUAAUCUACUUUUUUGGUACUCCCAACUAACUUGGGCUCACUGUUUUGUUAAAGGACAGAAAAUGCCAGUAGCCCUCUCACAUUGAAUGUGUAGUAGAGAUUUUGAUCAGGUGUAUUUUCAUCUAUGGAAUAAUAUUCAGGGGCACAUUAGAUUGAUGAAAAAAUUAUAUCAAAACAAGCACAUUAGAUUGAUGAAAAAAAUCAAAGGCAAUACCAUUGAGAAGUGGCAAGUGUACCUGCGCUCGAUGUUCUGGGAUAUCCUCGUCGAGGGCCGCUGAAACUUCUUUACCUUAGAAUUACCAUUUGAUAUGGAAUCAACAACGACGAACUCUUUGUUUUCUGUUUCAGAUGAAUCACUACUUAUCUUUCUUGCUCCUGCCUUUAUUCUCAUAUCCAUAUUAGUCUGAAUUCCAUCAGGUUUCUGAUGCAUGGCCUUUAUUCUACUACGAUCUUUCUCGGCCUUGAGCUCUUGUUGUUCAUCCAAUUCAGGCAAAUCCGCCUUCACAUUGCCAUUUUCUUGUGGGCACCAGUAUCUGCUCAAACUCUUAUUCGAUAGAACUGAUGGAAGUGUCGAGUUUGAAGUGUUCGUCGGCGCUUUCUCUGGAGAUUGUAGCUUCGGUACCAGCUUGUCGCUGAUGCUUUCAAAUUUUGGCUUGCUCUUUAAAAUGCUGGCCCUAUCGGCAGAUAAUGAGAUUCUUACAUGAGGAGAUGGUGGCCUUACCUUUCUAGGGUUCAUGCCGCAUUCUCCAAAAAUAAUUGGUGACUUAUCGUUUUCUUUCACCAACAAUGGUGAAGAAAAUUGUGUUCUCUGUUUCCCUGAAGAUGAGCUUAGGACCUACGAAGCAGUGAAUAAAAACAUUGUCAGCACUCGAGAUGUUUUGUUGUUUGCAAGGGGCUAUAAUAAUUUUCUCAUGUCCAAAUCAAAUUUAUCGUUCAUAGUCAUCACGCUUUACAGAUUCGGAAAUAAAGAGCGCAAAGAGUCUGCCAGUUUUCAAAAUUCUAUACAAGUCAAAGAUAAAAUCAGGUAGAGAUAUGUAAGCUCAUAUUAUAAGUCCUAGAGUACCAAUUUGUCAGGAAAGAUUACUGAAGCACUAUAAUGUGAUACCUCAAUUUUUCUAAUGUCACCUCCAAAAUAUGAAUUAUCUUCAGGUUUUGACGUCAUGACAACAGCAGCAGGAGAUCUUGCUCUAGAAUGCCGCACUUCAGAAGCACUUCGACGGUUAAAAUCUUUCAAUUGAGCUACCUCGGAUUCCUUACUCUCUAGUGCUGAUUUCAGUCUAAAGACCUGGACAGUUUGGAAAUCGCAUCUGAGUUUAUUAAAACAAAAAAAGAAAAGGAAAUUUUAACUAGAUGUGAAGAAUGCAAGAAUACCACCUCUUCUUUAAGCUCUUUAACUUGUCCUGAUUCCUUAUUAACAUGAGCAGCACCCAGCUCUAUCGACGACACACGCUCUGCAAACUUCAGUGUGCUGAUUGUUUCCCCAAAUGCAUCUACUUCAGGGUUUAUAUGUACAAACAUCAAAGUUUUAGCUUGGCCACCUGCAUCAAUUAAGAUGGUUAGCAGUGACAGAUAUAGACUUGACUAGAGCUAUUGAUCCAAAACUCCCGCUAUUGUAUUUAAAAAUGGCAAUACACGAUGCUCAGUUUGCCUCUAAUACAAUUCAUAUUUUCCAUCCUCCUUUAUAACUACUGCAGUAUGAUAGGAUUGCAGUUUUCAAACUUGUUAAACAAUGAAAUAUGCACGUCCAUUAAACCAAUAUGCACGAAAAAGGUCUGUAAAUUUGCAUCACCAUGCACAACCGUGCCGUCCUACAAAAUUCAGAUUCACUUAUCAAAAUCAACAAUUGAUAAAAUGCCAAAAUCUCCCUAAGAAAGUCAGUCAGUAAAAAGAAAAAGGUAAUGGAAAAUAAAGAAAUUCCCUUCACAAAGGUGAGACACUUUCUGCUCUCACUUUUCUCACCAUACUUUCCAAUCAUAAACAAGGCAUCCAACAAAAGAUAUAUUUCCAUAAUAGAGUAUAUAGGUGUAUAGCCCAUGUUCAGUUCAACCAUGUGUGAGCUCUGUGAAUUGGACAAAUAUAAGAACACAAAUGUCAAAAGACUACUUAAAAAAAAAUCAACAUUACGGACCUAAAGCAUGUUGUAAUACUUGUGUUAGCUUGCUAUUUCUGUAUGGAAUGUGAGGGCUUUUCUGUGCAAGUGCAGAGAUGACAUCUCCAAGAGCAGAAAGUGAUCUGUUUAUAUGCUGGGCUUCCUUUAAUCUUUCUCCUGUAGCUUCGGACUUGUCCACCCUCUCACUCCCUGCAAGAUCUACUAGAUGAAGACAGCCUCUUAUGGUAGAGCCAGAAACUAGUUCCUUCCCAUGGAUGUGAACUGUUAACACACUAUUUAAAAGCAGAACUGUCAAAUGAUUAGUAUGACUAGUGAUCCUAAAAAGCAUAAUAAAACUUGUAGAAUACAAAUCAAAUGAAAAUUUAUCAGCUUCUUAACAAUCUAGUGAUAUAUUUAAGGAAACUUUUGUGAAGUGUCAUCAGUUAGAAAGUGGCUUCAUGUGUAUAUUUCAUUGAGAAAAUAACUUUUAACCCACUUACUUUAGAUCAGGAAGGGAAUUAAAAACCAGCAANAUAAAUAAUUAUACAUAAUAUAUAUUUUUUUAUUUAAUUUUUAGCAAAAUAAAAAUAUAAAUGCGAGCUUAAUUAUAAAAAGACUCAUUUAUAUGUAAAGUUUCAACUAUUAGAUCAAAGUCUAAUGAAUAAGAUUUUAUAAAUUUAUCUUUUAUAUAUAUUCAAUCUAAUUCUUUUUAACUUAUUGUUCGUUGGCGAGCUCGUGAGCCAGCUCGUGUUCAGCUCGUUUAUUAAUGAGCCGAACACGAGCUGAAUUUUUCGGCUCGAUACUUUAACGAGCCGGCCCUAGCUCGCUCGUGUUCAGCUCGUUUACACCCCUACCAUCAAAUACUACUAAUUUCUAUCCUCUUUCAGUCUGAACCCUUCUCAUUAUUCACCAGCAUCUUUUGCAACUCUCUCUCAUACAUACUCCGUUUCAUUUUCUCAAUACAACAUGCAGCGCUUUCCUCUUCUUUUAAUUCAGAAAUUAUGUAACAUAAUUCAUAUAUAUAUAUAUGUGCGUGUGUGUGUGUGUGUGUAUUAGUACAUUGAAUAGUCCUCCAAUAUCCACCCCAUUACUGGAACAUUGGACUAUAUAAUCUGUUCAAUGGUUACUUAGAAUCACAACAUAUUUGCAGUAUACUGGACAAAAGAUAAUCUUUUUACCCUGUAGAAGUUGGCAAAGCACUACAGCAAUUGUACAGUACCUAUGGGAACGGCUACUACGCUCAUUAAGGGCGGUAGCUCCAACAGCACGAUUUCCCUGACCAAUUUUCAUCAAUUCCAAAACACCCUGAGUGCACUUCACAGGGACCAAACUUGCAUCUGGAAUGUUGAGGCCGUUCAGUUGAGAAUUGUUCCUUAUCUCUAGUGUGUCAAACAUUUAGGAAAUUGAACAAAUGAUGAACAUCCAAGAAUAAAGUUGGUUGCUGGCAGAAAUGUUGUUAGUUUAUAAUUUCCAAAAUUAACAUUCAAGAUGAUUAGUACUUCAGAAGAACUUCUGGAAACAAUAUUUCAGGAAAUAUAAUUUCUCCUACAAGAGCUCUACAAAGUGCCAUGUACAGUAAAAAGGAUAUCUCCUGUUUGUGCCGUCAGCUACCAAGAGAUCCCUCACUUGUUCAUUGUAUAUUUCAAUCAUCUGAACACUGACGUCAUAAGUUAUGAUAUCCGCCCUUGAUUUUGAGAUGCGGAAUAGAUCAUCCAGAGCACGAUAAUUCACACCCCAUGUGUCCUCCGCCGUCAAGUCUGGACCACUCUAAAGAAGGAAAAUUAAGCAUUACAGAUGUGGAAUUCAAACAAAGAAACACCAAAUAAUGAAUUAAAGUAUCGCGAGGCCAACAAAUGAAUUCUUUUGUCCUGAACAUCCGAACUGAAAAUGAAUGUUGCAAGAACUAGAAUAAGAAGAUAAUCAAGAAAAGAUGCAAAACAGAAGGUACACACAGAUGCACACAGACAACCCUUCCUUUCCAUCAAUCAACAGAAUGUUAACGGGGGAAAAGUGAAAUGCAAAGUUGAUAGAUUUAUCCAAUCAAUUACCAAACAAAAUUUCAUAACAAUUAUAGCGAAAAAAGAGGGCAAAUAUGAGAUGGGAUUUGGCAAAGCCAAGAUAUUAUCUGGUUAAAUUACCAGAAAAGGGCGCGAAUAUCUUUGUUGCAGAAAUUGAAAAAAUGUAAUCUGAUGGAGGGAUGAGCUGUGAAAGGUAGCAUGAAACAAACUACUAAUUCUCUAUUGAGAGUACCAUUGUAUAAGUUUUUCCAGAGCCUGUCUGUCCGUAUGCAAAUAUACAGACAUUGUAGCCGUCCAUCACAGAUCUGAUCAAAGGCUGGGUGUCAACAAACACUUCAGCUGCAACAAAUAAAAAUAAAAUGAGUGAAUAAUGUUGCUUUGGUAGAUGUCCUGAUUCAGAACAAAUUGUAGCAGCGAAAUUCUGUAGCCCAACAUAAAAAACCGAAGUUUGAAAUGGUUACCAUACAUUGGGUGGCACUAACUCCAAAUAUUUUGUUGAAUGAGAAUAUCUUUCUUCCGUCCUUCCCUUGCUUUUGAGGAUUCGCAAUUAUAAUGUCUCCAUUUUCUCCAAUAUGAUCAACAACAGAUCUUUCAUCAGGAUGCUUCUUUAAGAAAGGCUUCACUCUACAGUACACUCUAAUGUUUCCUGUAUUUACUCCCAAAAAACAUGAAUUGAAAUCAUAACAUAUACAAACUGAUGAAAUGACGGAGAAAUCUGUUUUGCAGUUACCUUUAAGAUCUUGCACUUGAUUAUAAAGCAAACGGUUUUCCUCAAGCAACUUAUAGUAGGAAGAAGAGUUAUCUUUAAGAGCUUGCACUUGGUGAUCUGAGAACAACUAGAGUCAGAUAAACAAACUAUAAGUGUUAAAAUAAAUAUCACAUAGAAUAUGAUUCUCACCAAGGCUUCUAAGGUCUUCUUCCCAUUUCUUUCGACUGGAUUCGAUUUGGAGUUUCAUUUCAUAGAAAGAUAAUUUCAACUUCUGAAAAGAACAUCAGAAAAAAAUUUAAAACUCUGCAUUAUGUAAGUAAAAGUAUUCCCUGAUGUACCUAUUCUGUUAAAUUUAACUGCAGGAAUCAGUUUAAAAAAGAUUGCAACAAUUGUGAAGACAGAAAGAUACAAACAAAAAUAACGUCCACAUUUACAUAUUCGUGGCAUCCAAGAUCAUCAGCCUAAAAUGCCAUACAGUAAUCAAAUCUGCUGGGUUUAAAUGAUUCUUAUAUGUUGCUGAAAUAACAACUUAUCCAUAAAGUACCAAAAUUCAAGGCUUUGACUAAUAUAUAUAUAUAUAGGCCACAAGAUACUCAUGGAGUGCUAGUAGUUGAGUCAAUUGUCACUGUUGUUGCUAGUCUUCCGUUGUUCAAAAAUUUUGCUGGGAGGACAGUUCUUCAAAUAGAAAGCAAAAAACAAGAACAUUAUCAUGAAUAAUCUGAAUAAUUGAUUACUAGUGGUGGACUUUGUGCCAAUCUCUGAUCUUGUCUUAGAAUUUAGUAGUAUGAUUUCCAUCAAUUUUUUUCUAACAGUUGAUAACAUUGGGGCUAGUCUCCAUUCAUUGGAAAAAUUAUGUUCUGUAGAGCAACCAGUAUAUUACAGACAGCAAAUCUCAAUUAAUAUGAACAUUAAGAAGGACACCCACCAAAGCUGAUAGACCUUUCAUUUUAUGUAACUAAGCAAAGUUUCUUUACCUCCAACUGUUUCUGUUGGUAGUCAACUCUUUCUUCUUUCUCUGGAUUUAAAUGGCCAUUGUUAGGAAUCUUUAAGCAAGAUGACAUCUCAUCACUGUUUUCUUUAAGAUGCCUCAAAACUGCUUCUCUGAACUCUGCUUUUGGAGUAGUUUUAUCACCAUCCUUUAUUAUUUUCUUCAAAAGCAACUCUAACUGUCAAAGAUGUCAAAUAUGAUCAAAACAACAUGAGACAAUCUAUAUGACACAAUUCUCUUUAACAUGAAAUACUAUCACAACUAACUUUGGCUCAUUGCAAUUCCGACUGAGAUUUCAUAAAUUUCUAGUCAAGUUUAUCAAGAUAUCAACUUCUUCCCUAUUUUACAUGGUUAGUUUUGUAAAUUAAAAAAAAAAGGGAUGCAAAAACAACUUCUUCCCUAUUUUACAUGCCCUUAUUUUUAUAUAAAAUACACAUAAUAGCUUCAAUAAAACUUUUAUAUCAACUAUUAACACAAUUUUACUUCGAAAAAAAAUUGAAGAGCAGCUUUGUCUUCCUCUAUUACCAGAAGCAUUUUGUGAUUUCUUGUGUAAAAUUCAUUGUGGAAGAAACAAACGACAGCAAAACAUGAUAUACAGCUGUAUCUAACCUCCAUCCAAACUAUUUAAAUAUCUUAUAGGAUAACAAAUCAUUAGCUGAUAUUACCUUAUUUCGUUGAGUUGCAAGCAGCACAGAGAACUCUUUAAAAGCAUGCUCGAGCAUGACUUCAAUAAGCUACAAUAUGAUACAGGAAAAUAAAUAAAUAAGCAUGCCGAUAUAGGGUGGAUAUGCAAAAAUAUGAUUAGAAAAAGGCAAGUAGAUAGACCACUUCAUUAAAAACAUUCACCUCUUAAUCAAUCACUUAAAACUCCAGGAUGAUAUGACAGGAUAAAAGGUAUUGUAGAUCUAUUUCCUGGCUCUGUGAUGUAUAGAAACACUGACUUCCUUCUUGUGCAUGAACUUGCAUCACUCAGUUAUUCUCCAAAUUCUUUUUUUUUUUAAUCCUAAGAUCUUUAUCAUGAAACUUUUAUCCAAAGAUUUAAAUGUCGUGGCACGAGAUCAUGCCGGAAACUGGCCGGCACGGUAUGGUACGGUGCGUGCCGAGCCGUGCCGAUGCGUGCCGGUCAAAAAAAUUCUUAUGUGCCGAUACAUAAUAGUAUGAUAUUUAUUUUCUUUAGCAACAAAAUAUUCUAACUAUUUAUUAUGUCUUUUUAUCACAUAUUUUGAACUUUAUUGACAAAAUUAUUUACUAAUUUAAAGAAUAGAGGGUUUUGAGUUGUGCCAUCGGCAUGGGGUGAGUAUCGUGCCGGUAUCUUGUUGGCACGGUAUGACACGGUGGAUACAGUCCGUGCCGACGGGCACUUAAAACCUUGCUUUUAUCUCUCCAUCAAAUCAUUUCUCAUUUAAAAUCAUGCCAUUACGCAAGAGAAAUUUUGAAAUCUUAACAGGUUGCAAAAAUGAACAACUAAAUCUGCCAUGUACUGGCAGAUUUUUCCAGCCUUUAAUUUUCUUUUUUUUCCCCUUACCAUGCGUCUCUUAGCAUUAGUUAGUAUUUUUGCUAAGUCUAUAUAUUUGAUAAAUUUGUUUGGACAUGAACAAAGUUGAUUGAUGCUUGACUUAUGGCGUACCGCACGUUAUCAUACUUCCACUCCUGAUAAAUGACCAUUAGAAUAGUUAAAAAUCAAUUCCAGCAUUUAAAUAAUCAGUCAACAAAAAACUCAGCAACUUUUAGAUGGACGCUAGUUCUAACUAUUGAGAGGUCUAAUUUUAUGCUUUUGGUGAAUAUGGGCAGAAACAGUCAAGAAACAACCAAAAUUCAGAAAUCUGUCUAACUGAUGAAUAAAAAAAAAUCUAGUCCAUCAGUGAAACAAGAAAGGAAGAGCAUGUUAAUUACCAUUUCAUUCGAAUGCAAGUCCUCCAGCUCGGUCCAUUCUGUGAAAAAUGCACGUACAAGUUGGAGCACAAACUGAUCAAAGAGAGAGCUUAGAAUACCAUCUGCUUUGGACUCUUCAAGAAAGACUUCAGUGAGCAAAUGUAGAAAUCCCAAUAAUUGUUGGUCAGGUAUCCAAGUAGAAUUGUCAGGUGGCCCGUGCAGACCUUUGUCACCACCAAGCAAGCUUGAAGGGAGCCUCUUAUUUAAGGAUGUUAUCUUUACAAUCCCCCCAUAUCUCCAAAUACCAAUUCCACCUGCUUGUUUCCACUCGUGAUACCCUUUGAGACAAAGGAUGCAAUCGACAACUUUAAUUGAUGAUCCCCCCUGUUAAAAAGAGUAUGCAAGAUAAGAAAUAAAUGAUAUUAUAUAGGUAAUUAGCAUAUAAACUCGUAAUUCAUCAAAAUAAACUAUUACAAUGUCCAACCUUUUCUAAAUCCGAUGCUUCAAAGGUCAAGAGAUUCAUCUCACCAACAGCUACAAGAAAGUUCCUCAUGUUCUCAAAAUAUUGUAUUGCAGACUGGGCAGCUCCAUCGGUUGAUUGUAUGGUAACAACAGGAUUUUCUACAAUCUGCCAUCAAUAAAUAAACAGCAAGUUUAGAAAAGAGCACCAACUUGGGCCUAAACAAAAGCAAGUUUUAGCAUCUGUCCAACAUUUGCCAAAAAAAGAACCUAAAAUUAAAGAAAUAGCUCGAAAAGAAAAACUUGGGCAACCAAUGUACCGACACAUUAUCUCCUCCAUUAUAUUAAAAUAUUACCUAACAAAGACAAACUAUCCACGAACUACCUUCGAAUGAGACAACAUAACAUGCUCCAGCGAAUUCCGGAGAGUGGCGACAACACAAGACCACUAUCUUAUAACAAAAUUAUUUUCCUGUUCCAUCUGUUACAUUCUAUUUGUAAAUGUAGAGUGUCGACAAUGCCUCCAAAGUUAAAGGACAAAGCUAACAUAUCAAAUCUCAUUCACCUAUUGCUCGAGAGGUUCGCUAGAUGUCAUUUGCACAAAUCGAAACUCCACAGAAGACACAAUUUAGCAUUUUUUUUAGACCCUAAGGAAAAACUACCUCUUAGUUUACACAUCACAGAGGCAAAUAUUGUAAAGAAACAACCAGCAAUUCAGAUUUAAGCAGAACAGCACUAUUAAAUUAAUGAAGAACCAGCAAUUCUUCGUGGUAUAACUUCUUGAAAGGAUGAUGACACAAUAACCUAUAGAUUCAAAUAGAUGAAAAAUUUUCUAUUGCAAACGAAAAUAACAACAAUUGAUCAAUUGUUCAAGCACUCAAUUUACUUUUGUAAAACAAAGGGCACGACUAACAUUCGUUCGAAGAUCAAUGACAAAAGUCAAAAAGAAGCAUUUUUAAGAGUUGGUUUGUGCAAUUAACGUCAAAAAGAAGCAUUUUUUUAAGAGUUGGUUGUGAAUUGCACCUCAAGAAGAGCCAAAAACUCAAAAUAAUAUCAAAAAAUAAAUAAUAAAUAAAUAAAUAAAGAGAGGAACUGGGAAUUGGUUACCUUUGGGACGGCGCCGGUGUUGACUUUGUUGAGGACGUUGCAGAGGAUGAGUCCAUUGCGGAGCGCAAGGCAAAACUCCUCUUCGGAGGGAUCCUCCGCUAGGGUUUCCGACGCCACCUGAUCCAUCCGCCUCAGCCAUUGCGCCGCUUGGGAUCUCCUCCAUGCUAUUUAGAACCCCCCACCCCCAAAACAAAAAAAUUGAGAGAGAAAGAGAGAGAAGGACUCAAAAAAUAUGAGAAAUUAUUGCGAAAAAAUGGAGGAUGAGAAACCCUUCUUUUUAGGGUUCUUCUUUCCAACUUCUCUCUCUUCAGCUUCCCCGCGGGAGAGGGACCAGGACAGGGUAAGUGAGAAAAGUUUGUUGUAACUAACGGUCUUUCGCGUCUUCGUAUCGUGGACGGGUGCUAAAACAACUAAAUAACCCGAGUCCUAGAAGGACUCGGACCAAACUCGGGCACGCCGUUAAUCAUUUACUUCAUACGAAAAUUUGAACGUCCGUAGGCGCAGCAUUCAAUACGUGCGGAGGCUUGGGUAUUUGGGUGAUCCUUCCAUCAUCGAUUGCCGAGAUGAAAAUUAAAAAUUUUAUUUUUCGAGAAAUUAAAACAAAAAACACUUUUCAACAAUCCCGAAGCUGAAGUUGAAACUUUGUCAAAGAUAAAAAUAUGUAUCAGUAAGAUGAGCUGAUUUGAACAAUUCGAUUCAUCUUUUACAAAAUUUAGAUGAAUUGACCGGAAUUAAGCCAUGUGAAUCAUAUAAAAUACUCGCAUUAUAUUCAAACGAUGCGUUCAAAUUCUAUUGAACAACAUCCACCGAAUAUUCAAUUUAAAUAAAAUAAAAUAUCAGCUAACAAAAUCUAAACAUAAAAAGCGAUGUAUAGACCUGAUGGUACUGAAUCCCACAAAUUUUUAAAUACGUGUCUCCCUCUCCACUCCGAUCUACAGCCAAAAACUUCAAACGCUCUGGUGCGGACCGUCGCACGAAACUUUAUAUGCGGAUAUCAUCUUCUCUCUCGACUCUCAUUUUCGCACAUCGACAUAGCUAGCUCGUCCUACAUCUCUAAUAUCCAUUAAUUAAUGGGCGUGCUCACAUUGUGAUUUGUGAUUCUGCUUACAUUGUGAUUUGUGAUUCUCCCCCGGUCCAGAGACCGGUCCGGUUCACACGAACUGGGCAAUGCGAAGAAGAAGAAGAAGAAGAGGGACGGUGGGGGGCGUACCAGCUUCCUCGGCCUUCCGAAUCGCCAUCUCAUCGCUGAUCCCGCACUUCCCGAAGAACUCCACUUCCGCCGACAUUUGCUGAUCCCGAACCGAGAAGAGGAGGAGGAGGAAUCCCGAGCUCGGGAGCGGAAACAAUGGNGGGGGGGGGGGGGAGAGAGAGAGAGAGAGAGAGAGAGAGAGAGAGAGAGAGAGAGAGAGGAGGCAGAGUUCUCGUGCGUUGUGCGGGAGACGAGUUUGAAAAUGGAUCGGUGGGUUUAUUAAUUACGGACCGGGGCUCUGCAGAGAAGUUGAAAAUUGCACGCAUCUGCUGUACCCUGCGAAACAGGAUACAGCUCGUACUACUGCUGAUGAGAAUUUUGGACUACGUGGCCACUCUGUGGAUGGGAUUGCUCGUGGGGCCCACAUUAAUUUUUUUUUAUUUUCUUUUUUGAAUAAUAAAAGAUUAAUAUGAUUAUUUUUUCCUGGCCUGUUGAGGAGGGCUUUUUGAGAGCUCGAAAUAUUCAGAUGUUUCAGGUAACCAAGCAGGUUUAUAUAAUAUCAUUUACAAAUUAAUUGUAGAUUGAUGUACAUAAUAUAAUAAUUUUUAACUCAGCAUAAAACAUAUUUUAUAAUAGAGAGAGAGAGAGAGAGAGUGAGUAAGGAUAGUUCAUUUUAAAAGCCGAGAAAUUGCUAUGAAAAAUUUAGUCUACCACUUAAACGGUAGAUUGGUUAUUUCAUCCAUAAUUCCUAUAAUAAUUUUUAAUUCAGAAAAAAAAAACUAUAAUUUGACAAUCUAAAUUUUUAAUUUUUCUAUUCCAAUGACCAAAAGAAAAUUGCAAUAAAAGAGUGAUCCAAUUAUAUGAAAGCAAGUAAUAAGGUCUUUUUUUGGGAUAGUAAAUAUUAUAUUGUAAUUGAAUAGAUGUAAUCGGCACACACGACUUGUUAUUAUUUCUGUAUAAAAAAACAUUUCAUUGGAUCUUCUCAACACAUGCUACACAUUCCACGCGUAAUCCCUUAGGAGCCUUGGUUUGGAGAUCAUCUGAUUCACUUUUUUUUUUUAUAAAAUAAAAUCUCAUUUAAAGAGAAAUGCUAAUGACCGGUCUACAGCUGACGUGGUGGACCAAGUCCAGGCUAUAAUUCCCCGGAGAGAUAGAUUCUCGCGGACGACCUGUGAAGUCCAAGCGCGCGGGAUCGGAUCCGGUGCAUCGAUGUGCGUGUGCCUUUGAACACCCGCUGAUUGAUACGAAGAUGCAUGUGGUGUGGCGGGCCCGACCAAUCAGGUGGGGUCGCGCGCGGUCGAGAGGUUCGAAAUGAUUCGGAUCGCGAUUCGACCGUUGGGAUCCACCUCCACACGUCCCGCACGGAAAUUUCAAUUUGUAUUCAAAUGGCUGCGCACGCGGGCUAAACUCAACUUCAAUGAUGAUGAUUAUUAUUAUUAUUAUUAUUAUUAUUAUUAUUAUAGAAAAAAUAGUGUUAGCUAAACUUAGCUAGAAGCAUAAAGUAAUUAAAUUUCGAAUAUAGGAUCUUGGAUACCAACCAUAAGACCUUUAGCCAAUUACGCCAGUUAUGAUUGAUGCAUCAAUUUUGAUUAUUAGAAACAUAAUUUUAUGGCCUUAGAUCGUGGGCUAUUAUGAAUAUGUGGGUUGUAAAUUUAUUCUCUUUUUAAAAGGCGAACUCAGCUUGAGAUAUGAAACAAUUAUAUUUCGAACUUGAAAUCCUGAAUAACAACCAUCAAUUACUUAACUAACCACGAUAAGUAUGACUAGUCGAUCUAAUUAUAAUGAUAGACAUAUAUCAAUUAUAGAUUCAUAGCUGGCCAUAUAUAUAUAUAUAUAUAUCAAUCAGUGAGCACAAAAAAGAAGAAGAAGAAGAAGAAGAAUGGCGUGAUAAAAGAGAAAAUGAAAACUACAGCAACAUCCUCUUCUAACAUGUUCUAACUACUCAUAUUUUUGUACACCAUCACGCUGUGGUUGGAGCUUAAUGAAAUUAUAGGGUUGUAAGGUUCUUAUUGAGAAAAUGGAUUUUUACAUAUAUUGAAAAAAUUUUCAAUAUUUUGUUUUAAAUAAAAUUUGUUUAUGAAUUUAAUAAUAUUCAUUAUUGCAUCGGGCCCUGGAGAGCAUGAAGACCAGGUCCAUCCAACGUUCAUAAUAUAGUUUGAAUAGGAUUAAAUAUUUUGCUGCUGUUGGACCAAAAGAUGUGGCCAGCACAAACAAGCUGUGUCGCUGCAGAAUAAUGUAUGUUGCUUCGAAAUUAAUGUAUUAACUGUCGUUGGCAUUUUAGUUGAAGUACAUCAAUGAUUACAAACUCGCACGAUUGUAAUGAAACUGUUUCACGUAGUAGUAGAAUCAAAAAGAAAAAAAAAAAAAGAAUUGUUCAGUUCUGAUUUGUGAGCGAGCUUUUAUGUGAUUGAUUCUAUUAUAGGCCAUUCUGAAAAUUAGUCUCCUUUUCUUUACCAAGAUCAGCAUCUCUGUUCUUUAAAUUUGUGUGUUCAAGAGAUAACAAGCAAAUUGUUCGUCUGGAAGAACUAUAAAUUAAUUGAACCUGUCACAUCUAUUACACUUGCUAAAUAACUUUCACAGUACUUUUUUAUGAAAACAAGGGAAAAUAGCUAAUUUGUAAUUAAGAAACAAGGGAAACUAAACUGGUCCAUCUAACAAAAUACUCCAUUGGAUCGUUCAAGAUGAAUCAGUUCUACGAAUUACUUGACUCUUUCAACAAAGUCGUUGUGCUAGCAUAUAUUUUCUCGUAAUGGGAAUUAUAAUGCCUACUAGUCUCCAUCACACACAUUAGUUGAUGGGGUCACGUUGGAUUACUGUAACUCUGAACUAUGUCAAUAGCAAAUGCUAACAAGAGUGGACAACAAAGAAUUAAUUAAUUCUAUAUUAAGUUCUUAAAGUUCGGUUUGGAUUCGUAUGCAAUCUUACAUUUUCAAACCCGUACAAAUCGUGACUCAAAAAGUGACGACAACUAGUUGUUAAUGUAAACAUGCCAUAUGACUUAGAGAAUUGACUAUAUCUGAUUCUGUACUGACUUUACUCUUAGCCGCGCCGAAACUUAAUUAUAAAAUUUCUUCCCAAAAGUCUUUGGAACCUAUCAUGUAGAGUUGUGUUGGCUUAAAUGAACCAGUAUCCUACUUUAUGAUAGAAGAUUACAUUCGGUCAAUUCACGUUUAAAAUGGUAUGAGGUUGGAUUGAGCCGACUCAUAUUCGAAGUGGCAUAAGACCGGUUGGAUUUAGUCACAAUCGAGAUUCGUUAAUGCUGUGUUUGUAUACUUUAAGUAAAUUAGUUACGUAUUUUUAAAAUUGUUGGCUUAAAUAGACAAAUUUUCUGCUCUAUGGCGCGAGACUAUUGAAUCUGAGUUAUGUUCGGAAUGACAUAAGACCGGUUGGGUCGAGUCACAAUCGAGAUCCGUAAGCACUGUAUCUGUACGUUUGAAAUGAAUUAAUUAUAAAUUUAUAAAAACUUGAAUUUUUGAAAUUAAUUAUUAGCGCUAACGAUCUUACAAGAUGAAUAAACAGAUGUGCGGAUGUUGGCAUGGCAAUGUUCGACCUUUGGAGUUUGGAGUCCGCAAAGAAAGGCUCUCACCGCCGACUUCUGUACAAGUUACAAGCGCUUUACCCUUGGAGUCGGCACAUAAAGCCUCUCACCGCCGACUUCUGUACAAGUUGCAAGGUCCGGUAAUUUGAGACUCGGACCCGAUCAAAUUAUCAGGUUCGUCCAGGGUUCUCUUGGGUUUGAUACCCUUAUACCCGAUAAGCGACGGGGUAGAGGUAGGGUUUAUGCAGUGUCCCGCUCCCACUCUCGUCUCUUUCUUUCUCCCUCUUCCUCUCCUCUCACUACUUCGAGGGCUCCAAGAAUCGAUCUUCGUCGUCGCCAAUGGCGGCUCGGGGCGUGGGCGGCGGCGUUGCUGUGGAGCGCGUCUUCAUCGGCGCGGGUUGUAAUCGAAUCGUCAACAACGUCUCGUGGAGCCCCUCCGGAUUGGUCGCGUUCGGCGCCCAAAACGCGGUCGCAAUCUUUUCCCCCGAGGUUUUCUUUUUGAUCCCCUCCCAUUUUUUGCGAUCUUUUUUUUUUGGAUUUUUUUCGAUGUUCUUUUUGGUUAUUUGAAUCGUUUCUUUGAUGGGGUUUUGGAGCAGAGUGCUCAGAUUCUCGCCACGCUUCCCGGGCACAAGGCGGUUGUAAACUGCACCCAGUGGCUUCCGACCAACAAAGAUGCAAUCAAAGGUCCCACCUUUCUUUCUCUUUUCAUAUCAUCGAUUUUCUCUUCGAAAAAGUAUAAUAAUUGUUAUGAGAUCCAUGUUUUUUUGCAAAAUUUGGGGCGUGCAUAUUGCUCACUUUCAUGCUUUUAUCCAUAUUAUGGGCUUGAAUUUCUACAAUCUGGUUACUAGAGUUGGAAGCGAAUUCUUGGUUGAUGAUUUUUAAAUUGUAUAUGGAAUAUUCUAUUUGGAAAGUCACCAUCUAGAUGCAUAAUUCAUCUAAAUGCAUACUAGAAUAGGCUGACUUGAUAUAGUUGUGUGGACCAAAAACUCAGAUUAAUUGGAAAGGAACUCUUAUUUUUUCAUGCAUUAUCCUACUUUGAGAGAAAAGUGAAAGGAGAAACUUAUCUGACAGAAUUCGUUGUGUCUUGCUCUGAUUGUUGGGCUAAAUUACUCUCUUAUCUGACAGUUCAAGAUAUGGAGAGGCAUUACCUGCUCUCAGGAAGUGCUGAUGGUGUCAUCAUGAUCUGGGAGAUACAUCCUAAAAAAAGAGAGGUACUUGUCUUCUUCUUUUUUUUUUCGGGUGAUCACAUUCUAUUGUCCUAUUUUGUAGCUGUCUAUAUAGUGAUGACUUUAUGGGCAUCCCCAUUUCUUGGAUAGGUCGUUCCACUACAAUCUAGUCCUUACUCUUGUCGAGUGGAAUUUAGUACAUAAAUAUGGGAUAGUUCAGCAACAUUAUGUUGCUAUGUAAGAUAGUUUUAGGACUCAUUCAUACCAUUAUUCUCCCCGUUAUGUUUCUUUUAGUUAUAUUUCCUUCAUAGUUGGUAGAUCAUUUGCAAUUUUGUCAUGCAGAUUACUCUUCAAAUGGUCAGAAAUAAGGAAUAGGGGCUGUUGCUCCACAUCGGAUUCUUUAUGAAAACCAUUUAGCUUUCUUUUAGACAUCCUUCACUCUGACCCCUUGGGGAUUUUUAAAUUCCUUGACUCAAGUCAGUCUGAAAAAAUAUUAAAGGGAUGCGGCAAAUCUGUUGUCGCUACUUUGAGUGCCAUCAAAGAAUUCAUGUAUUCUUGAUUCAGUCAAUAGUCAAGUAUUCUCAUUAAUUUUUAUAUAUUAUUAGUAUAUUGGUCAUUCGCAAGAUUUUGUUAAUUAUGGUCAUGGUUCCUUUCCAGUGGAGCCACAUGUUGCAAGUACCAGAAAUGCAUAAGAGAGGCGUGACUUGUCUAACCGGGAUGAUGAUUUCGGAUGUUACUGCAAUAUUUGCUUCAACCUCUUCAGAUGGUGUUGUUCUUAUAUGGAAGAUUGUCUUUUCAUCAACAGUUGGUGGUAAGACGAUUCACUUGCCAAACUUUUCUUGUGAUUACCUAAUAUGAUAAAUUUAUAUUGUAAGAUACAGUAACUAAUGGACCAAAGAUCUCAAUUGCUAUGUUAAGUGCAUUUAUGUCGUUUAAAUUAUUUCUUCUAGUUUACUACAUGGAUAUUUUGUAACUGAUCACCAUGCCUGCUGCACAUUCCUAUGCCUUACUGUUUUCUGGGGUCACAUUAUCACAGCAGAAUUUUCUUCCUUUCAUAUGUAGACAAGGAUUCAGUGUCAUUAAAUGUAACCUCACUUAAACUUUGUCUCAAAAAUUAUCCUGGACUUUUUUUUCUGGUACUUUUUCAUUUGUCUCUUUGGCAUAUUUAUAUGCCUUCUGUGUUAGAGAAGUCCCUCCAGAAAAUUGACAUCUUACUUCUUCCUUUGAAAAAGUAGUAAAGAUUAGAAAGGCAACCUUAAAAAAUUGUGGGGAACUCUCUAUGGCUUUUAAAAUCCAUAAUAUUAAUUUCCAUUGCUUUGGUGACAGGAAAGUGUAAUGUUUCCUGUUUGGACUCUCUCUCUGUUGGUUCAAAGCCUAUGGUUGCCUUGUCAGUAGCCGCACUACCAGGCAACAAAAGUCAUGCAAUUUUAGCAAUGGGAGGUUUAGAUCUCAAGGUCCAUAUAUAUUUUGGCGAUCAGACCGGCAAGGUCUGUAAAGUGGUUGGUGGUUGGUUUUGUCAUUUUACCUAUCCUAAAUCUUUUUGUGCUGAUUUUUUUUUUUCUUUUCUGGCACAUCCAGUUUACUCAUGCUUGUGAGCUGAAAGGCCAUGCUGAUUGGAUCAGAAGUUUAGACUUUUCAUUACCUGUCAUUUUAGAUAGUGAAAAGCACAACCUUUUCCUUGUGAGUUCAUCUCAGGAUAAAACUAUUCGCAUAUGGAAAAUGGCUGCACAUGCUUUAUCUUCUGGUUCUCCAAUUCAGUCAAGAAAAGAGGAUAUUGGCUUGACAUCGUAUAUUGAAGGUCCUAUAUUUGUGGCCGGUUCUUCCUCGUAUCAAGUGUCUUUAGAGUCUCUCCUUGUUGGUCAUGAAGAUUGGGUGUACUCUGUGGAGUGGCAACCGCCUUCACUUAUAAAUGGGACUAAUUGUCACCAACCCAUGAGCAUCUUAUCAGCUUCAAUGGAUAAAACGAUGAUGAUAUGGAGACCAGAAAAAACCACUGGAAUUUGGCUAAACGUAGUGACCGUGGGUGAAUUAAGUCACUCUGCAUUAGGAUUUUAUGGUGGCCAUUGGGCACCAGACGGGCAAUCAAUACUUGCGCAUGGAUACGGUGGAUCUUUUCAUCUGUGGAGAAAUGCUGGCUUGGAUUAUGAGAACUGGCAGCCACAGAAAGUUCCCUCGGGUCAUUUUGCAUCUGUGUCGGACCUCACUUGGGCCAAAUCUGGCAAAUAUUUGCUAUCCGUUAGCCAUGACCAGGCAAGUCUUUCAAUUUUCCUACGAUGCUUACAUUUUUUUCCAUUGCUAUGUUGCCUGUGCAUCUCAUUGUUGGCCCGUUUUAGAAAUGCCACUAACUUCUUCAUUCAAGUCCUGAACAACUUCUGUUGCAGAAGACAGCUAUUUUAGGGCCUAGAAGCUCAUUUCAUUUUUAGUUUCUUAAAAUUUGCUGCUACUUUUCGGAGUAGAGAAGCCAAUGCAAAAACUAGGCCAAAAAGGCCUAUGUCUGUCCGAUGCCAAUUUUGUCAGGAAGUGGCCAAACUUAUGUGUAUUGCUUUGUUAGUCCUUUUGCAAAUGUACUUUGUUAAUCCUUUGGCAAAUGUAGCUAAUAUGAUUAUUUUGCAGACUGCUCGUGUAUUUGCUCCAUGGAGGAUAGAAGAGACCUCUGGUGAUAAGGUCUCCUGGCAUGAAAUCGCUCGUCCUCAAGUUCAUGGACAUGAUAUUAAUUGUGUAACUUUUAUACAAGGGGCUGGGAACCACCGAUUUGUAAGUGGCGCUGAUGAAAAAGUUGCUAGGGUUUUUGAAGCUCCAUUAUCAUUUUUGAAGACCCUUCACCAUGCGAUGUCCCAGAACAACUUUUACGAUUUUCAUGAACAAGUACAGGUCCUUGGUGCCAACAUGUCUGCUCUUGGUCUGUCACAAAAACCUAUCUACAUGCACAGUGAGUUCCUCUGUAUCUCUCUUGGUGCAACCUAACUGCUAAACAAAUGCUCGACCUCUAGAUCAAAAGUUACAUAAAUUCGAAAAAGGAUGUUUAGCAUUGAAUAUUGCCCAGCCUAUUGUAUUCAUUUAUUUUCGCUCAUAUGUAGAUCUCCCAGUGACAAUGACGCAUGCAGACAAAUACCAUGUAAAAUGAUGUAAACUAUGGAUAUACUCGUCUUGCUUUUCACCAGAAAGUUUUCAUCUAGCCUCUGCUUGAAACCUGUUCUCAUCUCCUUUCCCAAUUUAAGUUCCUGUAGGAACUCCCUCAUAUUGUGGUUCAGGAAUAUCAUUUAUUUAAAUUUUCCUGAACCACAAUAUGAGGGAGUUCCUACAGGAAUAUCAUUUAUUUAAAUUUGCCGACCGUCCCUAGAGCAAGUGGCAAAGGGUUUGAUAGUUGGUACUUGAGGUCUCAAGUUCGAAUCCUAGUUGAUUCACAUUUCCAGCUAAGUUUAUUUCUAAAUGAAAUAAACGAAGCGGGUAGCGUGCUACCUAUCUCUAAAAAAAAAAAUCAUUUAUUUAAAUUUUAUGCCCAUGAUGGUAUUGCAUAUUUAUUAGAUUCAAAUUCGGUAUUGCUGUAACUGACAUCUUUCCACUGAUUCAAUACACUCAGCUGUCAAUGAAUCUCCAGCCAGUCUUCACAACGAUGGUGCAGAUUCUCUGGAAACAAUUCCUGAUGCAGUGCCUACUGUUUUGACUGAGCCUCCUGUAGAGGAACAACUAGCCUGGCAUACAUUGUGGCCUGAAACCCAUAAACUUUAUGGCCACGGUAACGAGCUAUUUUCCUUGUGCUGUGACCAUGAGGGUAAGCUUAUUGCUUCAUCAUGCAAGGUACACUUGUUGUCUUUUAUCUUAUAUGUUUUUUGCAUUAUUGUAUUAGAUGUUUAUGUUACAUGGUAUUUGUAGGGAUGCCAACGUAAGAUUGUUAUUUGUUAGUUAACAAAUAUAUUGUAGUGCGUUAGCUUUAGUGCUGCAACUUGGGUGGGUUGUGUCUGAUUAAAGACCGACCCUAUCUCAACCCUAAAAAUUUAUAGUGUGAUGAUAUCACAGGCUCAAACAGCAACAGUUGCCGAGAUUUGGCUUUGGGAAGUUGGGUCAUGGAAAGCCAUUGGCCGUUUGCAUUCUCACAGCUUAACAGUCACACAGCUGGAGUUUUCCCAUGAUGACGCUUUUCUCUUGGCUGUCUCAAGGGAUCGGCAGUUCUCAGUGUUCUCAAUCAGCAAAACUGGUGCGUAGUUCUGACCAUUUUAUCAACUGCCGAUUACAUCCCUAGUGUUAUAUAUGAUGCUACCUCUUCCUGCAUGUGCAUUUUGUCCUCUGCUCUUCUUAUUGUUUAAUAAUCCACUGUUUCAUGGAUGGUCAUGGAUUGCCUUUCCUGUCUCAUGGUUUUCAGGGGACGAAGUCAUCCAUCAGUUGAUUGCCAAGCAAGAGGCGCACAAAAGAAUAAUAUGGGCAUGUUCAUGGAACCCCUUCAGCCAUGAUUUUGCAACUGGUUCAAGGGACAAAACUGUCAAGGUAUGGUCGGUUAAUAAGGAAGCAUCUUCUGUUGAUCUACUCGCUACACUUCCUCAAUUCCGCGACAGCGUCACAGCCUUAUCAUGGGUCGGCCGUGAUCAGUCAUGCAAUGCCGGGUUUCUUGCCAUAGGCAUGGAUAAUGGGCUCAUAGAACUUUGGAGUCUCUCUGGUGGUAGAGUUGCCGAGAUUAAUGAUAUGGGCACAUCACCAUUUACUGCUGUUUGUGCUAUUCGGUUUGAUCCUUUAUUAUGUCAUGUUUCGACGGUACAUCGCUUGAGAUGGAGAAACCCUGAUUUCGGUGAUACGAAGACACUUCAACUCGCUUCUUGUGGAGCUGACCAGUGUGUUAGGGUUUUCGAGGUCAGCGGCCAAUGAAAUCGGCCAAUGAAGACGGUAACCCUCUUAUCAGCCUUUUACAUUAUGAAAUCUAAGGAAGUUGUUGCAGGUUGACAGCCCCAUUUGGCAAAUUUCAAACCAACGGUAGGAAGGCUGAUAAUACGUUACAUUAACUUUAUACUGCUUUCAGUUUAUUUAUUUAUUUAUUUAACUUUCUAUGUAUGCUAGCUGUAAAUGGAGCUCCCAUUCUGUGAUCGAAAUGGGAAGCAGGUGUUUUUACUAAGCUGUACAUAAGAACUGUUUUGUGGGGUUUAAGUUAAAACUCAAAAGAACUUUCAGUUUCGAAUAUUUUUCUCUCUAUCAGUUAACAUCUUAUAGACCUCUGCAAUUUUUAAGUAAUUUCAUGGACAAAAAAUCAUGACAAGCUAUAGUAGCAUUAUUUUUCUCUUCUACAAAAUGAUCUUUGAUUAAGAGAAUUUCGCAUCACACAAUUUCACCACCAUCAGUAGGCCUGUCUACUUCGUGUGUUCUUUCCACACGGUUGUUUUGAGUUUCUUCACUGCCAACCAGUCUACUAUUUGUUACUCCCGAUUUUGAGCUUCCUUUUUGACCGACUGCACCGAUUUCUACUGCUUCUGAAUACAAAGCCUUGACCAGAUUAUUGAAUCUUCUCCGGAAACUCGGGAUUCGCGACAUGUUAGCAACAAUUCCCUGCAAUCUGUGUAUACUGAAGUCAUGUUUCUUGCUCUUCAAUCGCAAAGGAAAUGGUAUAUAACUUGCAGUAUCUUGUCUUAUCAAGAAACUUGAACCUUAUGAGGUUUUUAGUUGUGUUAUUAAAACCCCCUCUAAUUUUAGAAUAAUUUUGCACAUUAAAUUAAAAUGUAAAAUUAAAGGAUGCUUUACUUUUAGAACUCAAUCAGAAAGGCCUUCUAAAUUAUCUGAAGCUUCAGAUAAGCUCUGAAGAGAAGAGGUUUUGCUGAUAUAAAUAGUUGAAAAUACCUUCUGAUGAUUGCUUGUAACUGAGCUCUUCUUACAUUAUCAUCUGAUGGGAACCCGCAAUCAUCCCAGUCCUCUGGCUUCUCAUUGCUUCUGGUCAAAAGCAACUUCCUCAAACAUGCUGCUUCAUCCUCGCUCAACUCCAUGCUUCUUAUCUGCUCCUUCAUAACCAGUAAUGGUCCAAGAAUCCAAUAUAAUACACUAUCCUUUGGCCAAUUAAAGUUAGUGAGCUCCACCUCAUCAGCUGAAUAAUUUUGUCAGUCACAACACUAUUAAGAACAUAACCAAAUUAAACUUCGGUAAAAAGAAAUUAGUAGAAAGUUAUUAUACAUAUAAGUAGUCCGUUUGAGCCGCAUUUUGCUGAUCUUAUCAAGCACUGUAGAAUAGACCAAGCAGGUAACUUGAUGCUUAAUUUCUUGCAUUUCCCUUCAAUGAUGCAUUCCUCUAUAUCCACAACACGUAUCAGACCCUCAUUUAACAAUAUCCUUCCAUUUAUCUCGCAUGAUCUGAAGAGCCAAUCCCAAAUCUGUAAAAUUGUGAAUGCAAAUCACCGAAGCUCAAAAAUUCAGAUCAACCACUUCAUUUGUGAGCACUUCAUUUGUGAGUGAGAGAGAGAGGAGAAAUUUUACCUGUAUAGGUCUUAACUCUUUAAUAGCUUUCUUUAGUGUCCUUGAUCUUUCUGAAACCAACUUAGAUAUGUUCGGUGCUGACACUAUUCUAUCAUUUUCGUUCUUUCUCUGGUCCAUCUGAUGUUUCCUCUCAGUAAAUUGAGAUUUCCGAUACUUUGGCCUGGCUGUCGAAAGCAUAUUUAAUCAGAGAGGUCAUUUAUUAGUACUUGGGCAUAUAGGUUUUCUAUCGACAAGAUUCAUGAUACUAACAUAUAUUUUACUAGAGCAAACGAUACCUUGGGAGACAAGAACCUUCUCUUAGGUAAAGUAAAUCAUUUGUGUACUCGUCAUAGAGUGAUAUCACUGCCACAACAUAUGCAAGACCCAUUCGCAGAGAAUCCUCCUACAGUAAUUAGAAUUAAAUUAAGAGUUACUUGAUAUCUGAAUUCUAAUUGGUAGUUUAUGAAACUAGGCUUACAAACAAAUUUCUAUACAACUGUCUACAAGCUCAUGCAUGAUAAAUUACAGAUGCAUUACUUAUCAACUAAAUGCCAUGCCUUUUACUUUUGUUAUCUAGGUACAAACCAUACCUGAUAAGUAAUCAAUCCACCAUAGAGAGCGAGGAAGAAGCUGGAGAUGAAUGAGGCAAUCACUGCCCCAGUUACCGCAAGAGGCCACAGUACAAUAGCAAGACCAGCGAAGGGUACACACACAGUCUCCAGGAAAGGUCCUUCUCUUCCAAGUAAGUCAUGAAAAAGCCGCUGCCAUCCUUUCAACAGCAUGUACGGACUUUUCCACAAUGCCACAGCACUUAUCACUAGUACAUCUAUAGGGACAGCGAGAAGGCAAACCAGUAAACUCUUCGGGAGCGUCGAUAACCUUUAGAAACAAAGCAGAUUACCAAUUACAUAUGGUCACGAGCAGUGUCGAUCGCAGUUUAUCAUUUUUGGCAACUACAAGUCAUGAAUUUAGCAGUAGUUCUUAGAGUAGACAACAAAGAUGCGAGAAUUUCAGGUAUCAUCUCAAAAUAUGUUUAAUUUGGAUAGCAGAAUGGAUAAAGAGUCAAUUAGUGAGGUAAUAUUCAAAUUAAACAGACAGGAGAGAAAGUUCAAUUGGUGAAUGCCGUACUUGAUAUCAAUGGGAGUCUCAUCAUCCCUUACUUUCUCGCUUAAAUCAUCCAUGAACGAGAAGUAGGAGUGGAAACAGAAAUCCGUGAAGUCUCGAACUGUCGUACAAGCUCCUUCUAUCGUACUCUUGCAUCCGUCCUGUCGAGAAAUCAUUUUCUUAGCUCUUCGUUUCAUUGUUUUCAGGAAAACUUGUCGAGAAAUCAUUUUCUUAGCUCUUCGUUUCAUUGUUUUCAGGAAAACUAUGGUAAAAUACAUCUGUCGAAUUUAAUGUUUCUGUAUCAAGGGCAUCCUGUGGGUUCUCCUGCUUUCUAUGUUAUAAUUAACAAUCGAAUAAGUUUGAUAGAUGUUUGUUCAGUCAUUCACCAAUAAACAAUAUCCACCGAAGAGCUCCGCCAUUUCGUUACUUUGUUCAGUUAGUUCUUUGCUUAGCAACAGUACAGAGCAAAUGAUAUUAUUCUUUUUUUGGAUUUUUAGGAGAACCCGGAACUGAAAGUGAAACUUACAGUGAAGCAGUGAGAGAACUUGUCGAGGACAUCCUCCCCAACGGCCUCGAACGUUGCGAUCAGAGGCGUGAAAUACCCAUAUCCUAUUCCUACUAAAAGGCUCCCUAGAAUGCCGAAUACCGGCCACAGAAGCAGCGGCACCGGCAAGGUGAUCAGCAGCAGGAUCUUCAGAACCAGCCCAAUUCUCUUUGUUCUGCAAUUCACGAUCGUUGCAGAAUCUUAACAAAAACAGUAAGAGAACAAGACAUUCUUGUGUGCUGCAGCUCAAUGCUAUGUACAACUUGUUUCAGUGGCAAGUUUAUAAUAAGGAAACUGUACUUUAUUAAACAGUAGUAAGUCCAGAUGAAGUGUGCGGGCCAAAGACCGAUGAUCACCGCAGAGUUUCCGAAGAAAAUUACAGCAGCUACUAUCGGACCUAUUACAGCAGCUGCAACAGAAGAAGAAAAUUUGCCGAGAGACAUGUGAAACAUCUUUUAAUCACCUACUUUUUAUCACAUUAAAGAGUGCUAAAGCUAAAUUUUAACUUGCAUGUUGCAUUGCGCAUUCAACAGGUAUGCAUGUUACCUUUGAUGAUUCCCAGGAGCAGAAGCAAUAAGAAGAAAGGGGCGAGUGAGAGAAAGCUCCAUAGCGUGGCCAAGAACCCUGUGGGAACCUCCAUGUCAAUCUCUUCUACACCAGUACGAGGGAAACGAAUCAAAGAGAAGAGGAGGGGAAGAGGGAACGUGGGCAUAUAAUAAUAGCAGCACAAAUAAUAUAUAAUAAUAAUAAUAAUAAUAAUAAUAAUAAUAAUUUAAUUAAUUAAAAAAAAGGAAAAGGUAUGGGUGACGUGGCUUGGGUGGUUGAACGUGUCAAUCACCGAAGCGGGAGUCUCGGGAGGUGGUUUUGUUCUCGGAACGUAAUGAAACGCCACACCUCAGCGGCGCGUACACGUGCGAUGCUCCGGUCGUUGUUUGUUUAUUAACAGGUCGGAUCCGUACGUAGAAAUCCGAUUCAAUAAGACGAUGGCGUAUGGGUCGAUGCAAAUGNGGAAUGAAAUCUAUAUCUAUAUCUAUAUUUAAAUUUCGAUCUUCUAUCUAUAUAUAUAUAUAUAUAUAUAUAUAUAUAUAUAUAUAUAUAUAUAUAUAUAUAUAUAUAUAUAUAUAUGGCAUAAUAUUUCGUAGCUGAAUCCUAAUCGCCUGUUAGCAAAAGUAUAUAUAUAUAAUAUAAUAAUAAUAGGGAUUCAAAUCCCCAACCUCAAAGACGCCAACUGAGUCGUCGUCGUCGUUCCUGUCGCCAUUGAUGGAGUCUGUCCCGAAGAAACGGAAAAUAGAAGGAAGAUGCUCUCGUCAGCCUAUCCCUGACGAGCUCAUCUCGGAGGUGCUUGUUCGGCUGCCGGUGAAGUCCCUCCUCCGAUUCCGGUGCGUAUCCAGGACCUGGCGUUCUCUGAUCUCCGAUCCUCACUUAAUUGAAUCCCACCACCGCCGUUCGCAGCAGCACCCCCUCGCUCUCGUCAGAGAAUGGAACUUAAACGGCGACAAUAAGGGCAAAGCAACCUACGUUCCGACCAGGGGAGCUACCCUGCAAAGAAUAUACUAUGAUGUCGCCGGCUUCAACAGCAUCAGCGACAUGGCCGUCAGAGUAUUCUCCUCCUCUCCCGAUCUCAUAUGCAUCCGAGAAGACGGCAGCCGCUGCUCGCUGCUAAAUCCGGCGACGCGGGAGCGGGUGACUCUGCCUGAGUUCUCUUCUGGGAAUACCACCUUUCUUCGCUACGUGGGGUUUGGCUACGUACCAUCCCUCAGGAAAUUCAAGGUCGCCAGGGUCUUCGGCCACGUGGAUAUAGACCGUGGGAGCGGCCGACAGGCAGUGGAAGAGAGAUGCGCGGUGCUCACCGUCGGCGUCGACCGAUCAUGGAGGCCGGCGAGAGGUCCUCCUCCUUUUAUGAUCACGCGGGAUCAAAUGGCGUUCGUCAACGGAGCCCUACACAUGACGCCGAGCACGGAGGAAGGCAAGGGAUUGGCGGCGCUCGAUCUCGAGACGGAGGCGUGGCGGGUGAUUCCGAUGCCGCGCGGCGUCUGCGGUAAGAUCUCGAUCGGGACCUACAACACCGUCAGCCUGAGAGAGCAGCGAGGGUUGCUGUUCCUCGAUCAUCUCCUGGGGGCCGGGAAGGUGGAGGUGUGGGCGCUGAAGGACUACGAGAAGGGAGGUUGGGAGAUGGAGCACCGAAUCGACUUGGGACGCCCGCAGAUCCCGGAGGAAUUCGGCAGGUUUCUGCCGGUGCUGAUCGGCGAAGACGGACGGAUCUUGAUGUACAUAGACUGGACGGCAUAUCUUUGGUACGAUCCGCGAGACCAGAAAUUCGUGCCUUUCUCGCCGCAUGGAAAAUCUCUAGUUUGGCCUUUGCCGCCUCUGGUCCACGUCGAGAACUACCUGCCUUUGAACGGAUGGGAUUAGUUAAUUUCGUAUUAUUAUUAUUAUUAUUAUUAUUAUUAUUAUUAUAUUUAUUAUUAUAUUUAUAUUUUAUUUAAAGAAAGAACAGACUUCUGUUUCCUUUUUAGAAAUUUUUAAUGAAUAUACAGGUACACCAUCGUAAUCGUCACAGCAGCAUCAGAAAGUAGAGGACUUUUUCUUUGUAACCUAUACAUUAUAGAUUAAGAUUUCGUUUCGAAUUGCGAGAAGAUUGUAUUACGUGCGGUGAGAAAAUACGUUAAAAAAAAUAUUUUUUCGUAUAUCGCGAUGAGUCGAUUACGAUAUAUUUUUUACAGUCUUACCAAAGUAUCUAUGGUUCAAUACCAAAUUAACCCUAAAAAAUAUAUUCAUUGUAACUAUAUAUUGUUUGGUUUGAUAUGAGGUGGGUCAAACUUCCCACAAUUUUUCUUAUUUGCAUUAAUAUUGGCCCAAUGAGAUGGGCCGGUCCAAAUCUGUAAAGACCAAGGCCCAAGAUAAAUGCAUACAAUUGAUAGAUUUGUGCGAUGCUACUUUUUAAAUCGAAAUAAUAUAACAUCCGAGUUUCUCUUGUGGGACAUUGGAAUACUGGCGGCAAGCAAAAUGCUAAUCUAAAUGCCAAAUCUAGGGCAAACAGAGAUAUGUUUCUUCAUUUUCUUAGCCAAAUUAAUAGCGAUCUUUUGUAUAUUUUGCGUAAACGUAUAGAAUAUUUUCCAAUUUUCAUUGCUUCAGUUGUUGUCAUCAAUGGCUUCUCGCCAGUUUUUCCUGUACGACCUUAGGUUGGCGGUGCUUCUCUGGCUGCCGGUGAAGUCCCUCCUUCGAUUCCGGUGGCGUUCUCUGAUGUCUGAUCCUUGUUUCAGUCAAUCUGACUGCCGCCUUUCACAACGGAACCCCCACGUUCUCGUCGGAGCACAGAAGUUUGUCGACCUUUACCACCACCCCUACCUUCUACGCCGUGACUAACUGGGCAACAUUUGAAAAGUACUGCAAAUGCCCGAGUUCGAAUAAACCAAAGUGUUCUCCUCCUCCCCCGAUCUUUUAUGCGUUCAGCAAGCUAAUGGUUGUUGCUUUUUUUUAAAAAAUCCUGCGACACGAGAGCAGGUGACUCUGUCCAGAUCUUCCCAGAUCUUCUCCUUACGUCUUUGGCAUUGGCUAUGUUUCAGGUUCUUCGAUUGUGUAUUUAGAAACCAAAACCACUCGGUUGUAAAAACAGAACCGCGAGAUUUCGUGCUCCAUCAUGCAUUAUAUAUCUUAUAUUUCUUUUGGAUGGUACAGAUUAUAUUUAUUGUUGUAAUUCGUUUUUGAUGCUACAAAUUUAUUUUAUCGCAGCUUAUAUCUUCUCUCUUCAAUUUCCCCCACAUUAUUCUUCGUAAUUCAUCAAUUCCCAGUACUAUCAUAAAGGACGACAUCUUAGAUUUCAUAAGAACAAAUAUUAGUUAAAAUUAAACCAAAUCAAAAUGUGGGACAUAACAUAAUGUCCCACAUUUUGUUAUGAACACAUAAACAUCAACAUAGAGCAUUCGAGACUUUCCAGCAUAUCAAGUAAUGCACAGAAAAUUUAGUGUCGCAAUCGUGCAUAAUUUUUGGAAGAAAAAUGUUACAUCCAUCCCUCCAAAGUUUUUUUUUUUUAAAAAAAAAAGUAAAAAAUUCACGAUAAAAUUAGUAAAAUACAUGAACUUUUGGAUGAGCAGAAUGCGUACGAAUAGUAUAGCGGGCUUUUUUUGCAUUUAGAUUCCUGACAAAUUUUUAUUUUAAAAAUAGUCCUGUUAAAAUUUAAUUUGCAAAAAUGGCCCUGAUCCUGCCACGCAGGCGCCACGUCAGCGCCACGUGAGCAGGACUAGGCCCGUGUAUUAAGUUGAAUACGAUGAACCAUUCACCGUGUUCAAACACUGUGAAUGAUUUACCGUGUUUAGUACGUAUUUUUUGUUAUAUUUUUUUUGUAUAUUGAAAAGUGGAAUAAAGAGUAGGGAUGUCAAUAGGUAUGGAUAUUCGAAAUAUUAUCUGAAUUUAAACCCGAAUAAAUUAUAUAUAUAUAUAUAAUUUAUUUUUGUUUAUUUAUACAAUACAUAAAAUAUUUAAUAAUUUUUAUUCCUUAAAUCUUCAUCCAAUCCAGCGGGUUUUAAAAAUCUAUACCGUUGGAUAAAGAUCUAAGGAAUAAAAAUUAUUAAAUAUUUUAUAUAUUGUAUAAAUAAAAAAAAAUAAAUUACGUAUAUAUAUAUAAUUUAUUCGGGUUUGGAUUCGGAUAAUAUUUCGGAUAUUCAUACCUAUUGACAUCCCUACUCCUUAUUUCACUUUUCAAUAUACAAAAAAUACGUAAGAAACACGGUGAACCAUUCACCGUGUUUAGACACGGUGAAUGAUUCACCGUGUUCAACUUAAUACCUUGGCCCCAGUCCUGCCCGCGUGGCGCUGACGUGACGCCUGCGUGACAGAGACAUGACCAUUUUUACAAUUUUAAUUUUGAUAGGACUAUUUUUAAAAUAAAAAUUGCUCAGGAACUAUUUGCAAAAAAAGCCCUAGUAUAGCUCUUUUAUAACAUCGAUAUGUUGCAUUGUUGUUCCUUAACAUCAAAGCAAACACAAAAGAAUAAGUGGUUAGCGUCCUUAGCCCCUGAUCAAAAUGGUCCUAUUGAGGUUUGAUCCUUCACACCGGCGUUUAAAUAUAAAUAAAUUAUGAUUAGUUUAAGGAUUUCUUAUUAGGUUCUACAAUUAAGUUAUCUGUUACGUACCUGACUCGGCGCAACCCGUCGAUGAUGAGAUCUCGCUGAGACGAUGGACGGCGUCGAGGAUGAUGGUUUCGGUUUGCUGUCUUCGCGAUACAGAUCGGAAUAAUGUGUAGAUAAUAAUUGAAUAAGAAGAAGAAGGAAAAGAAGAGAAAAGAUAGAUUGAGGAAAAGGAUCAGGGGGAAUAGAGAGAAUAAGAGAGAAUAAGAGAGAAGUUAAGAAGACGGAGAAUUUUCAUUAAUCAUCCAUUAAAAAACCCUAGGAGUUACACACUGCCUCAUAUAUAUAAUACGAAUUUGAAUAAAAUAAACCCUAAUUCCUAAACGGGCUUCCAAUCCUUCAUCAGUGGCCCACAGCUUGUGGUUUGGGCUGUGUAGAUCUGGAUCUUCACUUGGUAGCAUACUGGGCCGACAUUUGCCCAACCGCCCCAAACACCCGAACUAAUAGGGUGCCUUGUCGGUUCGCACAUUCGCCCUCGAAAUCCUGCCAGUUCGCCCUUCUUCUUCCUCGCCCUAAUCGCUCUCUUUUUCCCUUUCCGCCCUUCACUUCUGAGCCGACUCCCAGCGCCACUUUUGAAGGUCGAAGCUUCUCAACCCCCGGCAUGAUGUAGAGAUAAAGCUAAGCCUUCAUCUUCCUGCUUUAUUGCUUACUACUCUCCUAACCUCCAUUAAUCUGCUCCUAAUCCUCCUAAUUAUACUUGGCAGGCGUAACAAUCCCCCCUUCUUAAUGCGAUCCUUGUCCUCAAGGAUCAAAAGAUGGAAACUGACUCUUAAGAAGCCAGUAAUCUUCCCACGUUGCGCUCUCCAUUGGAGGGUUUGUCCACUUAACCAGCACCUCAGUCACAGCCCUGUUCUCACGCUUCACUGUUUUCGAUUCCAAAAUUCGGGGUGUGGGCAACUCUUUGGGCCCUUCGAACACAUUCUGAAAUUUAUCCAGCACCUCUUGAAUCUCUGGGUGUACCUCUACUUCUUGUUUAUCUUCUUCUGUUAAAGGUUGAUGUCUGAGGAGAUAGCAUUCACCCUUCUCUAUGUCCUGUCUCCAUUGGGCUGCAGAUAUCAACCUUAAUUUAGCUCUUUCCUCGAUCCCUUUCAGUUCUAAACUCUGACCUUCUUUGGUGAUAGCAACUGAAUUCGCUAGGAAAUCAAAGGUUACUGGUCCAUAAGAUUUUAAUCAAUCAAUUCCUAAUAUAAUACUUGAGCCUUCCAAUCUGAUCACCAUCAAAUCUGCUUGGAAUGUAUGUCCUUGCAUGAUCCAAGUGAAACCAGGGCAUGUUAGUUUACUCAAAACCUUAUGGCCAUUCGCUACUGUCACUACCCAGGGAGAAGCGACUUCUAUUCGUGCGCCAAUCUCUCUGGCUACUUGCAGGUCGAUGAAACAGUGCGUGCUUCCCAUAUCUAUCAAAAUGGUGAGAAGUCGAUUGUUUGUCUCACUUUGUAUUUUGAUGGUGUCCUGGGGUUUCCCUCCACUUACUGCAUGAACCGACACUCCUAUUUCUUGCGGAUUCUUUUCUUCAGGUACAACUUCUGGCUCCUCUCCUUCCUUUCCCGUGACUGUCACGUCGUUUGAUCCUGCUUGUAAACAACUUUCAUCAUAAACUUCCAUAAUAUCCUCAGUAGCUUGUAAUGUAUACAAUGACUUGUUUGCACAAACGUGCCCAGGAUGGUACUUUUCUCCACAUCGAAAGCAUAAUCUAGCAGCUCGACGAUGUUCCAUUAACUGUUUGUUAGCAGUAUAUUGACCAGUUGUAGUUCUGUUCUGGUUCUGGUACUGUUGCCCGGUUCCUUCAGUGCCCUUAUCUGAUGUGUCUCGUUGAUUGGUCUCCAUCGGUGUCUUAGAAAUAAAUCGAUUCUUUCUGUUAAUCACUGCUAGAGCCUUUUCGUGUAGCUGUGCUUGUUCAUAUGUCUCCUCUAAUGUGUUUGGAUGAGCGAUGUCGAGAAAUGGAAAAUUCUUCCUUGAGCCCAUUAAUGUAACACGCGAUAAAGUACUCUUCCGACAAGUGGGGGUUGUAAUAGAGUAAUUGAAAUCUUAACUCCUCAAACUUCUCUUGAUAUUUUUCGCAUGUUCCGGUGUGUUUCAAAUUGCGAAAUUCUCGAAUUAAAUACCGCUCCCCUACGUGGGCGAAUCUUUUGCACACUGCCUCAGUGAAUUCAUCCCAAGAAACCACUUGUUUGUUAAUGAAGUAUCCUUGUUUCCACGUUUUCGCCCUGCCGAAUAAAUGCAUAGUGGCUAUGCUCAACCAUUGCUGUUGGGGUAUUUGAUACAACUCAAAGAAUUGCUCACAAUUCUCGAUCCAAUUUCUAGGGUCGUCGCCGUCAAAUGAGGGAAAAUCCAAUCGAGGAUAUGGAAAAUGUUGGUGAUUAUUAAAACUCCUGUUAGUCCACGGUGAAAUCUGAUCAUCCUCUACGUCGGGUUGCUUUCUAGGGGUGGGUAAUAUCCCUUUUCCCUUUUCUUCCCUGAUAACAUGUGGGGUGCUGCUACUCCCUGGUUUGCCGCCAUAAGGAAUUUUGUUCUCAGGAGUAAUUGCUCUGCCUUGAGUCUGAGUGAUAGGUGGCUGGGCUGUCAACAAUUUCAGCAGCUCCUCAUGACGCUUGGUAGCUUCAGCCCGCAUUGCAUCGUACUGUUUUUGCCCCGAAUCUCGUACCUCCGCGAUCUGCUCGGUAAGUAUCCCUAAUCUGGAUUGAUGUUCGGCCUCUAACUUCUGAAAUUUUUCUUCUAAAGAAUGGAUAUGAUCACUAAUAUCUCUUAGUCGAGUCCCUUCCGCCAUAUCUAAUUCUUCCAGAUACUCCUUGGGAUUAAAUUUAAAUUUGUUGCCUCGCCUUCCCCCAAUUUUGACGUGUCGGUAAGCCUCAAUUAAGAUGGUCCUUCAGACUGGAUGGAUAACUUUCUUGUGACUUUCCUCGACUGAUAUAUCCUCGGAUAGUUUAUUGUGCUUGUGUGAUAAUGUCGAUCUGAUGAUUGAGAGAAUGUCCUCUGAUCAUGCGGUUAAUUUCAAGGUUAUUUUGUGGUGAUUUCUUUUGUCCGACUCUGAUCUCGGUUCAGACUCGGCAGCGCAGAAAUCUUACUCGCGAUUAAACUCAACAAUGCCGAGAUUGGAGUUAGGAAGCGAUUCUACCACUCAAUGCCCUGGGAUCGGACCGCUCUGAUACCAAUUGUUACGUACCUGACUCGGCGCAACCCGUCGAUGAUGAAAUUUCGCUGAGGCGAGGACGGCGUCGAGGAUGAUGGGCUCAAUGUACUGCCUUUUCGUAACGAAUCAAAUAACAAUGAAGGUCAUAAUAGAUAGAUGAGGGGAAGAAAAGAAUAGAAAAGAAAGAAAAGAAAAGAUAGAGGGAAGAUCAGGAAAAUAGAGAGAAUAAGAGAGAAUAGGAGAGAAUAAGAGAGAAACGGAGAAGAAGGUAAAUUUUCAUUAAACAUCCUAAAAAAAUCCUUCGGGGUUACACGCUGCCUUUUAUUCAUCAUGCUGGAAAUUAAAAAAAACCCUAAUUCUAAAUGGGCUUCCNACUUUGUAUUUUGAUGGUGUCCUGGGGUUUCCCUCCACUUACUGCAUGAACCGACACUCCUAUUUCUUGCGGAUUCUUUUCUUCAGGUACAACUUCUGGCUCCUCUCCUUCCUUUCCCGUGACUGUCACGUCGUUUGAUCCUGUUUGUAAACAACUUUCAUCAUAAACUUCCAUAAUAUCCUCAGUAGCUUGUAAUGUAUUCAAUGACUUGUUUGCACAAACAUGCCCAGGAUGGUACUUUUCUCCACAUCGAAAGCAUAAUCCAGCAGCUCGACGAUGUUCCAUUAACUGUUUGUUAGCAGUAUAUUGACCAGUUGUAGUUCUGUUCUGGUUCUGGUACUGUUGCCCGGUUCCUUCAGUGCCCUUAUCCGAUGCGUCUCGUUGAUUGGUCUCCAUCGGUGUCUUAGAAAUAAAUCGAUUCUUUCUGUUAAUCACUGCUAGAGCCUUUUCGUGUAGCUGUGCUUGUUCAUAUGUCUCCUCUAAUGUGUUUGGAUGAGCGAUGUCAAGAAAUGGAAUUAAUUCUUCCUUGAGCCCAUUAAUGUAACACGCGAUAAAAUACUCUUCCGAUAAGUGGGGGUUGUAAUGGAGUAAUUGGAAUCUUAACUCCUCAAACUUCUCUUGAUAUUUUUCGCAUGUUCCGGUGUGUUUCAAAUUGCUAAAUUCUCGAAUUAGAUACCGCUCCCCUACGUGGGCGAAUCUUUUGCACACUGCCUCCGUGAAUUCAUCCCAAGAUACCACCUGUUUGUUGAUGAAGAAUCCUUGUUUCCACGUUUUCGCCUUGCCGAACAGAUGCAUUGUAGCUAUGCUCAACCAUUGCUGUUGGGGUAUUUGGUAUAAUUCAAAGAAUUGCUCACAAUUCUCGAUCCAGUUUCUCGGGUCGUCACCAUCAAAUGAAGGAAAAUCCAAUCGAGGAUAGGGAAAGUGUUGGUGAUUAUUAAAAAUCCUAUUGUGCCGCGGGGAAUUUUGAUCAUCCUCAACUUCGGGUUGCCUUCUUGGGAUGGGUAAUAUGCCUUUUCCUCUUUCUUCCCUGAUAGUAAGUGGUGUGUUGCUACUCCCUGGUUUGCCGCCGUAAGGAAAUUUACUCUCGGGAGUAAUCCCUCUGCCUUGAGUCUGAGUGGUAGGUGGCUGGGCUGUCAACAGUUUCAGCAGCUCCUCAUGACGCUUGGUAGCUUCCGCCUGCAUUGCAUCGAACUGUUUUUGCCCCGAAUCUCGCACCUCCGCUAUUUGCUGUGUAAGUAUUCCUAUUCGGGAUUGAUGUUCGGUUUCUAACUUCUGAAAUUUUUCUUCGAGGGAAUGGAGAUGAUCACUAAUAUCUCUCAAUCGAGUCCCUUCCGCCAUAUCUAUUUCCUCAAGAUAAUCUUUGGGAUUGAAUCUAAACUUAUUGCCUCGCUUCCCAAUUUUGAUUUUGGGGUAAACCUCUGUUAAGAUAGAUCUCAGGUUGAAUGCUGACUCUUCUGUGACUUGUCUCGAAUGAUGUCUAUUGUGCUUAUGAGAUAAUACCGAUCUGAGGCUUGAGGGGGUGUUUCCGGAUCUUGCGGUUAAAUUCAGGGUCAAUUUUGUGGUGAUUUCUUUUGUCCCUUUUCCGUCAUGUAACUCGGGUAGUAGGAGCUGCGGCAGGAGCGGAGUCGCUUUAAAGUAGUAGCUGCCCAACGCGGCUCAGUCCAUGCAUUGUUAACCAUAGUCUCGCCAUGCUAAGGUCCCGUAACUCACCAUUUUAGCGAAGGAUUGAGGUUAGAGCCGUAACACUCAAAUUAGCGCUUAUUCUAAAGACGCGACGGCUAAGACUUGGCUCUAGUCUCAANUUCCUAAACGGGCUUCCAAUCCUUCAGCAGUGGCCCACAGCUUGUGGUUUGGGCUGUGUAGAUCUGGAUCUUCACUUGGUAGCAUACUGGGCCGACACUUGCCCAACCGCCCCAAACACCCGAACUAAUAGGGUGCCUUGUUGGUUCGCACAUUCGCCCUCGAAAUCCUGCCAGUUCGCCCUUCUUCUUCCUCGCCCUAAUCGCUCUCUUUUUCCCUUUCCGCGCUUCACUUCUGAGCCGACUCCCAGCGCCACUUUUGAAGGUCGAAGCUUCUCAACCCCCGGCAUGAUGCAGAGAUAAAGCUAAGCCUUCAUCUUCCUGCUUUAUUGCUUAUUACUCUCCUAACCUCCAUUAAUCUACUCCUAAUCCUCCUAAUUAUACUUGGCAGGCGUAACAUUAUCCGGAAAAAUGAAUCGAUAAAUUUGAAAAUACGAAAUGUAAGAUAAAUAAUGCGCAAAUACAUGGAUGCACAAAAUGUGAGCAAUAAUAAUUUAUCCAACAUUGAAAAAUAAAUUGCUGAAGAAACCUUAAAAAAAAUAAUCAGCUCGUGCUCAGACUUAUAAAAAACCUCUGAGAGAGAGAGAGAGAGAGAGAGAGAGAGAGAGAGUGUGAUAGUGAUUGGAGACGAGAUCACAGGAAGAAACAGAACCAACCUAGAAUGAGUGCUUAGUGCUGCAGCUGCUGGCCAACAACACCCCGCUGGGGGGCGGCGAGAGGUCGAUGUCGCACCUCCCGUACACCCAAUACGUCAGGUGACCAAACCCUAGGCUCGCCCGCACCUUGAAGGUCCCGCGCACGAUGUACGAAACCCUACCCCUCCUCACCUCCUCCGCCAUCGCCGCGGCGAGCUCCCGCGGGAGCCCCACCUCGCUCGUCACCAUGUGCAGCGACGCGACCCUCGCCUCCCCGCGCCGCUGCGCGAACGGCGCCAGCCCCUGCGCCGCGAUGAGCCGGUCGCGGAAGUAGAGCUCGACGCUGAGGUACCGGAACGCGACGUCGAUGUGGGGGUUAGGGUUUGAGAUGUUGGCGAGGAGGGUGAGGUCGCCGUUGAGGUAGUAGUAGCCGGGGGCGGAGGGGGCGAGGGUUGGGGGGGAGUCGAUGUAGAUCCCGUUCAGGGACGCCGCGGAGGCGUGGAAUUGGGGGUUCCGGGGCUUGAUGAGGAGGAAGACAACGAGGAUGAGGAUCCCGGCGAAGAUGAGGAGGAGGCUGAAGAGGAAGCAGAGUAUGGCGAAGCACCAGACGAGGGGGUUGGUGCGGCGGCGGUGGCGGAGGAGUUGAUGCUUGCUCGGCCGGAGAGGGAGCUCCUCCUCCGCCAUCGCCGCCGCCGCCGCCGCCGCCAUCGCAGCAGGAGGCGGCGGCAAUGGCGGAUGCGGCGGAGGAGGCUUCGUUGGCUUGGGAGCGAGAGGGGUUUGGGUUGGGGUGGAGAGUGGAGGCAUCGGAGGAGAAGUGCGGAAGAGAAAGACUUUGGAACGAAGAAACGAGGAGAGAGAUAAAGGUUACGGGAGCUGGAGUUAGAGACAGAGUGUGGUUUUUUUUUUCUUUAUAGACGUAAAAAAAAAAAAAAGUAAAAGGAGGUAAAGGGAAAAGAAGCUUUUGAAUAUGAGAGAGAGAGAGAGAGAGAGAGAGAGAGAGAGAGAGGAGGGGCAAGGAUAUUUGAAGUAAGUGGUGGGGUUGCUCGAGUGAGAAAAAGAAAUAGGGAUGGGAAGCUUAAAGUAAAGAAGAUUUUGUUUUAAUGCCUCACUGAUCUUCACAGCCUAUGCUUUUUUUUUUCAUGUUGGCAUUUUUAUUAUUAAAAAACUUAAAGAUCCAUCAUCACUAUCAUUAUUAUUAUUAUUAUUAUUAUUAUUAUUAUUAUUAUUAUGUGCUUUGCUUGAGGUGUUUUUUUCAUUUGUUUCUCAUUAGACAAAUUUAGUCUUUUGCCGUUGUUGCUCAAGCUUGGCAUCCACCAUCUUUUCACAAAAGAGUGUUUGCACUACUAUUGUCCUCAACUUUUAGCUAAGUUUUAUUUUUGAUUUUAAAAAUUUUAUAUUUUUAAAAUUAUUUUGUAAGUCAUUUUUAUAUUUAUUUAAUAUAAAAAUAGAUUGCCCAAAUUUGAUACAUUUCUAUCAUCAUAGAUCAUACUUUCAAAGGUCUGCUUUCUAUUUUUUAUUUUAUAUUUUCAAUUGAAACUUUUUAUAAGCCAACUGCCAGUUGAACUUGAACUAAAGGAUAAAUUAGAUAUAAACAAUACAUUUAAAGGGCCUGUUUGGAUACACAGUAAAAUAUCUCCACGGAAUUUAUAAACUGUGGUUUCGGUCUAGAUAAAAUAAAGAAUCCUGUAACUCUAAAAAAUUCCACGGAUUCAAUUUUUAAACUGUUUCGAUACGCAUUGUACAAUUUCACAGGAUUUUUCUAAAUUUUAAGAUUAAAAGUUAAAAUUUAAAUUUUCAAAAAAAAUUUAAAAUUUAAAAUUUGAUAUGUGAAAUGUGAAAUUUUGAAUUUUAAAUUUUAAAUUUUCAAAUUUGAAAUUUACAAAUUUAAAAUUUAAAAUUUAAAUCUAAAUUUAAUUUAUUAAAUUUUUAAAUUUUAAUUUAAAAUUUUAAAAUAAAAAAUUUAAAUUUAAAAUUUUGAAAUUGAAAUUUAGAAUUUUAAAUUUAAAAAAUAAAUUAAAAUUUAAAGUUUAAAAUAAAUUAAAAUUUAAAGUUUAAAAUUUGAAAUUUGAACUAUGAGACUUGAGAUUUGAAAUUUCAAAUUUAAAAUUUGAAAUUUGAAAUUAAAUUUUAAAUUUUAAUUUUAAAAGUUAAAAUUUAAAAUUUAAAGUUUAAAUAAAAUUUAAAUUUAAUUUUAAAAUUUAUAUUUUAAAUUUUAUUUAAAAUAAAAAUUAAAUUUAAAAUUUGAAAUUUAAAAUUUAAAAUUUAGAAUUUUAAAUUUUAAAUUUUAAAUUUAAAAAAAAUAAAUUUAAAAAUUAAAGUUUAAAAUUUGAAAUUUGAAAUUUAAAUUUGAAAUUUGAAAUUUGAAAUUUGAAAUUUAAAGUUUGAAAUUUAAAAUUUAAAAUUUAAAAUUUUAAUUUAAAAUUUUAAAUGUGAUAUUUCAAAUUUCAAAUUUUAAAUUUUAAAUUUUAAAUUUUAAAUCUAUGUUGAAAUUUAAAUCUAUGUUGAAAUUUAAAAUUUUAUGUUGAAAUUUAAAAGUUAGAACUUGAUGCAUUUUUUUGAAUAAGGGAGCUCAAGAAUGAUGGAAUUUUUUUUCUUUGGUUAGAGUGGAUUAUACUUUUACUCUAUUGUUUGGAGUAUAGUUUAACUAUACUCCAAAAAUUACGUUACUUUUUUUCCUCCCAAACGCUUCAUAGGAUAUUUUUCCUACCACUGUAGCAUAGUUUAACUAUGCUACGUUUUCAGAAGUAUCCAAACGGGGCCUUAGCAAGAACUUUUGUAGGUGUGCAAAACUACGUAGUAUCACUUCAAGUUAUAUCAUUUAGAUAUUGUUCGGAUACUAAUACGCACUUAUUUUACUGGUAAGGUUUUUAUAUAAAGAUUUAAUUAAUGAUACAUAGUUCUAGAGAAAUUAGUUGAUUCUUUUUCUAGGUCCUUACUUUUAGGAGUAAUACUGAAACGGAUUUCCUGUUAGUUUUUGUUGUUUGGCUAGUCUUGGCAUAAUCUUUGAUUGUUUAUGGUAAUUGUUUAGUUAUUUAUUUGAUUUAAACUUUCUAUCGUCAUCAUUUGUUUGAACUGGUCAAACACUGUCCUGGUUCUAAUGUGUAAAGGUUGAAUUUUCCACGUAGUUAUGGUUAUAAUUUUUCAUAUGCCCUUAAAGCCAUGAUAAUAUUUACUAGAUAUUUGGGAGCUUGCUAGAUGUAAUGUCUUUUCGUUGUGUAUGCACAGAAUUGCUUUUAACUCAUUUAAGUAUACUGUCUUUUACUGCUUGGAGGAGCCUCACUAUGGCAGGUUUCUUCUGAUAAUAUGCUGAUAUACGGGAAUUGUACACUCCAGAUUGAUGUUAUUGAUGGUUAUGUGAGUUUUCAAAUGUUAAUGUGUCAACAUGUAAUUAGACUUCAUCACGUAAAAUUGGAUAAAUACAAUUUCCCUUCUAUUUUUGGCAUUACACUAUAAUCCUGUUUCUAUUUUAGAUACAUUAGUAUGCUGUUCUUUCACGUGGUUCAAAUCUUGUUUAUGCGCUGUGAUUUUUUAUUAUUGGAAACAUACGGCUAUCAUCUUUCUGUGGGAAGAGAAGUACAGGAAGAAAGAAAAGAAAGCAGGAUCGUAGUAUUUAUGUCUAUAAAAGUAGUGAAUGUGUGUGUGUGUGGAGAGAGAGAGAGAGAGUGCUGUUAUUAUACUAUUACGAGUAUGAUUGUCUUCGUACUCAUAAGUCGUUUGUGAUAAUAGAACUUACGAAUCGACGAUCCACACCAUUAAAUAUAAUUUAGACUAUUUAAACAUUUUAGAAACCGAAUUUCAUGAUUUUUUUUUGACAUCAUAUACUUAGAAUUCUAUUAAUAGUAAAUGAAUAGUAUACUCAGAAUAGAUUCGAAGGUGGCAAUUAUUCCUUGCAUCAUCUAUGCGGGUUUCUACUUCCCUUCUCUUUCUCAAGUCACUGGCGUCCUCUUUGCUUUGCUUCGCUUUUAGAUUCUGCUCUGUUAUUAAGUCCUGUCAUUCUACCCUCUAUCUUGUGCUUCAGUUUGCACCGGAGUCUGGUGAUGGGUUUCCUCAGCGAUGCCAGUGACAUGCUUCGACCUUAUGGCGAAGUUCAUAUUAGCCAUAAGACCGCAGGCCCAUUCAAAAGAUGGAACCCCGAAGAACUCGCCUCUAAGGCCUCUCUGCUUCUUGUGGAGUGUUCCGAUUUUCGAAUUGGCGAUUAUCCUGGUUACAAUAACAAGAGGGGAGAUGGCUUUUUCUGUGACGAGCCUUUCCCUCUAGUCGAGUGCAGCACGUUCAAAUUCAGGCGAGUGCAGCACGUUCAAAUUCAGGCGAGUGCAGCACAUAUAAUACCAAGAUUCUUUACCGAUCUACAUGAAUGAAGCACCGGGAAGAAACUUGAUGUACGAUGUACAGCACCAAAUUAAUGCUCAUCAAGGUUUUGUCGAUGUUAGCCGAGCUGUUCAAAGUUUUCCAAGUAGAAUAUGCGAUUUGUACAUGAAUGAACCACCGGGAAGAACUGUGUUACAUGAUGUAGGAUACCUGGAAAAUGAUCGCGAGCAAUCUCUGUAUAUAAAGGCACUGCUUCAAAGGUUUGGAUAGCCGCCAUCCAACUGAGUAGCAUAUGCUUUACAGGUUCUACUUCACGGUUAGUUAUCUUUUCCUGAAAUGUGAAGCGGAUACAGGCUUUUCCUUCAGGCAUGUUUGGCAAUAAGUUCGUUCGUGCUUGGAUCUCGUAUCUCUUGAAAGUUUUGGAGUGCUAUUUAUUCAGUUUCUUGAUUCCACUAGACCCCUUGGAGAAGGUAAAAAAUAGCACAUUUUUGUGUUUGCUGCCACUUCUUUUCUCCUGUAGCUAUGUGGUGAAUUGAAUGGGCGGUCGUAGGCUCCUACUAGUGAAUUGUAACUUAAUCCUCUCUGUGGGUUUCUCUAUGGCAUGAUAGUUUUUUGAGUGCUGAGUGUUCUAUUUUGGGUUUUGUGAUUUAUGCUUCACGUGCGUUUUUUCUGUGGCUCAUUGUAAAUGUAAAUAUACUGCAAUUGUAAUUACCUGUAGCUUUAAAUUUGUUGUUUGGUUUGAUGUUCUUUGAAUUCAACUGUUACAGUUAAACUUGAAUGAGAUGGUCCAACUACAGUAGUUGGAAAUGGAAUUGCAUUUAAUUUGACUGCAGUUUUAAUUGUAGUAGUUGAAUAGAGUAAUUUUAAACAAAAAAUUAAGGUUAUCUUCUUAGUAAUUUUAGAAAUAGAAACUAUUUUACCUUUGUAUAUGAGAGAAAAUUUGGCUAUCACAUAUAUAUACAGUUAUAAAAUUUUAAAGUGCGCUUAUUUGCCACAUGCAAUUAAAUAAAUUAUUUAUUAUUGUAAUGUUUUGUAUAAUAUUCACUUGCUGUAUUUUUUUAAUUAUAUAUAUUUCUAACUUUGUUGUAUUUUUAAUUAUAAUUUAUUAUCUAAUUAAUUUUUAUUAAUUAAUUUAUAAUUUCUAAUUAUUAGUAUUUUUAAUUAUAAUUUAUUAUCUAAUUAAUUUUUAUUAAUUAAUUUAUAAUUUCUAAUUAUUAGUAUUUUUAAUUAUAAUUUAACCAAAUGGUUUCUAAGGUUAGUUAUAUAAAUAAAUUAUUUUUUUUUCCAUUAUUAUUAGACAUGCAUCUUAGUCCAAAAGCAAGGUCAAACAAUGUUAGACAUUUUUGCAUAGCGCCAAAGGUGCAGGUUUAGAAAGUGUCUCUCUCCUAUCGUAUAAAAGAAAUCUGUUAUCAUCUCUUAAUUAGUUUUUAGGAAUGAUAUUUUAUUUAAUAUGUCUCUUUUUAUUAUUAUUUUGACUUUGUGUCAACCAUUAAUUCUCCUAUAUGGCGGAGGCGUCGAAUCGGGGUUCCGGGGCUUAAUGUGGAGGAAGACGACGAGGAUGAUGAUCCCGGAGAAGAUGAGGAGGAGGCUGAAGAGGAAGCAGAGGAUGGCGAAACACCAGACGAGGGGGUUGGUGCGGCGGCGGCGGCGGCGGAGGAGUUGGAUGCUUUCUCCGCCGGAGGAGGGAGCUCCUCCUCCGCCAUCGCCGCCGCCGCCGCCGCCGCCGCCGCCAUCGCCGCAGGAGGCGGCGGCAAUGGCGGAUGCGGCGGAGGAGGCUUCGUUGGCUUGGGAGCGAGAGGGGUUUGGGUUGGGGUGGAGAGUGGAGGCAUCGGAGGAGAAGUGCGGAGGAGAAAGACUUUGGAACGAAGUAAUUAAUGAAAGGGAGAGAGAAGGGUGAUGGGCGUCGGAGUUAUUAGAGAAAGAGAGUGUGCGCUCACUUUUUUCUUUUUUUUUUUAAAUAUAGGGAAAAAAAAAUGAGAGAGUAAAAGAAGAUAUAAAGGGUAGAGAAACCUUUGAAUAAGGAGAGAGAGAGAGAGAGAGAGAGAGAGAGAGAGAGAGGUUAGAGUUGAUAUGAACAGAAUACAAUAGUUAAGUCUGAACGAAAGGGUGAACGAAAGGGUGAAUUAGAUAGAUGUAAGCAAUAGAUUUAAUUGUGAGGUAAAUGCCAAAAUAAAAUAAUUUUUUAAAACUUUCAAUAGUUAAGUCUGUACAGCAUCAUCUCGUGUGAAACUCUGGUUGCAAAUAUCAGAUACGUAUAUCAAGCACUUAUUCACAGUUCGAUCCAUAUCCGAUCAGUUUUCACCUCCUCUAUAGAACCAUGCAUGGCCAUGCAAUCCUUGAAGAUAGAACAUAGAUCCGGCCCAGAAGAUGAUUGGGCCCAUGUAUNUUUUUUUUUUUUUUUUUUUUUGUUGUAACUUGCUAAUUUCCUUGUUUACCCUUCAAAUUCAAAUUUAAGACUAAUCAUAACGUUAAAACGAGCCAACAAAACCGGAGACGAAUUCUAUGCGGAACUCCUCAUAGAAUCCUCCAUAAGGAAUGAUUUGUACACCGUCCAUGUUAAUUAUAAUUUAUUGGACCGCUGGGAUUGUUCCAUAUACAAAAGCUUGCUAAAUAACGGAGUUUCUCCGCAUAAAAUAUUUUAUAAGGAGCUUCCCAUAGAAAAUUUGCCCGCAUAAAACCUCCCGAAGUCGAACGGCCUCGUCGCUUCACGUACUACUAAUUCUACAAUGUGACGGAUAUAUGUCACGAACAAUGGACCCCACCAUAGCGGGGCCCACAUGUCAUAUAAACAAACCGUGAUAUACAAAGCGGCACACCAAAGCGCGCUCUUCCCUCCCUCGUAGUAUUUGUACCACCCCGUGCUCUCAUCGUUCUUUUGAUUUCUUUCCUAGGAAGGAAACGGUGGGUUUAACAGAGAGAGAGAGAGAGAGAGAGAGAGAGAGAGAGGAGAAAGAAGAGGGCGUUAAUGGCGGUGGUCGCGGAGAUAGGGGAGGAGACGAAGAAGGAAGAGGAGGGAGAGGGAGGGGAGGAGGAAGAAGAAGAAGAAGAAGAGGAGGAGGAGAGGGUGAGAUGGGCGGGGCACUAUUCGUCGGCGCAGCAGAUACUCCUCGUGGGGGAAGGGGACUUCUCCUUCUCCCUCUCCCUCGCCACCUCCUUUGGCUCCGCCUCCAACAUCGUAGCCACCUCCCUCGACUCGCGUGGUAUCUCUCUCUCUCUCUUCUCCUUCUCUCUCGCGGACUCGUAAAAGAACGAAGACGAUGAGGUUCUGCAUUUCGUUGCGAUUUGUUCUUUAAAGUCGUUACGUGCCAAGUAGUCUCCGUUAGCGUUUGGUGAGUAGUUUUUAAUCUUUCUAUUAGGGUUUUGUGCGCUUGUACUCUAAGACGAUCGCAAGAGGACAUUAAUUAUUGUAUUAUCUUGCUCGAGUGGCUAGGGUUUCUAGGGUUUGCUUGGUAGUUUUUUAUGUUUUCUUGGAACUUAAAUUUGGUUUGUUAUGCUUCUCUCUGUUUCGAUUGCUGUUUUUGUUUGAUUAUGUUGGUUUUGAUUCUCUCUCUCUCUCUCUCUCUCUCUCUCUCUCUCUCUCUCUGUUUUCAUUAUUAUGUAUGUUUUUGGUUGAUAUCAUUUUUGCUUUUUUAAUUAUAUGUUGGAGCAGAUGAUCUGGUGAAAAAGUAUAAUAAAGCUCAAUCAAACCUGAACAGUCUAAGGGAGAUGGGGGCGACAGUUUUACACGGUGUCAAUGCGAAAAAAAUGAAGCUUCACACGGAUUUGAAGAUGCGGAAAUUCGAUAGGAUUGUUUUCAACUUUCCACAUGCUGGGUUUAAAGGAAAAGAAGAUAAUCCACAAGUUAUCAAGUAGGUAUCCAAGUUCUAAAAUAGCUUACUAGGUCUUUUAUGUAAUGCUCCAAUUUAUUCACGUUCUCUGCAUGCGUAGAAAUAGGUUAAAGAUAUGACAAGGCAAACUUCAAUCUAUACUAGGGGUUCUUGCAGGCUGCAACAUGCUCGUAUUUAUGGCAAAGUUGUGAGAAUAUGCUAAACAAUAUAAUUUGCACUCGGCCAUCUGUUUUAUUGAUAGCUAGUUUCUUUCAUGUGUUUGACGACAUUUAGGGUAUCAUUUAUAAUUCGUAACAUUCUAAACUGUGGCCAACACGCACCUUUAGCAUGAACUUUUGUAAGGGUGCAAAAGUAGGUAGUGUCACUUCAAGUUAUAUCAUUUAGAUAUUGUUCGGAUACUAAUACGCACUUAUUUAACUGGUAAGGUUUUAUAUAAAAAUCUAAUUAAUGAUACAUAGUUCUAGAGAAAUAAGUUGAUUCUUUUUCUAGGACCUUACUUUUAGAAGUAAUACUGAAACGGAUUUCCUGUAAGUUUUUGUUGUUUGGUUAGUCUUGGCAUAAAUUUUGAUUGUUUAUGGUGAUUGUUUAGUUAUUUGUUUGAUUUAAACUUUUAUGUUGUCUUUAUUGGUUUGAACUGGUCAAACACUGUCCCGGCUCGAAUGUGUAAAGGUUGAAUUGUCUGUCCACAUAGUUGUGGUUAUAAUUUUUCAUAUGCCCUUAUAGCCAUGAGAAUAUUGACUAGAUAUUCAGAAGUUUGCUAGAUGUAAUGUCUUUUCAUUGAGUAUGCACAGAAUUGCUUUUAACCUAUUUAAGUUUAGUGUCUUUUACCACUUGAAGGAGCCUCACUAUGGCAGGUUUCUUCUGAUAAUAUGCUAAUAUAUGGGAAUUGUACACUCCAGAUUGAUGUUAUUGAUGGUUAUGUGAAUUUUCAAAUGUUAAUGUGUCAAAAUGUAAUUAGAAUUCAUCACGUAAAAUUGGAUAAAAUACAAUGUCCCUUCUAUUUUUGGAAUUACACUAUAAUCCUGUUUCUAUUUUAGAUAAAUUAUUAUGCUGUUCUUUCACAUGGUUCAAUUCUUUUUUAUGCGCUGUGAUUUUUUAUUAUUGGAAAUAUAUGUCUAUCAUCUUUCCGUGGGAAGAGAAGUACAGGAAGAAAGAAAAGAAAGCAGGAUGGUAGUAUUUAUGUCUAUAAAAGUAUGUGAAUAUGUGUGUGUGUGUGUAGAGAGAGAGAGAGAGAGUCCGGCUAUUAUACUAUUAUGAGUUUGAUUGCCUUCGAACUCAUAAGUCGUUUGCGAUAAUAGAACUUACGAAUCGACGGUCAACACCAUUAAAUAUAAUUUAUACUAUUUAAACAUUUUAGAAACUGAAUUUCAUGAAAUUUUGUUGACAUUGUAUACUUAGAAUUCUAUUAAUAAUAGAUGAAUAGUACUUGUUGUCUACUUUUAAUCCUUUCCAUAAAUAGAAUUUAUUGUUUGUUUAGUGGUGGUACUAUUAUAAAUCUAAGGGCUAAAAAGUAGAUGGCAAAUGCUAUUCCUAUAUUAUCAAUAGUAUUCUAGAUGAACUCUCUCUCUCUCUCUCUCUCUCUCUCUCUCUAUAUAUAUAUAUAUAUAUAUAUGGAGCAGGGCUGCUGUGCUCUGAGGAGCACGGAGGCCUCUGUGCUCCUGAGCCAUUUUCGAUGAUGGAGUUUCCGAAUCGAUGAUCGGCUCCGUUAAACUUGAUCUAGAGUAUUUGAAGUUUCUAGAAAAUAAUUUUUGCGAUUUUUCGAUAUCAUUUACCUAUCAAUCGAAAGGAUUCAAAAUCAAUAAUUUUUAACAGCUGAAAGUAAAAAUCCUAUCAGUGGUGAUAUAGCACUAAAAUUUUCGAUCAGAAAUAUUGAUCUUGUUGUCGAUAGUAUAAAGAAUUUUGUAUCAAAAUUUCAUCUGAGAAUACUUCUACACCGUUAAACUUGAAAACGGCAGAUAUCAACCAUUAAAAAUUAUGGAUUUUGAAUCCUUUUAAUCACUAGGUAAAUGAUAUAAAAAAUCGCAAAAAUUAUUUUCUAGAAACUUCAAAUUCGCUAGAUCAAGUCUAACGGAGCCGAUCGUCGAUUCGAAAAUUCUAUCAUCGAAAACGGCUCAGGAGCACGGAGGCCUCCGUGCUCCCGAGAGCACAGUAGCCCUACUCAUAUAUAUGUAUGUAUGUAUAUAUUAUUUAGUCUGCAGAUCUUUACAAGUGCCAAAUUAAGCAUGGUUGCUUAUGAGCAUUACUACUUGUAGACAUUCUAGUUAAUAUAGUUGUCAGUUACUCUUCAGAAUAGAUUCGAUGGUGGCAAUUAUUCCUUGCAUCAUCUAUGCAGGUUUCUACUUUCCUUCUCUUUCUGAAGUCACUGAUGGCCUCUUUGCUUUGCUUUUAGAUUCUGCUCUGUUAUUAACUCCUGUCAUUCUAUCCUCUAACUUGUGCUUCAGUUUGCACCGGAGUCUGGUGAUGGGUUUCCUCAGAAAUGCCAGCCACAUGCUUCGACCUUAUGGCCAAGUUCACAUUAGCCAUAAGACCGGAGGCCCAUUCAAAAGAUGGGACCUCAAAGAACUCGCCUCUAAGGCCUCUCUGCUUCUUGUUGAGUGUUCCGAUUUUCGAAUUGGCGAUUAUCCUGGUUACAAUAACAAGAGAGGAGAUGGCUUAUUCUGCGAUGAGCCUUUCCCUCUAGGCGAGUGCAGCACGUUCAAAUUCAGGAUUGGAGAGAUGCGCAAAAAGAAAAAAGCUUUCAAAAAGAGAUUUUCUUUGGUGCCAUCCAUUGAAGCACCUAGUUUAGAUCUCAACAACCUUGAAAACAUCAGGAGACUUAAUUGUCUACCUCCUGUUGCUCAACAUGGUUACAACAUGGAGGGAAGGCCCCAAUCGAACUUUCUGAUUAAUGUGGAUAGCAUUCGAGGGACAAUUACUUUUGGACCAAGGAUUAGGACUACGAGUGGUAGCUUACAAAUGACUGAAUUGAAUUUAUCAAAUGCUCAUCGAGGGUUUGGAAUCUCCAAUCUUCAUUUCGGUCGGCCUGUGCAAGAUUCUUUAGGCAGAACAUAUGAAUUACACAUGAAUGAAGCAUCGGGAAGAACUGUAUCACAUGAUGUGCAGUACCAAGAUUAUGUACGCAGAACAUAUGGAUUGUACACAAAUGAAGCACCGGGAAGAGCUGCAUUGCAUGAUGUACAAUACCAAGAUUCUUUACGGGUGAAUGAAGCACCGGGAAGAACCUUGCCGUUCAAUGUACAACAUCAAAUUCCGGAAUUUAAUUUAUCAAAUGCUCAUCAAGGUUUUGUUGAUGUUGGCCGAGCUGUUCAAAGUUUUCCGAGCAGAGGAUAUGAUUUGUACGUGAACGAACCACCGGGAAGAACCUUGCCGUACAAUGUACAACAUCAAAUUCCGGAAUUUAAUUUAUCAAAUUAUCAUCAAGGUUUUGUUGAUGUUGGCCGAGCUGUUCAAAGUUUUCCGAGCAGAGGAUAUGAUUUGUACAUGAAUGAACCACCAGGAAGAACUGUGCUACAGGAAAAGCUUCGCGAGCAAGCUCUGUAUAGAAAGGCGUCGCUUCGAAGGUUGUUGGAUAGCCGCCAUCCAAUUGACCCUACGCUUUACAGGUUCUAAUUCACGGCUACUUAUCCAUUCCUGAAAUGUGAAACAGAUACGGGCUUUUCGUUCACGCAUGUAUAGCGAUAACUUUGUUCGUACUUGGAUCUCAUAUCUCUUGAAUCAUGCCUCGAAGGUUUUAGAGUGCUCUAUGUAUCCAGUUUCUUGCUUCCAUAAGACCUUGGAGAAGGUAAAGAAUAGCACAAUUUUUUGUGUUUGUUGCCACUUCUUUUCUCCGUUGCUAUGUAGAGAAUUGAAUGGACCGUCGUAGACUCCCAGUGAAUUGUAACUUAAUCCUCUGUGCGGGUUUGUCUAUGGCAUAUGGCAUGAUAAUUUCUGAAGGGCUGAGUGUUCUAUUUUGGGUUUUGUGAUUUAAGCUUACCAUGCGUUUUUUCUGUGGCUCAUUUUAAAAAGCACUCCCAGAAGAAUAAGGAGCUGUUUGGCUGCAGGCAAGUGCAAGUAUACUGCAAUUGUAAUUAUAUUUGAAUUUAAAUUCGGCAUUUUGUUUGAUGCUUUUUAAUUCAACUUUUAUAAUUGGAACUACAUGAGGAGCUCAACUGCUGCAGCAGAUAGAACUGCAUGCAUUUAAUUACCUACAGUUUUAAUUGCACUAGUCAGAGAAAUAAUUUUAAAUCAAAAAUAAACUUAUCUUCUUAAUAAUCUUAGAAAUAGAAUUUUUUUUUUUUUUUUUUUUUUUUUUUUUUUUUUCUUUCUGAUUUGGAGAGUGUAUAUACACACACUAUAUAAUUAAAUAAAUUAUUAAUAAUUGUAAUAUUUUGUACACUAUUCACUUGCUGCAUUUUUUUAAUUGCAUAUAUUUUUAGCUAUAUUGUAUGUUUAUUUAUAAUUAACCAAACGCUUCCUAAGAUGAGUUACAUAAAUGAAAUAUUUUUUUCCCUUGUUAUUAGACAUUUUUCGUUCAAACGCAAGGUCAAACAAUGUUAGCCAUUUUUGCACAGCGCCAAAGAUAUACGUUCAGAAAGGGUCUGGGUCACUAUCCUAUCGUAUCGCAAUUACCUUAUAGUCAAAGAAAUUUGUUAUCAUCCCUUAUUUUUUAGGAAUAAUAUUUAAUCUCUUAUUAUUAUUAUUAUUUUUCCACCGAAAACGCCAAAUUGACUUUGAGUCAACCAUUAAUUCUCCUACAUGGAUAACCAUAUUUUGACCAAAUUCUCCUCGUUAGAUCCCAACUAAUGCGUGGAUUUAGAGAGAGAGAGCCACUCAAUUUUGUCGCCUAAGUCUUUCGGUCAAUUACAAAUUGAUUAAGAUCGAUAUAAUAAAUUAACUCAAAAUAAUAUAAUUUCGAAUACCUCACAGUUUCUGGGGUCAAACAUAUCGUUCUUUGUGGGUAACCCUUAUGUUUUCUUACACUGCCAAAUUUAAUCAAUAUCUUUUUUUUUAAAACUGAUGGCAACAUUUUGCGCAACUAAAAUUAAUUAAAAGAGAGGAACAGAGUGCCGCUAUCUGCCACUACGAACAAACCGGCUCUGUCGUAGGUUUUUUUGAGACGAGUAAUUAUUCAUGAUAGAGAUUAGAUUUAUUUAAAUUUUAUUUUAAAAUUAGGAUUAUAGAUUCAUAAUUUCUAGCAGACUCAAAAAUCUACUAUUAAUUAUCCUAAAAUUUCAAUAUUAAAAACUUCUCGAUUAAGAGACCAAAUUUAAUACCGAUGAUACAAAAAAAUCGUAGUAUAAAGGUGAAUUUGUAUUUAUAUAAUUUUUUAGUAUGUAGCUUAAGUAAGGGCAUACCCCCAUUAUGCAUUAGUGAAAUAAUCAGUUUAACGGCUUGACAGUCAUUCAGAAUUGAGUUAUUUAGUUUAACGACUUUGUGGUCAAAUUUAUUCGGUUUAGUGAAUUGACGGUCGAUUAAUUUGAACUUAAUUUACUCAGUUUAAUAAUUUGACGGUCGAUUGAUUUAAACUUGAUUUGUUCAGUUUAAUAAUUUGACGAUCGGUUUAAAGCUGAAAUGUUCAGUUUAACGACAUGAUAUGAUGGUAGGUUUAAAGAGUUUGCGCAACUAAAAUUAAUUAAAAGAGAGGAAACAGAGUGCCACUCAAUUUCGUCCACUAAAUCUUUCACAACAAUUACAAUUGAUUAAUGGUAUUAAGCGAUGAUUAAAAAAUAUAGAUAUAAGAAUUAACUCUAAACUAUGUAGUUUUGGGUACCUUACAGUUGCUCGUAUCCAACGUUUCUUGUGAGAAACCUUAUGUUUUUCAAUAUUUUUUUUCCCAUAUCUUUCUAAAACUGAUCACAAUAUUCUAUACAACUAAAAAUAAUAGAAAGAUAAUAUAAUAAACGAGAAAAAUACAUACCAUUACACAAUAAUAUUACCCCAUAUGCAAACUUAAUUACAUGAUUAUAAUGGUACCUUGCUUAUACACGACGAAAACAUAUAUAUUUAUACAUAGCUAAACAUAUAGUUCACAAGGAUGAUGUAAACACACAAGCACACCGUGACUAAUAUUGAAAACUCGCUACAGGAUGGAACAAGUAUUCGGGACCGGAUCGUACCCCAUACUAUACGUCGGAUACGUAUACGGUGGGUAGUGAACGUAAAUUGCUUCUGAAGUUGCAGAUGGAGCUUUUUUUUCCGCCGAUUUCGCUUCGUCCCCGUCUUUCACCUCUUCGACCGAAAUUAUAUCCGCGCGGAGCUUUAGCUUCUUUCUCAACGCCUGUAGCAACUUUAUCACGUCCACUCCCGUGCCGAUCACCACUAGCUGAUCUCCUUCUUUUCCUUGUAUCGCUAUCGACUCCACAGCUACGACAUGUUCGAAUCGUGUAAGUUAUUCAAUCGAUCAUAUACGCCACAAAUACUAAGGAACAAUGUUUUCGCGUCCAGUUUGACAAAUAACUUUGCGUCGUGUCAUGAUGAUACUUCGCAAAACUAGCUAUCAUUGCGUUUUAAAUAGAGAAGUUGUUUUCGAUCAAUCGAAUAUAUUAAGACAUUGAGCACACACCUCCUAUUUUUGUGGCAAUUUCUAAGGCCUUUUGCCGACCCUCCUGGCCGUUCAUCGGGAUCUUCAUCACGAUCUUUUGCUGCACAGAAGUUACCGAUUUCGUUUUCAUCAAACGUACUUUGAUCAUUUCUUGAUACGAGUCAAAUAUAAUUACCAUGUUGCAAAGCAAACAUGUUGAGAUGUACUACGCCAAAAAUAUAUAUAUAUAUAUAUAUAUAUAUAUAUAUAUAUAUAUAAUUGUAAAAGCGUGCUAAUGAUAGUAGGAUUAUUACCUUCAUUGCUGGAACCGGAAACAAAUAAUCUUUCCAAUUCUAAAGAACGGGUUAAGUACACUCAGUGAACUCUUUGCAGAGUACAGAGGGACAUAUAUAUAUAUAUAUAUAGAUAUAGAGUAAAAAAAGAGAAAUGAGUGGAUAUUAAUUUAUACUUUUUUUNNNNNNNNNNNNNNNNNNNNNNNNNAUUAACAAAACAAAAAAAAAAAACAGAAAAAGAAAAAACGCAACUACAGGAUGUGAACACGGUGAAGUUCAUUUUCGUUCUAAGAUUGUGACAGGUUAUAUAUAGUUUACUUUAGGAUGACCUAGUUAAGAAGUCCAUUUUGGGUCUUGUAAAAUACAAUUCUAUGAUUGAGCCCAAAUUACUCGAAAUUCACUCAAAUUCGUUCCAAAUAAUAUUCACCCUAUCUGACUCAUAUAUAUAUAUAGUACGUCUUCUAUAUUUUCGAAAGUAUGGGAGCUUCCGUGCUUGUAAGUUGUUUUUGAUGAUGGAGCAUUUGAUUUAGCGAUCGGCUCCGUUAGGCAUGAUUUACGCUAUUAGAACUAUUUACAAACCAAAUUUCAUUAUUUUUUGACAUCAUUUACCAAGUGAUCAAAGAGCCUCAAAAAUAACUAUUUUAACGGCCGAUGUGACGCGUUUUAAAGUUCAACGGUGUAGAAAAAUCCAAAUUACAUGAAACUUUAAUAAAAAAUUCUACUUAAUAUCAUGAGCAAGAACAAUACUUCCGAUUUGAAAUUUGAGGCUUUUAUCACUAUUUUUUGUAAGAUUUUUAUUUUCAGCCGUUCAUUUUGAGCAUACUCGUUCACUAGGCAAAUAAAGUCAAAAAAUUAUGAAAUUUGGUUUCUAAAUAGUUGCAAUAGCAUAGAUCAUGUCUAACGGAGCCGAUCGACGAAUUGGAUGCUCCAUCAUCGAAAACAACUUACAAGUACGGAGGCCCUCGUACUUUCGAAAGCAUAGGAGCCUAUAUAUAUAUAUANACAUAUCGGGCUUUUGUAAAGUUGAAAAAAGAGGUGUAAUUCAUGUACUAUGCGUAUCCAUUAUUACUAAUUAACUCAGUUAAUGUGGUGGCACGUUGCAUACGCCAAAGAUAACAUUUAGUAGUUGACGUCGCCCUUUCAGGUUUUUUUAACCUUUUGUGACAUGAGCGAGAGACCAUGUAAUUAACAAAUCAAAAAAAAAAAACAGAAAAAGAAAAAACACAACUACAGGAUGUGAAUGUGAACACGGUGAAGUUCAUUUUCGUUCUAAGAUUGUGACAGGUUAUAUAUAGUUUACUUUAGGAUGACCUAGUUAAGAAGUCCAUUUUGGGUCUUGUAAAAUACAAUUCUAUGAUUGAGCCCAAAUUACUCGAAAUUCACUCAAAUUCGUUCCAAAUAAUAUUCACCCUAUCUGACUCAUAUAUAUAUAUAUAUAGAGUUGUCCAAAUCUUUUCUAUAGAUCUUUGAUCGAAGUAAUUGACUGCUCCAGUUCUGUGCCCAGGGUCAAAAAUUAUAAAAGCGCUAUGAUAAAUUAAACCAUGGAUCAGACUCUAAUUAAUUAGGCCGUGUAAAUUUUUCGGGUGGAUAAAUUAUGUAACCGCUAUUAAUUUAUAAUCAUUUUUUAAUUUCACCCUCUAUUUUGUGCCAAAAAAGGAUUAAUAAAGAGAUGAGUUAUUAUCAUGAUCGUGAUUUUUGCAAAAGCAUAACAAAGUUGGCAAAAGUGGAAAUGUCAUUUUAUCGAGACAGCAAACGCCACCAUAGCAGCAAAAGAAAACCCCAGCCGGUAAAAUUAACAAAGUCGGCCUCUUUUAUUAUUAUUUUCUUAAGAGAAAGAUAGCAUAUUAUCUGUUUUGUUUAAUUAUUUUAGAAAUAAACUAAUUAGCUGGAAAUAUGAAGUAACUAAGUUUCGAACUCGAGACCUCAGGUGCCAACAAAUAAACUCUUUAAUUACCAUUUGUACUAGGGACGAUCGAUUGUACUCUUUUAUUAUUAUUAUUAUUAUUAUUAUUAUUAUUAUUUUUGAAGUUCCACCCCAUUCAUAUUCCAUUUUUGCAUGCGCAUGCCAGGGAUCAAACUCCCAAUUUCUUCAUCAGCGAACUAUGCAAGAGAUUCAGAAUACCAACUAUUAUUCUCGGAUAAAAAAUUAGCGUUUGGAUAUAAAAAAAGGAAUAAGGGCCUAUUCUUAUUCCUAUUCCCUAACUAAACGCUGCCUAGGGUGCCUUUUUUCUUUUGGUCAACAAAUAAACAUAAUUUUUUUUCUUCAUAAUUUUUUUUUUCAAAUUUCUCGUACCGCGAAACUGUCGACGAAUCGAGGGUUUAAAAUCGAAGUCGAUAAUCAAAUUUGGAGGCACAUCUAAUAAUUUGUACAUCUUAGGCAAGAAUAUUUUACCCUACGAAGAAUAUUUCAAAGAUGUAAUGAAAACCAUUUCAAAGAUGUAAAGACUCUCUUGAAAUAAUUCUGAAUUAUUACAAAAUAGAUAACAAGCUGGACCAUCUUUUGCCCUUUUUUUUUUUUUUAAACAAAAAAAUGAUGUAGAAAUCUUCAUACACCAGCUGGUAUCAACUCUCACAAAAUUGGGCCCUCUGUGCUUGUCGCAUCAAAAGUUGGAUUUAAUUAAAAUUUGCACUCCUUUUUUUGGAGCAAUAUUUAAAAUUCAAGCUGCGACUUGAUAUAUAGUAAGUGUUGAAUAUGAAAUUUGAUAAAUUAACAUUGUAUUUUUGUUUUAUUUUUUACGGGCACACUUAGUUCGAACAAGUUGAAAUUCCGGCAUAAAACAAACGCACUACUUUUCGGUUUCAUUUAUUUUAAUUUUUGUUCAUUUAUUAUGCGUUUCACUGUAAUUCCACUCGUGUUCAAAAUUGUGGCUAACCUGUACUUUGCAGUGGGGCUAUCAUCAUUAAUUUGUUUGAAGGAUUCAUAAAAUAUUCUAUUAACAUAGUACAAAUCAGUAGUUGGCUUGUUAUUAAGAUAAGUUCUAAUUUUUAGUUUUAUUAGGUUUUCUACUUGUCUUAGUAGCCCCAUAGUAGGCAAUUAUUCACAGAGUAUAAAACAGGAAAACUAAAGUAAAUAAUUGGUCACUUGUGCUAAAAAGUAAUUUACUGUUGAAAACAAGCUUUUUUUUUUUUUUUUUUUUUUUUUGAGAAAUGAUUACCUACACUGGGCGUAUAAAUACAACUCACACAUUAUUUUCGCACUGUUAUAUUCGCUAUAUAUAUAGAGAGAGAGAGAGAGAGGGGUGAGCUUCGUGUGCUUUCUAGACGUUUGGUCAUCUCAAAAUUUGUAUAGUAUUAUUACCAAUGUGUUUUUUAAGUUUUCUUUAUUAAUACUAUACGGAUCUUAAGACUAUCCGACAGUUAAAAAAUUAAAAAUAUUUGAGUUUCUGUGAUUUUAAAAGUAUAGAAGCUUAACGCUCUCUAUAUAUAUAAUGUUUCAAAUGUUAACUUUGCUUGCGCUAUUUUCAUGUCCUUGAAUUUUGUGGCUAGGUUGAUCUCGUCCGAUCCCAUCCCUCGCCCAGUUGGAACCUCGGAUCGAUGAUGGUGAGGGUGACCGUUGAAACGUUCCUGUUCAGCUACAGUGGUGUUGUCUCCUAAUUAAACAGCCCAUUUCCAUUAGAAAAGGGGAGGAUUAAACUAAACGAUAAGUUAAGUAGUGUUAGGCAAAAAAUUAAGUACGAUAAAAAAAAAGAAUAUUGUGUUCUUUUUUGUACUGUGACGUGCCACGAAAUUUCGUUUGAUCUCGUGACUUAGGUACCGUUUGGUUCGAGUAUAAGUAAGAAUUAGUUAUUAUAGGAAUAGAUACAAAUAUGGGGAUAAGAAAAAUAGUAUUUGGAUAAAAAUUGGGUUGUUCUCGGGGAUAAAAAUAAUUUUAGAUAGUUUUAUAUAAAAAAUAAAAGUGUUGGUGGAGAUAACCGAGAACUAUUAUUCUCGGAUAAAAAAUUAGAUAUAAGGAGGGAUAAGGACCUAUUCCUAUUCCUAUUCCCUAACCAAACGCUGCCUUAUAGUCGUAUUGACUACAAAACGGUGAAAUCUUUUGUGGGGCUACAAAAUAUUUUAUUCGAAAAGCCUAACUCAUGAGUUGUACUCGGUCGCCGCUUCAGUCGCGGAUCAUCUAGCCAUGCAUGCACCUCUUUCCUUUUUUUUCCGUACCAUCUUUUCAAGACGUUUGUAUUAAUUAUUUAUUAAAUAACUUAAAAAUCAUGUUAAAGUAAGUAUAUAUUCANNNNNNNNNNNNNNNNNNNNNNNNNNNNNNNNNNNNNNNNNNNNNNNNNNNNNNNNNNNNNNNNNNNNNNNNNNNNNNNNNNNNNNNNNNNNNNNNNNNNNNNNNNNNNNNNNNNNNNNNNNNNNNNNNNNNNNNNNNNNNNNNNNNNNNNNNNNNNNNNNNNNNNNNNNNNNNNNNNNNNNNNNNNNNNNNNNNNNNNNNNNNNNNNNNNNNNNNNNNNNNNNNNNNNNNNNNNNNNNNNNNNNNNNNNNNNNNNNNNNNNNNNNNNNNNNNNNNNNNNNNNNNNNNNNNNNNNNNNNNNNNNNNNNNNNNNNNNNNNNNNNNNNNNNNNNNNNNNNNNNNNNNNNNNNNNNNNNNNNNNNNNNNNNNNNNNNNNNNNNNNNNNNNNNNNNNNNNNNNNNNNNNNNNNNNNNNNNNNNNNNNNNNNNNNNNNNNNNNNNNNNNNNNNNNNNNNNNNNNNNNNNNNNNNNNNNNNNNNNNNNNNNNNNNNNNNNNNNNNNNNNNNNNNNNNNNNNNNNNNNNNNNNNNNNNNNNNNNNNNNNNNNNNNNNNNNNNNNNNNNNNNNNNNNNNNNNNNNNNNNNNNNNNNNNNNNNNNNNNNNNNNNNNNNNNNNNNNNNNNNNNNNNNNNNNNNNNNNNNNNNNNNNNNNNNNNNNNNNNNNNNNNNNNNNNNNNNNNNNNNNNNNNNNNNNNNNNNNNNNNNNNNNNNNNNNNNNNNNNNNNNNNNNNNNNNNNNNNNNNNNNNNNNNNNNNNNNNNNNNNNNNNNNNNNNNNNNNNNNNNNNNNNNNNNNNNNNNNNNNNNNNNNNNNNNNNNNNNNNNNNNNNNNNNNNNNNNNNNNNNNNNNNNNNNNNNNNNNNNNNNNNNNNNNNNNNNNNNNNNNNNNNNNNNNNNNNNNNNNNNNNNNNNNNNNNNNNNNNNNNNNNNNNNNNNNNNNNNNNNNNNNNNNNNNNNNNNNNNNNNNNNNNNNNNNNNNNNNNNNNNNNNNNNNNNNNNNNNNNNNNNNNNNNNNNNNNNNNNNNNNNNNNNNNNNNNNNNNNNNNNNNNNNNNNNNNNNNNNNNNNNNNNNNNNNNNNNNNNNNNNNNNNNNNNNNNNNNNNNNNNNNNNNNNNNNNNNNNNNNNNNNNNNNNNNNNNNNNNNNNNNNNNNNNNNNNNNNNNNNNNNNNNNNNNNNNNNNNNNNNNNNNNNNNNNNNNNNNNNNNNNNNNNNNNNNNNNNNNNNNNNNNNNNNNNNNNNNNNNNNNNNNNNNNNNNNNNNNNNNNNNNNNNNNNNNNNNNNNNNNNNNNNNNNNNNNNNNNNNNNNNNNGCUACCUAUCUCUCAAAAAGAAAAAAAAAAAAAGUACAUAUAUAUUUUUAAACAGAAUGAAAUGCAUGGACAACAUAUGCUUCCCCUCCUCUCUCUCUCUCUCUCUGAAAAUAAUACCAAAUAUAAGGUGUAAAAAAGUAGUUAAUUACUGGGGGCACCAAUUACCAUCUGUUAGUGAAGCAAUUUUCAUGGCACACCGCCUCACGUUUUUGCACUCCACUUGCACCUUAAUCUCCAUCUUUUGCUGCAUCACAUAUUACUCAAUUUUUCAACUCAAUUUACUUAUCUUUUAUUAUUGACAUUACAACAUAUAGUAAUUAUAUUAUUCAACACAAAAAUAAAUUAGCAAUUAUCAACUGUAAAUUGAAAACAUAUAUACAGAACUUUUCCGGAGACUAUGUUUCGCUUGAUCAAACUAACCAUUUAAUUCUUGUGUUUUGAGCAAUUUUGAUGGCCAUUUUGUUACAAAUUUUGAGCGUUCUGUGCUCUUUAAUUUGGAAAGCGCUAUCAAAUGACUCAAAUUGAAUGAAUUAAUCCAAAUUGAAUGAAUUAACUCAAAUUGACAAUUUUAUUUUAAAUGUUAGAUAUAUAGUUGAUGGAUCAAAAUGAAUCAUAUGUAGCUCUGAUCAUAAGCUCCGUAUAUACAUAUUUACUAUUUCAAGCUAGCUCAACCCAAUGUUUAAGCAUGAAACUCAAAAGAGCAUUUUAUUGAAGGUCAUAACAUAUGAAAAAGAUGAUUGAAUUUUUGAGCUUAUGAUGAGAGAAUUAAUUACCUUUAUUGCCAUAGAUGAAGAGGAUGACUAAAUCUCUAACACAUGCAAUGGAAUGGACUACUCCUAGUGAAUUGUCUGUGGAUAGGAAUGGAUAUAUUUAUAGGGAGAGAUUAGGAAAGGGUACAGGAUAUUAACAAUUCUUUUUUUUUUUCUAUAUUAUAAGCUAAAUUAAUUGAUUGUUUUGUUGCUUGCUCUAGUCCAUGCAUGGUUUAGGAAACGAAGUGGUCCAAUUCUCUUUAUUAAUGCCCCUCUAAUUAACUAGCUACUGUUGGAGUCAAGUGUGAGGUCAAGAAUAUUAGGGUUCAAUUUAUGUUUGUUUUUUUCUCUUUUAUUCGUUUUUUCUUUGUUUGAGCGCAUGACAGGUAAUGUGUUUGGAUUUCGUCAUCUACUAAUUAAAGUUAGGAGCCUUUAAUUUAAUAUGGUUUUCAAAUUUUGAUUUCUUAUUUCAACCUAACUUUUUUUUUUUUCCAAACUAAUUUCACUAAGCUCUCUUUAAUGCACUAAUAAAGUGACGUUAACGAAACCUAAUCUAUCGACAUCUACGUACAUGCACUAGAACAAAAACUUUCACUUAAAACCUGCGUCCUGUGGAAAAGAAAUUAUAAUUGAGAAUAUAAAGAACUCGAGAUUUUAGUACUUUUUUUUUAACACAAUCUGAGACAACAAGGUCUCAAAAAAUAAAAAAAAUAAAAAAAAAACCUAAUUAUAGGGUAAGUCGCCUAGUGCAAGUGGAAAAGGGCUUGGUGAUUGGUACCCGAGGCCCCGAGUUUGAAUCCUAGUUGAUUCACAUUUUCAACUAAGUUUAUUUUUAAAUGAAAUAAACAAAGCGGAUAACAUGCUACCUAUCUCUCAAAAAGAAAAAAAAAAAAAGUACAUAUAUAUUUUUAAAAGUAAAAAUGUAAUGGGAACCCUUAACUAUAGGGUAUUUUUAUAUUAGGGUUAAUUUCAUACAGAUCCCUGCACCAAAUAUAAUGAAUGACAAAUAUAUUUCUACAAAGUUCAACUUUCAUAUAUUGUCCCUACAAAAGUUCUAUGGUUUUCAAAUAUAUCCUCUUGUUUGUUAUCGUUAAAGAACUAUUUAUAUUUUCAAUUUUGUCAUUACAAUUAUAUCCCUCCAAAAGCUAUAACAGUAUAAUAUAAAGUAGUAAAAAUAUCAAAAACUAACCAGAGCUAAAUAUUUAACCUAUGGUUAAUUAACUAAAAUUUUUUAACGGAUUCUAACGGCAGAAAUAUAUUUGAAAACAUCAGAAUUUUUAUAAGGACAACAUAUGAAAACUGAACUUUAUAGGAAUAUAUUUGUCAUUCACUAUAUUUGUAGAAACUUGUAUAAAAUUAACCCUUUAUAUUAAUGUAUCUUCAACUUGAUAUUAUUUUGAUUAAAGUUAUUUCAGUUAUUUAAUUAGGAGUUUCAUCAAAACUAAAAACUUAGAUAGUGAUUCAGCAAUGGAAUUAAUAUUUCUAUUUUAUCUGCUAAGAAACUAAUAAAAUUAUUGAAUUUAAUAAAUUAUAUGUUGCUUAUCAAAUAAAAUUUUAAUUAGUUUGAUAUGAAUUGAAAGUUGAGAGGGUCACUAUGAAGUAAAGUCUAGUUUGCUGCUAGAGAAUGGAAUGUAUUUGAGGAGUAAUUCAUGUUACUGAUACACUCAAAAGGUGAGCUAGAAUGCUAUUGAUAACAAAUCGGCACUUUUGCCACCCAUUUAUUUUCGAUGAUGGAGCCUCUAAAUCGAUGAUCGGCACCGUUGAAUAUUAUCUAUACCAUUUGAAGUAUUUAGAAAUCAAAUUUCAUACAUUUUCGAUAUUGUUCUCUUAUCCAUCGAGUGGACACAAAAAUGAAUGGCUGAAAAUGAAUAUUUUUAAAAAAAUGAUGAUAGGAGUCUUGUAAUCAAGAUCAAGAGUAUAGAUCUUGUUUUAAAUAGUUUAAAGAAUUUUCUAACAAAAAUUCAAUUGAUUUAGAUAUUUUUAUGCUGUUAAAAGAGAAAACGCCUCAUAUCGACUAUUAAAAUUACAAAUUUUAAAAUCCUUUGAUCAUUCGGCAAAUGAUGUCGAAAAGAUUUGAAAUUUGAUUUCUAAACAAUUCAAGUCGUAUAGAUCAUGUUCGACGAUGCCGAUCAUCGAUUUGGAGGCUCCAUCAUCGAAAAUAAAUGGGUGGCAAAAAUACCGAUUUACUAUCGAUAGUAUUCUAGCUCAACUCGUUAUAUAUCUUAUAUUCUCUUCAUUCUAGAGCCACCAAACUUGUCACAUCAUUUUGUUAUUAAGAAUUAUUUAAUUCUUUGUGAACCCAUCCCAAGAUGGUGUGUACGAUCUACAUCUCCACUUUUGGAGUGAAUAAUUAUAAUUUUUCAUAGUUUUAAUUUUUUUUUUUUUCAUUAGAACAAUUGUUUAAAAGAAUAAGCUAGCAUCUAGGGCACUAAAGGACUGUUGGAUUCAAGGUUUAUAAUAUUACGAAAAAUAUUAUUAUAUAUUUUAUAUUUGAAUGACAAGUUUGAUAUUAACUUAUUGAGCCACUUGAUGGAAAUGCUAUAAAUAGACUACUAAUUAACUUAUCAAGCUACUAGAACUAAUAUUUUUUUAUUAAUUAAUGAACUCAUAAUUAUUUUCAUUAAGUAGGAAAUUGAAAAUAUCUCCUAAAACAUGAAAAAUGUAGUAUCCCUGCUAGAAAUUUACCAUAAUUUUAUUAUUUUAUUAAUAUUUUUUUUCCAACUAUCUAAUUUGAAUUGAAUGAUAAUAAUCUAAAAGUAUUUUAAUGAAAAAUUUAAAAUUUUUUGAAAUAUUACAAAUCUUGAAACAAACGCCCUCAAGUAUAAAGCCAAAUAUUUUGAACAUUCAUAUUAUUCUUUUAGUUAGUUCUAGGCCAUUCAUGAGUUGUAGAUUAUUAGACUCCACUCUCUCUCUCAAAAAAAGAAAAAAAGAAAAAAAGAAAAAAAAAAGCAUAGAGCGAACAAUUCCUGAAUAUUUUUAUUUAGUUCAUCUAUCUCUCUCUCUCUCUCUCUCUCCCUCUCUCUCUCUCUUCAAUAAGCAAUAAUGAAAGAGUUUUAUUCUCACUCAUUAUGCACUAACUAUCUGCAUUAAAACUCUCAAUUAAGAAGCAUGCACAUGCAUUAAUGACAUCUCUAAUGCAUGAUAAGAGCCACACCAAAAAACCACAGAAUCACAUGAUGGAGCAAGGAUGAUCGAUCUGGGGCCGGCGCAUCGCACAUCACAUAAUACAUCGGCGGCAAAUGCGAAUACGAAUACGAAUAUGAAAUUGUCGGUACAUUGUCGGUCGGUGGCUUGUCUUCUUUCUUCGCAUCCUUCCAUUUCUCUUUAUUAUCUCUCUUCACCUCCGAAAUCCAUAACUAUUUAUGUGCACCCUAUGUUUUUUUUCCGUAACGAUUUGACUAAUUUGACCAAAUCUACUCCGACUCCGGUGACCACUAGCUUAUCUCCAUCUACUGUAAUCGAGUCAAUACCUGUAAUAAGUUCAAAAAUCAUACAUACUAUAGUUAAAGUUAUUAGAUGUUGCCUAUAUUUAUUUGGCUAAUAUAUAAAAGAUGGUUUUAAAAAAACUAUAGUUAUAAAUUUAAUGAAUUUAGUAGAAAUAAUCUUACAUUAUUACAAUUUUUUUUUCCAAUUUUGUGUUAAUUAGUAGAUUGAAAUCACCUUCACUGUGGUGAAAUAAUACUGUGUUAUGAAUAAGUUUGUAUUUUUGUAUUCUUUUCUUAAACACCGAAUACCUAUCACAAUUAUUUGAGAACUAUUUGCAUGUUUGUCUUAGUAAAGAUUAAUGAAAAUAUAUAUAGAGAGAGAGAGUUUGGCUACUAUACUCUUAUAAGGAGUCGAUCUUGUGUGCUAUUAGGAGCAUGAAGGCCUCCGUGCUUCUAAGCCGUUUUUGAUGAUACAGUUUUCGAAUCGACGAUCGGCUCCGUUAAACUUGAUCUAGCAUACUUGAAGUAUCUAGAAAAUAAAUUUUACGAUUUUUUGAUAUCAUUUAUUUAGUAAUCGAAAGGGUUUAAAAUCAACAAUUUUUAAUGAUUGAUGUAUAUCGUUUACAAGUUUAACGGUAUAGAAGUAUUCAAAUCAUAUGAAAUUUUGAUAAAAAAUUCUUUAUACUAUUUACAGCAAGAUCAAUGUCUCUGAUCGAAAAUUUUAGUGCUAUAUUACCACUUUUUGUUAGAUUUUUAUUUUCAGCCGUUGAUUUUGAACCUUUUCGAUCGCUAGAUAAAUGAUAUCGAAAAAUUACAAAAUUUAUUUUCUAGAUACUUCAAAUACGCUAGAUCAAGUCUAACAGAACCGAUCAUCGAUUCGGAAGCUCCAUCAUCAAAAACAGCUUAGGAGCAUGGAGGCUUCCGUGCUCCUAAUAGCAUACAAGACCUACUCCUCUUAUGAGUACAAACUCUUUGUACUUAAAAAUUUUCAACCGUUAGAUCUAUUCUUUUUAUUAUUUUCAUUCAUUAUAUUAUACUAUUCAACCAACUACCCACGUAAUUUUAAAAACAUCAUUAUCAUCAUAACUAGGGACUACUAUCAUCCUAAUCAUAUUUUUUUUCAUCCAAUAGUCGAAAACUUAUGAAUACAAAAAAAUCUAUACUUAUAAGAAUAUAGUAGUCAUACUCUCUCUCUCUCUCUAUAUAUAUAUAUAUAUAUAUAUGAAUAUUGU